rnacentral:lncRNA from 1 species
AUCAAGUACUCAAGUGGUUGCUCUGUAACAUUUGACUUGCCAGAAACAGUUGUCAAAGCACCGCCAUGAGCACCAUCAGGACUGGUAAAGUCUGCAAGCAAAGGUGAUGCAGAUAUCCCAGGAGUGCCAAUUGCAAGGGAUGGAGCCGGUGCUUGUGCAACAGAUGGUUGGUGUACAAUAUUUCCAGUAUUUAAGAGUGAGGAAAUACCAGAAACUGGUUUGUCAGAAUCUCCUGGCAUAGGAGAUGGAGCUAAAGGAGUUGCAGGAGAUGGGACAACAAAAGGCGAGUUCGCAGAUUGCAGAGGUGUUGCAGUUUUGGUUACAGAAGACGGUAGAUUUUGCUGGUCAAUCUGAGGAGAUGAAUGUUGUAAUUGAGGGGAAGCAUGCUGAGGUAGUUGAGGUGAAGAAAUAGGAUAUGAAGGUGCUGUUUUCAUGUGUUGACGUGGGAAAGCUGUGCGUUGACCUGUUGGGAGAUGUUGUUGGUAGACUGCUGGCUUAUUUCCAAUCCCCUGUCUCAUCUCAUUUACAUCAUUCAUCUGUUGCGGCUGUGGAAUUUGGUGUGUCUGCAUCUGUGCAGGCAACUGCUGCUUGGCUUGCUGGUGUAAUUGCUGCUGCUGUAGCAUCUGUUGAUUCUGCAUUAAAUUCUGGCGUUGCUGCAAUCGUUUAAGCUGUUGUGUUUGUAACAUCUGUUGUUCAUGCUGCUGCUGUUUUAGAUGCUGGUGUUGAAUCAUAUUGGAAUUCGACUGAAGGGGAAUAUUUGGCUGCAGCAUACUCACCCCACUUUGUGCUGACAUUGUGUUAACAUUGGUUGGUUGGGAAAUGCUCACGAGAUUCUGUUGUACAGAUCCUACAGGUGUCUGCUGCAAUGAGCUCAGUGCAUUUCCUUGUCCAGAAUCUAAAUUGGAGCCUGGUUGUAUUGGAUUCAUCAUGUUUGAUUGUGACGUCGAAUCCCCAGAUAAAGUUGAAAGAGAAUUAUGCAGCAAGCUUGACAUAUUGUUCUGCUGCAUCUUUGGUACAGAACCUUGCAUAUUCAUUGAUUGCAACUGGGGAUUCAGUUGAUUUUCAUGGGACUGCAAUUGAGGAACAUGAGAUUGGGGUUGAAUAUGAGGUUGGGGAAGUUGUCUUUGCUGUAGAUUAGGAAUAGGCUUCCUGUGUCUGCUUGGGUUUAGAAAACCUACAAUCUGCUUCUCAUAGAAACCCAAUUUCUCCUUGAAAGUAGGUGUGAUGUUGUUUUUAGAGACCUGUAAGAAUGCUAUCAAGCGCUCCAACAUGACCUUGAAUACCUUCAGCUUUUCAAGCUGUUCUGACUUCGGUUGUUGCGGAAGAGGGUCAUGCUGGAAAGCAAAGUUAACAUACACGAGAAUUAAAAAUUGCAUUGACCCUUCGUAGCAAAACUAGUAAAACAUAAGUGAAAAAAAUGUUUCUAUUCCAAUUCUUCUGUGUCAAUGCAUGGUUGUGGGGUGGUUGGGGGUGGGGGGGGGAAUUAGUGCAGAUGAUACAGUGACAAGCAAUGCUGAUGGGGAAAACAAAUUAAUCAAAAGCUCAACUGUGGGGGUUUAUGAAUCAUGUGUGAGCAAAUAAAUCAGAAAAAAUUACAAAGACAAUUUACCUGCUGUAACUUGGUAGCAAUUCUCUGGUACAUUUCAUUUAUUUCAGGCAAAUACGUUUCCUUCAUAACUUUGAUCUAGGAAGUACAUAUAACCAGCAAAACAUUAUCAAUCAUAUGCUUGAUUUCUUCAGGUGCCAGAGUCAGAAAGCAACAUAAGCAAACUUGAGAGAAUUGAUAGAUAAAUAAAUAAAAUGGCAGAGGACAGCAUAUAUUGUUUGAGAUAAAAAUAGCAGAGUGGAAUCAAUGCUGAAAACUCAAUAGAGAAUAUAGUUAUUGAUUGCAUGCAAAGAUGCAAAGGAUUGUGUAGUUACCCCUUCAGACAAGAUUCAGGGGUUGGUCAAGUUCAGUUACUUUGUCUCACGGCAACCUACUCACCAUUGUUUUCUAUUGUUCUCACUCAAGUCAAUGGAUGUCACGACUUUGGUAAACACUUCUUAGCUUUAUAACUUUAGAUUUAUAACCCUUAUAUCCUAAUUACAACCACUCCUAUUCCCGUUUUAGUACCCUCCCAGGCACAAAAAAAUUGACCUCAUCAAAUAUGCAGUUAUGAAUUGCAACUACAGCCAUUAAACGAUUCAGAAUUUCAACCUCGUUUUCUAUAAAAUUCAACAAUACUGGACAUGGUCAUGAUUCAAUGGAUUAGGUCCACUUAUUUUCCUUUCUUCCAUUGUCACAUGUUUCAGAACAAAUUUGAUUGUAAUCUUGAAAAUAACUGUUCACUUAACCAAAUAUAACGAUGACUAUUCAGAAACAGUUCACUCUUGUUUUCAAGUCUGUCUAUUAUAGUAAGAAGUAUUGUCAAUUGGACUUAUUGGAAAUAAUAAAAUAAUAAUUCACCACACAAUAAAUGUAUGGAAAUACAGGGAAAAAAUUGAAAGGGAGAGAUUUGCAAUAGAAAAAAUUGUCGUGUCAGUACCAAGAAAAUAACCCUCUUGACCUAGAAAUCUGAAUAUUUACCUUUAAUCAUCUUAUCAGUAAUUUAUCGUUUCUUAGUUGCUGCAAUCAUGGAACUUACAAUGCUUCCUAACUAAUCACAACCAUAGCUGAAUAAAACUCCCUUGUACCAAAUUCCAGGAGACCUUUUCCAUUGAAAUCUUGCAAGACAAUGACAUACAUGAACAGUAAACUAAAGAAAUUACCUUUUGAUAGAUCUCCUCUUGCCAAUCAGCACCAUUUGCAUGUCCAGUCUCUGCUGUAGAAUCUAGGGAUGCUACAAAAAUUUUGAUACAGCCAACAAAAGAUUAGAAUGCAUGUAUGUUUUGAAUGUUUUCUGCACACAAGGGUAUUUCUGUAAUUUUCACACUUGCUGAAAAUUAUGGAAUAUUGUAGGUCUUGGUUUUAUUUCUAUUUAGUAUUUUAUUGUUCCUAAAGAAUAAGGAGCUUUAAUAGGUUUUCCCUAUCCUAGAUAGAACCAUUAGUAUUUUCUUACAUAGGAAUACAAGUCCUUUUUGGACUUGGAGUACUAGGAACUCCAUCUCAACGUUAUGUAAUCAUUCAAACAGACAGAGAGACCCCCCUCCAACAAGUGAUCAUUAUAUAUUAAAAAAAAAAGGCUCAAACAAUUUAUCAUGGAAGAAAAGCACAAAAGUGACCCUUUACCUCCUAACCAGGAAAAUCUUUAAAAUAAACCAUCUCAAUCAUAAAAAAUAGAUAGCCAUGCAUCACAGUCCUUGUUCCUUAACAAGUUAAGGAUGAAACACUUCACAUGCCUUACAGAAUUAGCAUCGAGGAGGUGAUCAUGAGAUUUUCCAGCAAGGUGAUGAUUUAUCAGCACACCAAACCUUAAGUGCCUCAGAGUUAGUCCACUUGCUAAUUUCUUUCUUCCCAUAAAAAUCAAUUGGCUGAUGAUUAGUUACCCUAGUGUCAAAUGCAUUGUCCAGUUAUGCAUAUAUUUUUAAAAUUCAUGUCCGUUAAAUUCAAAAUGAGAGGUGAACAAUUGGUGCGAUGAGCUGGAGGGUGUGAUGUGGCAACAAACGAGUGUGAUUGCAAAGGUUUCAAUAGCAGUGGCAUCAGUAGCACAUAAAGCUACCAAAAGAGCAUUGCUGACUUGAACCAUUAUGAGAGGUGAAGAGUUGUUGCAAUGCACUGUAUGGCAUUAUGUCGUAACAAAUAUAUGUGUGAUUGCAAUGGCUCCAAUAGCAGUGGCAUUUCUGAUGCCAUAAGUGGCAGCCAUAGCUCAUAAAGCUACCAAAAAGAGCAUUACUGACUUGAACCAUUAUUGUAUUUUCAAGAAAUUUAAAUAAAUAUGUUAUAAUCUAACAUGAAAGCACAAAGCUGCAAAAUUAAAGUUGGAGCAAGGUUAGAAAGCUGCAAGGAUGAGAAAAACUUACUUGAGGACGUUUCUGGAAGGGCUCUUUGAGGUUGAUAUAACUGCCUUUGCUGAUCAAUCACAUUUGACUGUUGAAGCAAGGAGCCUGAUGCUUGAAGCCUUAGCUGCAGAUCAUGUUGUAAUGGAUUUGAUUGCUGUUGCUGAGCUCCAAGCAACUGCUGUUGCUGUAAACCAGUGACAUUACUUUGAGAGCCCAACUGUUGCUGAUGCAUGCUUGAGAGGUUAUUCUGUUGAGCCAUUAACUGCUGCUGCUGCUGCAGAUUUUGAAGGUUAUUCUGCUGCCCUAGCAAUCUCUGCUGCUGCUGCUGCAAGUCCCCAACAAUGUUUUGCUGUCCAAUUAACUGAUUUUGCGACAUGUUAGUCGUAAUUGAUUGUUGCCCCAUUAGCUGCUGUUGUGGAGGCAAUAGUGGCUGCUGCAUCAUUGGUGUUUGCUGCUGAUGAAUACCAGCAGACUGUUGAGGUUGCUGCUGCUGCCUAAGGACUGAUUGUGGAUGUUGCUGGUGCAUUGGUUGUGUUGACUGUUGAACAGAAGAUGGCUGGUUCUGUUGAAGGCCAGAGACAGUUUGCAUCAUUGAAGGCUGCAUAACAGUUGAUGUUGGCAAACCAGAUUGCUGAGAAGAUUGCAACUGAUUUGGCUGUAACAAGUUUUGCUGCUGCUGCUGGUGGAUGUGAGAUUGCACAAGUGAGUGUGGAUGAUUUCCCUGUUGAAGCUUCUGCUUUAAAAGCUGUUGUUGUAUCAGCUGCUGAUAAAGAUACUGCUGAGGAUUUUGGGACUGCUGCUGUUGCUGUGGAGGAACAACCUGUUGCCUGCCUGGCAUUUGUCUCUGAGAAUUGACAAACAUAUUGGAGGGAAUCCCUUGUCCCAUUGAAUUCCCCACUGGGUUCUGUGAAACACCAGAGAUACUCUGCAUGUUAGCAUUCUGUCCAACAGUGUUUGAGAUAGUCUGGGUUAAACCGGAGACAGAAGGCAUUGCUGAUUGUAAACCAGCAGAACUUUGAACUCCAUUAGAUGACAUAAUAUUCUGCAUGUUCUGUGAUAACUGCUGACGUGCUUGAGACUGAUUAGUGGGCAAUGAGAUAGGGAGCGACUGCCCUUGGUUGUGAACUUGAGGCGGCAUACUAUGAGAUGCUGUUCAAGAUAAAAGGCAAAAAGGAAAACCAUGUCAAAGGAAAAAAAGAAGGCAUUGAGCAAGAAAAACAAAUGAAACAAUGACAGUUCACACGUAAAGUUAUGAGGUAAAUAAUUAAGAUGGUUUUACCUCAAAGCAUAAAAGUACAAAAAUAAUCUGUAAUUUUUUUGAACAUUCAUCAAUUACUCAACUUUUUUAUUAAAGCAUGGUAUAUACAUAGCAAUAUGCAGCAAUAAAAUGUAAAAGAGUUUGAUAACAAUGCGAAUUAUAAAACAAAAGGUAAGGAUGUUUAGAAAUUCAAUGCUUGGCUGCAUUAUUACCUCCUGGAUCCAGGGGUUUGUUACCAUUGCCAGUGGGUAUGGUAUUUUGAGACUUGGUCUCCAUUGUAAGCAUCUUCAGAGAUAUUUUACGUAGAUAAUCAGACUGAAAUCAGAUAUCAAUAACAAAAGAUUAGAUCUCUGCACAAUCAUGCUCUUUCUAAUAUGCUAGGCUCUUUGUAUUUGCAUCUUCUGUGAGGAUAUACUUCUGUGUCCUCUCUUUUUAUUUAAUUAUUUAUGUAUUGAUUCGUUAUUUGCAUUUUGCACACUUCCCUUGUACUUGAAAAGGACCUUGGUCACUCUAAAUAAAACACUUGCCAAGAGAAUUAACGAAAAGAUGAGAACUUCUACAAAAUGACCAGUGAGGAAGUGUGGACACACUACACACACAUGUGUACAUGCAUAAAUCCACAAACUUAUGCAUGUGUAUAUUCAUGUCUAGAGAAUAUCCAAAUUAUUGAACCUAGCAUUAGCCGAAUACCUGAUUGGUAGCAGCAGUAUAAAUCUUUUCCUCAAACCGUACGGCAAUUUUCUUAAGUUCUUGUAAUCCCUCUUGACCAGAAAACGGAAGAUGCCUCUUUAACGUCUCCAUUCUACACAUGUAAAACAUUACAUUUAGUUUUUAAUGACAAGGCAGGUAUAGAGAAGUUAGCAGCAGUGAGAAAGAACCAUGAACUCAUACACCACACCAAUAUCAGAAAUGUAUACAACGGAAUCAUUAGCAAAAAGUAAAAACAAAUAAUGAUAUAGCCGAGUGUCGAUCAAGUAAUAUAUGGCAUCAACAUACAGACAUCUAUUUUUACUUCCUUUCCCCGUAUUAUUCCAGAGGUACAGGGUAUAGGAGUUCACUUGGCCACCCUUCUGUCUAAAAUUCUAGUUACGAGCUUCAUGGUUAAUUUUCUUGAACUGGAAGAACCUUCCAUUUAUGGCUAUGGCUAUGCUCCACGGUAUAUAAGUGCAUUAGUUGCAAACCAGGGGAACUCUAUGAAAACAUUACAAUAGCAUUUAGUCUGAGUAAGAAAACUUUUAUACAUGCACUGUAAUUGACAAAGAAAAGAAGAGAAAUCCUUUUAAUUUAUGAAAAUGCAAUGAGUUAACCUUAUCUCACGCUGCAACAUAUACUCUACAGUGCUCAUUGGCUACUGCAAGUGCCAACAGAGAUAUCACCAAAACAUUCAACUUUAUACUGAGAAACUAGGAAACCAUACACUAUUGUGGCUAAUUGAUUUUUGUCUGCUGCUUUUGUACUUUAAGAUCACUAUCAUUUCAAUCCUGUAGAAGUAAAGCAAAUAGAAGGCUCAAAUCCAACACUAUUCAUUUAAGUUCAGUUGCAACUCAAGGUUGAAAUUGAAACACCAAUGCUCAUAGCAAUAGAUUAACCUUGAAAUUUAAAGCGGAACAAGCUUCAUGCAGCCAUCCAAGAGGUCAUCAUCAAAAGAAGAUGUUACACAAGAAGUUCCAACAAAAAUUACUUCCCAGCACUUUUUAUUCCCUCAAGUUCACUUCUUGUGAGAAACAAGUGAAAAAUGAAAAAGACAAAAACAGAGGUGUAUGAUACUUGAGGUUGCCUCAUGGCAGUCCUGCUGAUUUUAAUUAACCUUUUGCCCUUCUCUUUUUCUUUCAUUUAAAUACAAGAUUACUAUUUUUCAGCACUUGCACAUGUUAGCAAACAGAUACUUACAUUUUGUUGACUAUUCUUUGCCGUGAGUCAGGCUGCAAUUGAGUUCUCCAAUCACCUGUGUCCAUCACAGGUUCUCCGCCUGGGGCAGUGGGCCUCCAAUUAUUGGCAUCCAUGGGGUUUUGGCCAACCAAAAAAAAUCACUUCUAUCACCACAAAAAAAAUUAAUUAUAUUGCACGUUAGAAUAGACCCUAAAAAGAAAGUCAGGAACAGCAGAAGAGUAAGAGCACAUCAAAGUCAUGAAAAUUGGAAUAUCAGUUUAUUCAGACUUGAAUAGAUUUAAAAAGAACUUCCAUCUAAUAGCAUGUACUUUAUUAAAGAAUUCUACCAAAUAUGGAUGCAUAAAAUCUGAACAGCCAUAACAAAUAUACACGACCAUUCAGGGCAAGGUGCUAGGAUCUUGGGUAUUUGGGUAUUCGGUAUUAUAAGCAAGAUUUGGGCCUGAAUCUUCAUGGUGCUUCUAAAACCAAGGAAGCAAAAAACUAGCCAGCUAGUUCAUAACUUGCCGCACCAACAGAUGGUGAGUGUUGGUAAACCAAAGCAUAGAGAACUCAUGGUGCUUCAAUUUUAACUUGAUGUUUUCUAGCAACACUUGUGAUACAUCAUCGAUGCAAUGUUUACAAUGACAAACUUGCAUUAAUUUCUAUUCAUUGUGGUUUUAGGUUCAAAGAUUCUGAUCCCAAAGAGAUUGUCUAGGAUGUUUUAAGCUAGGAAAAAGAAGAAGAAAAGGACAAGCAUUAACAAUGAAUAUUUCAUGUUAUCAUCAACUCUAAUGAGCAGACUGAUAAGAAUCAACUUAACAACCCUUGUUGAAAUAAGAUUAAAUUUACAGGCACAUCUUUCUCGGAAUAGACAACACAAUAACCCUGACCAUGCUCGACCUUGAGGUGAGUUAUAAAAUGUUCUUCCUAACUAGAUGCACAGCUACGCCUUUGGGGUGAAGUGAACUAAGUCAUUUGUUUUACACUUCCACAUGCUCUCAAGCUUUCACCUCAUACUCAAGACCAGCUGAGCAGUCCUAAAAAGAAAGAUAUAUCAUCUAGGGUUAUCAAGGCAGACCUGUUAUUUUUAUUUUUUCGCGUUAACAUGACCAAAUUAUAAAAUUUAAAGUUCUUUUCUUUCUUUCUUUUUUCCAUGUGUGAGCGAGCAUAAAACCCAAGGAAAUCGAUUUGUUGUUAAAAACACAAUAAUUUUGAAGAAUUCGGUAAAUUCCAAAAAAGAAGAAUCAACCAAACAGCUCAUUUUUCGGCCAUUCCGGCAGUAAUAUCUCUUCCACUCCAGCUGCUGCAUAAACUAAUUAACAAAUAUCGAUCGAGCCUAAAAGAUUUGAAUUGAUUUCUAUUCUCAACUUUAAAAUAAAACUAAAAAAUAAAAUAAAAUAAAUUUGGGUUCAAGAAUUCAGGGCUUGAUUAUUACAACAAUAACUGUGAGAAAAAUCGGAUAAUAUCAUGUAAAUUGGGGGGUUUGAAAAAGAAAAUAUUAGAAUCGGCUGAUUGUGCGUUUCUUCGAGUUGCGUUCACGAGCAGCGAUUUCAUCGGAUCCGAUUAUAUAUUUUUUUAAUUUACUUAUUAAAAUCGAAUUGCGUUCACUAGCAGAGAUUUCAUCGGAUCGAUUAUUUGUUUUUUUUUUAAUUUAAUUAUUAAAAUAGAAUUUCUGUCUCUGAAUAAUAAUUACAAUAAAAUAAAUGAAAACAUCCAUAAAUUUUAAAAACAAAAGCAUGAUAGAAAAGGAAGCACCUGGCAGAAAUCUGAAGCCUUAUUGGAUGCGGCGGUUUCCGAGAGGCGGAAGAGGGAGGGAGGGAAGGAGGGAGGGAGAGAGCUCAGGCGGGGAGAGGUGAGGAAUGGUGUCCCAAAGUGAAAUAGAUGACUUUAUUCUUUUCCAGAUUCCUUCUAAAAAAAUUAACAAGUGAACAAUCGCUCGUCAAGCAUCCGCGUUCAUUUUCACUUUGAGUAGUAUUGGCCAGUAGUGCUAUAAAGAAGACAAAGUGGUAUAUCCACUUUUUCAUCAAUUACUUUAAGAUUUUUGGAAGAUAUGACACAAGAGACAAAGAAAAUGAUUGCUAUUAUCGACAAUUUCUCUGUUACACACACACACUCUUUGUCUUUAGCUGUAUUUUCUUACAAAGGAUCUUUAGCUAUGCAUUAGAGAUGAACACCUCCAACUUCUUGAUUUUCACUCGUUUUCAUCCCAUUUAAAGAAGUUUAAGUUUGAAUGCUCAUUAUACAAAUUCUAAUAACAGGCAGCUAAAAGGGCUUGUCGAAGCUUUAUUUUCGCGUGUUCGUUAACCAUGUUAUAACCAAUUUCUUUUUAAUUUAUAAUUUAAGAAAAAGUAUGGAAUAUUUCUUGUAAGGAUAUAUUAUACAUAUAUAUAUUUGGUUAGAAGAUUCACUCUUUUACUCACAUGAUUCUAAGUUCUAGGAGAGACUUUUUAAGAGAUAGCUAGCAUCAAACACCCCCAAGCCUUCCUUCCCAGGAGAAAAAAAAAAGGCAAGAAAGAAAGAAAGAACUGAUACUAGAAGAUAGAAGAUAAAGCUACAUCGAUCAACACCUAUAUUUUAUGCGAGGAGUAGCUUCUUCUUCUUCUUCUUCACAAAGGAUUACUCCAAAAAUCUUGGCCGAAUAGCUUGAUUCUUUUCCGAGCUUGAAUUGCCAAUUCCAGAUCUUCAGCUCCCUUCAUGUCCACCACAGAGAAGGUGACUUCAUCACCUUUUUUGAGAACCCUUUUUUUUUGGCAAGCUCAAUCCAACCUCAUGAAGACAGGACUGGUUUAAGGUGAUCAACUCAGUUUUUUGUCUUGUACAACAUCGGAACCUCCACCUCUUGUCAUGGAUGUCAAUACGUUCAAGCCAAAACUAGAAUACCAAGAAAGUUAAUUAAUUCAUUAACUUUUCAGAAUGUUCUCCCCUGCACUCGGCAGAAAAGGCCUCUUUCUUAUAGCAUCUCCACUGGGAAAUGCCAUUUUUGAAGAAAAUGGUUUUUUAAAUAGUAUAAAUAUAACUUUUUGUAUUAUGUACAUUACAAUGGUAAAAAGCUAUUUAGAAAAGUCAUUUAUAUUUUAAUAUAUUUCAUGUUAAAUUUAUUUUUAUAUAAUUAUGUAACUAAUUUAGAUAUUUUAUAUAUAAUAUAAUUAUGAUGUUAUUAAUUAUAUAAUUAAUAUUAGUAAUUUAUAAAAAUAAUAUAAAAUUUAAUGAAAUAAUAUGAAAGUUAAAAGAUAUAAUUUAAAAUUAAACUUAAAAUUUAUUUAUAUGAAUAUUUUUAAUUUUCAGUUUUAUAUGUUACUGUUAAAAAUUUAAUUUUGAAGAUUUGGUUGAACAUUUAUGGGAACAAUAUGGUAACGAGUAGAAUCAUUAGCUUUGAACUUCUUAUGUCAUCAGAAUUUUCAAGUUUUUUAUGUUUUUUUUUUCAUUAUGGUUGUUAUCUUUUAAGUUAAUUAAUCCUACUUAUUGUUGUUUUUCAUUAUGGUUGUUAUCUUUUAACUUAAUUAAUCCUACUUAUUGUUGUUUUUCUAUUGUUGUUUUUCAUUAUGGUUGUUAUCUUUUAAGUUAAUUAAUCCUACUUAUUGUUAAUAAUUAACCGGAGAAUAAUCGAUUAUUGUUUUUUAAAAUUUAAGAGAAGGGUGAGGCACAAUAUAAAAAUUUAAAACUACAAGUUUUUUCUUCAUGUAUUUAUAAAUAAAAUUUUCUAUGUAAAAAAAAAAAAAAAAAAAACUGUUGGCCAACGGCUAUAAAAAUAGCCGUUGGCUAUUUGGCCAUUUCUACAGUUAAAUGUAAAAAUGGUUCUUCAAUUUAUAAAAAGCUAUUUUGGCUGUCACGUUAGCAUUCCCGUUGGAAUGCUAACAGUAAGGAAAGAAGAGCCAUAUUACAUAUGGCUCUUCAUUUGGCAGCUCCAUACAUGGAAGGUUAUUUUGACUAGUUAAAAAAUAUUAUUAUUUUAAUAAAAAUAAUUGGUUUAUAUCGAUGAUAUAAUAUGAUGACCUUAAGGAUUUAUCCAAUUACCCUGUAAUUUUUUUUUCUAGAUAAAUUAAUGGGUUUACAGAUAUAAUUUCAAACUCAAACAAAUCGAGAAAAAGACGUAGUAUACUUCCUUAGGUAUGAGGACAAAGCUAUGAUAAUAUUUAAAUAUUAUUUAGUCAUUGCAUUGCAUUGAUAAUAUAAAUAUUUUUUUCUUUCUUUUCUAGAAACAGACAACCUAAAGAUCAAUAAAUCCGAGAAACGAACGACGAACCAACAAACUGACGUUACAACUAUCGACUAGUGGCUCAACGUCGCAUCACUUUAGCUUUACCUUUCGAUUAUUUUUCUCUUAUAUGUUAUUUAAUUUAAUUGUAUAUAUUUAUAUACUUAUUCACUAUGAGCUUGAUUGAUUAGAUAACAAAAGAAAUUAGCAAAAUGUCCUAAAACAAUCUUUUAUCCCGAGGAUCCAUCAAAAUAUUUUAUAUCUAUUUAUUUUACUAUAUUGUGUUAUUAUGCGAGUUGAAUUAAAAACAAAUUAAGUAAAAAAGAAAUAUUCUGAUUUUUAGCAUUUAUUAAAUCCGAUCCAACAAAUUAAUAUUAAAAUUUUCUGAUCUAAUUUUUUAUCAUACUCGAGUUUUAAAUUUAACUAUAUGAAAAUUAUUUUAAUAUAUUCUAGUCGAGUUAACAAGUCUAAAAACAACCCAGAUAAUAGGUAGAAACAUGGUCUAAUUUAAUUUUUUUAAAAUAUUUUUUUUGUAUUGAAACAACGAUAUAUUAGAUCGAUCAAGGUUUUAUGGCUUAACUUGUUGAACUCGUAAUCCUGGUUAUGAACUCCAUUGAAUUUAAUAAAUUUGUUUAUAAUUGUUUUGUAUAAAGUUAUUGUAAUUUCAAAUAAACUUUCUGGUACUUAGUUAAUAUUUAAUUUUAUAAAAAUCAAUUUCAAAAUUAAAUUUCCCAUUGAGUUUUAGAUAAUCAAUAAGGUUUAAGUUUCUAAUAUUAUAUUUCUAGGUCAGAACCAAUUUUUUUAUUAAAAAAAUAACAUUGUUUUGUUUAAAAAAUUGAUCUAGUUAACCCAAAAAGUCACAAGUAAAUCAACAAUUCAACAAAAUAGAUUUUUAACAUGAUCAAAACCAGAACCAGGUUGGACGACCACGCCAUAAGUUGCAUCUUAUUUUUGUCUUUGCAAUACAAUAAUACUUACAAACAAUAAAUAACUAAUUUGACAAGUACUCGUGUGAUUCACAUGGAUUGAACCCCACAUUACACACGGAACAGACAACACAAUAACCCUGACCAUGCUCGACCUUGAGUUAAGUUGUAAAAUGUUCUUCCUAACUAGAUGCACAGCUACGCCUUAGGGAGGGAGGGACGGAGAGAGAGAGAGAGAGAGCAAAGUGAAAUACAUGACUUUAUUCUUAUUUACUUUUUAAUUUUUUUUAAAUUGAUUAUUUUAAUUUAUUAUAUUUGGUUUUUAUUUUUUUAAUUGAUAUUUAUUUUAUUUGUAAUAAUUUAUAAAAUUAUAAUUUUUUUUUUAAUUUUAUUAUCUGUUAUGUGAAGCUAUAUCCCUAUAUAUAAAAAAAAUGAUUUGAUUGUGCUUGGGAUUGGGUGUAUGCCUACAUACUUAGUUUUCUGAACAGGCCUUGAUCUUUAUUAGGGCAGAAAAUGAGCAACGUAGCACUAACCUUCUAUUCAUGUCUUUUUCCAAAAAGACUUUGACUUGUAGUCUACUUUCUCAUAUCUUGUUUGUUUUAUUUUUAUUUUAAAAGUAUUAUUAAAAAAAUUAAAAAAAAUUAUUUUUUUUACUUCAAUUUAAUAUAUUUUUUAUGUUUUUAGAUCGAUAUGAUAAUAUUAAAAAUAAUUUUUAAAAAUUAAAUAAAAUUUUAUUUUGAUACAUUUUCAAGUGAAAAAUACUCUGAAAAACAACCACUACCACACUCCUAAACAUUUCUAAAAGGAAUACAAGUUUUUUGUUAUUUACAUUUAAAAAAAUUAAAAAAAUAGCGCAGCUCAGCCUCCUUCCACUCAGAGAUGCCUUCUCUAACCUUCAAGCGUCUCUUUUUUCUUUUUUUUUUUUUUCUCUAGCUACUCAUAUGUCAUUGCGGCAACAAUUGCUUACUAGGGACAACAUUAGCUUUUUAGCUUCCAUUGGUUUAUCCAUGCAUUGCCUCUUUCAUUUCUUAACUGAUCGAUCGUUUUUAACAUUCCAUGUUGAUUUUUUUUAGAUGAAGCUCUCAAAUGUACUUGGAAUCAACAACUUAGGUUACAUGAACAUCACCCUUUUUCUCACAGAUACAUAUAAAAGAACUUUGGCAUGCUUAAUUGUCUUACUAUGGCUUUGUCUAAAUAUGAUGAUUGAUCUUUCGCUUAAGAGUUACUUUCCAUGCCAUUGUUCAUUCUUCUCCCUUUCAAUUUGCCUUAGCAUUUGUUGUUUCCCUUUCAAUUCUUCUACUUUUUAUGAUGUUCAAAAGAAAAUUUUCCACCAACUACUUUAAAUGUUAUGUUCAAAGGACAGUAGUUCCACUGUUACUUUUAGCCUGGAGUUCACGAGGAAGCAAUGAGAAACUAGAUUUGCCUUCCCUGCCUUUCCAACUUCCAUAAACAGUUUGAGUGGCUUGCACAAUAGAUAGCUUUUAUUGUCUUUUUUCUUUUCAUUUGUAAUUCACAACAAUAGAUUGGAUCUGAUUAUCUUGGUCCGGAAUAAACAUGAAAAAAAUAAAAAGAAAAAAAGAAACAUACAUUCUCUACUUUAGAUGGCUUGAGCAUCGUUCGUUAAAAAAACAGAUUGGGUCGGAUUAUCUUGGUCUGAAUUGAAAUUUGCAAGAAAAAAAUACAGAAACUUGCAUUGUCUGCUUUAGAUGGCUUGAGCAUUGCUUGCUAGAUUUCAUUAAUUUCUCUUUUUGCAAUGAACUCUUGCAUAGCUGACAGAUCAUGCUACUUUUUUCACGCUAUUAUUGUUCUCUAUUGAACUGCCAAGAUUGGAUAAUGGCCACUGUGAUUAGAGAAACUGAAAUAAUUUAUAGUAUGCAAGUCUAUAAAUUCAUUAUGGCAGUCAUGUUUUUAUCCAAACAUUGCCAAGAGUCAAGACCAAAGUUAAUCAAUAACAAAAAGAUAAGAAAAAAACCCCUAAGAUAAAAGUGACAAAAUUCAUGAAACUCAAACACCAAUAAUGUAAUAAAUGAUAAGAUUAAAAUAAUCAAUUAAAGAAAAAUUAAAUGAACUCAGAUUAACUUGAUUUAUUCAUGACCUGGGAUAUUAAAUAGAAAUAAUCUUAAAAAUAAAAUAAAACAAAUAACAAAGUUUAAGGCACAAUAAGCUAAGAUUGAUUAUAAAAAAAAAUAAUUAAUUUUCAACCAUAUUGUUCAUCCCCUCAUGUUUGAUGUGCUAAGGAUAUAGAACCAAGUAAUUGUUUUUUCCCUGAGACUAAGAGUUAGUGCGUAGCAGAAUGAGCCUUCCUUCUCUCAUUCUGAUCAAUCGUCUUGGAGAGCCUAAGUUCUUGCCUUGAUCAAGACUCCUAUCUUAUCUUAGUUAUUCAACACAUAUGAAGAAAUUUUCCAAAAUCAUUUCUUGACAUAACAUCUUAGUUAUUCAACUGGUUUAGUGGAUUAAUCCGGUUGAAUUAGAUUUAUUUUUUAAUUAUUUUUAUUAUUAUUCAACAUUAGAUUGAUUAAAAAUUAGAUUUAUGAUUUUUUAUUUGCUUUCUAUCAAGAUUCUCCUAAUAUAUUUUUAUAUCUCAGGUUAAAAUUAUGGGGCAAUUGGAGUUUAAAAGGCCUUGCAAAAUUGCUAGUGACAUUUUCAUAAUUUUGUUUUGAAAGGUUAUUUUUUGUGUUCUUUUUUAGAAUAAUUUUUUUUUAAUUUAACCAUUCAAUAAUAGGUUUAUUAAGAAUUUUUUUAUUUGCUUUAUUUGGGGUUAUUAUGGUCUCAUAACCUGGAUUAUGGAUUUAGAAGGUUAACCUGAGUUGAUUCGAGUUAAUCCAAUAAAUUGUUAUCUCAAUAUUGUUUUUGAAAAUAUGUCAUCUUAAACUUUUUUGAGUCAAACUCUAGUCUUACUAGUUGUUGUCUUUGGACCCAUAAGUCGAUCGGGUCAUAUCGGUUCAACUCUCACUUUUUUACUUGUGUUUAAAAUUUAAAUUACAUAAUUUCAAGUUAGUUUAUAUUUAAAUAUGAAUUGAACUUAUGUUUAUUAAGUUUAAUAUAUAUAUAUAUAUAACAGUAUAAUCUUAAAUAGCAUGCUGAAAUGCUCCGAAAUCAAAACAUACCGUUUGAAUUAAAAAAUAAAACACUAUCCGGAACGAGAUUGAUAACCUGACGUGAUAUGUUUAAAAUGAGCAUCAUCGAAUCAUUUAGAGCAACCGUGUACAUAACAAGGGCGUCCCCUUCUCCGUCCAGAGAUUAGGCACUGAAUCUUUCGUUACAGUUAGAGUAGGCGAAGCUUGUCAAUCUUACAAAGGUGGUAGAAUUUGAGGAUUUUUAUUGUUCUUUCUCAUUUUUUGAAUGAAACUGUACUAUCUUACAUAAAAUUUAAAACAACACUGAGAUUUAUACAUAUUCUCUGGUUAUUAUUACUUGCUAAAUGGAAGGAGUAUGGAGAUUUGAAAUUACAAUUGUCGCACCGACAUCGCAGUGCGCCCUAAAAAAUAAUUCUCUUGAAUUAUUAAUGAAAAAAAACAAGUUUCUGGCAUCUUGUUCUUUUAGAAAAAUGGUGUUGUUUGAGGAGUCGCCACCUAGUAUUAUGGUUACUAGAACCCUAACUGGUCAACAGAGAUUCUAUGACUCGGAUUGGUUACGUAAAAGGGAAGAUAUUAUCACCUUAAACGUUCUGCCUAAGCAGACUGCAUUGUUGUUUUUUCUUAAAUUGCUAAAUAUUUAUUAAUUUAUGCUGUGAUGAUUUGUCUAUAAUAUUCCUGACUCUACGCCAGUGAAUAUUCGAGCUCGAAUAAUUCCAACUUUGGCGUUGGUAAAAAUUCGUAGCUACGACAAAAAUUAGAUCAAUAUAUUUUAUUCCCUACUCCAGCGCCAGUGAAUAAAUAAAUAAAAAUAAAUUUAUUUUUUACGCAUGCACACUUUUUUUUAUUUUUUCUAGCUAAACAAAAUAAAAAUACAACGAAUAAAAAUAAUAUAAAUUUAAACCGUAUUUUUAUUCCUGACUCUAGCGUCAGUUAAUAAACCAAUAAAUUUACAUUAUUUUUAUUCAUGCAUACAUAUUUUUUAUUUUUUUAUUUUUUAUUUUCUGUUUUUUCUGUUUUUUUUUUUUCUAUUUUUUUAUUUUUUUUGGGCUGGGUCCAGCUCAGCCCACAUGGGCUGGGCUGGACCCAGCCCGGUUACUGGCCCAAGCCAGUGACCCGGCUGGGCACGCAUGCUGGCAACAGUAAUAAGGUAAGUGUAUUACCUUUGCAAAGUAAUAAGUGAAAUGAAUUUGAAAAGUGGGGAAGAGGAAGAACUUACCUGGUCUGCUGGAGGCGAAGCGUUCUUGUUCUCUGGCUCUUCUCCGUUUUUGUUCGCCUGGCUUGCUCUCUGAUUUAGGAGACGGAGGUGUGAUGGAUGAGCGGCCAAAACUCUGCUUCGGUUCCUUUGUAUGCUCCUGCGUUGUCCUCUUGUUCUUCCUCUGUUUCGGUUUUUUUUCUUGCUGGUUCUCGGUUCCCCUGUUCGUGUUUCCAGUGUCUUCGUCCUCCUGUUUCUGGGUUUCUUGGUCUGCUGCCUUUUCUUCUUCGUCUGUGAGUUCAGUGGUGAAGGGGGGAAGGCGCUGCCCCCUGAGUUACUUGUUUCCUUCUCUAUGGCCUUCUCUGGCUUACCAGAGAAUGGCGCCGAGCGCCUCUGUAUCUUUUAGAAGAAACAAGGGCACAAAUUCUGCUCCCCUCUGUACAGUCUCCCUACCCGGUUCUGCUCCCUUUUCUUUCCUCCUUAUGCAUGGACUAUCUCUGGCUUUUAUAGCCAGAGAAGAAUGCCGUUUCUUUAAGCCAUGAAUUGUGUUAAUUGCAGGUGUAAUGGUGGGAGCGGCGGGGCGCCCGUUUCAGUCGGGAAGAAGAUGAACAGAAAAGGGAAAACGGCGCCGUUUUUGUGUUUAAUGGCUAUUUGCAUUUUAGACCUUGUAUUUUUGACAAUUGUGUAAUUAAGUCCCUAGUUAAAUUAUAAUUGGACCCCUGUAUUUCGGCGCCAUUUUCAUGCUGGUCCUUGGAUUUUAUUGUUUGCAAUUUGGACCUCAAUUAAACUCCAAACUUUGAUAUUUCCUUAAUUAAGUCCCUGAUUUCAUUAAAUUAAUUAAAUCCAAAGUCCAAUUAAGUCGCAAAACUUAUCCAUUCUCCAAUUAAACCCUUAAUUGGAUUAAUUAAAUCAAUUCCAAGUUUAAUUAAGUCUCAAAACUUAUCAAUUCUCCAAUUAAACCCUUAAUUGGAUUAAUUGAAUUAAUUCCAAGCUUAAUUAAGUCUCCAAACUUAUCAAUUCUCCAAUUAAACUCUUAAUUGGAUUAAAUAAAUUAAUUCCAACCUUAAUUAGAUUAAUUCCAACCUUUAAUUAAAUCCCAAAACUUUCAUUCAUAUUGCCCUUAACCUAAAAUUUAAUUCAUUCUUCAUUUAUUUCAUUUUACUUCUUUUUUCAUCAAUUUUUUUUUAUCCUUUUCAAUAAAUAAAAUAAAAAUAAAAAUAAAAAUAAAAUGAUCAAAAAUUGGGUUAUGAAAACAAUGAUUGUUACAAACCAAACUUUUAAAACCGACAAUUGUUCGUUCCUUCCAUUAAGCCCACGUGAUUCAGAUGGAAUGCAAUCAAUCCAGUUUAUACCCAAAGGUGGAGCUUUUCUCUUUCAAUGGUAGUCUUCAGCGGGUGGAGGAUGAACGUGAGGUGGAAUCACCAGGUUCACUGGAUAAAAUCUAUUACGUGUUGAAUGUCAUGUAUAACGGGGUAAGGAAUUAUGAACCUUGAGAGGACGAACAUCUUGAAACUCUUUUAAAACCGUAAUUACUUCUUCAAGUGGUUUCUCUAAAACUUUCUUAACCACUAAAGCAAAUACAACAAACUCUUGAUGAACCUGAUUGUCAAAAUUAUUUGGGCUUAUAAGAUUAAAUCCCUUUCCUUACACAUGCUUUUUUUUCCUCAUUAUUGUUGUUAAGCCUUGGUACUGGUGGUCCAACUAAGUAGAUCUUUCUACUUUUAAGAGUGAAAUAGUAAGAAUUUGACAUACCAAAAAUGACGAUGUCCAUAUCACAGAGACAUUAUAUACCUAACAUAUCCUACAUUUAUUGGAGUCACAUUACACUCUCAUCAUGGUAACUUGAGAAAGUAAUAGGAAAAAUACAUAUCUCUUUGAUUGGUAUGGAAGUGUUAUUAACCCAUGAUUUUUAUCAAUAAUGUAGUUUAUACCUAGCCCUUUUUGCUUUUGUUUUUGGAGGAACGACCGAUGCCCAUUUAACAUUGCAUAGUUUUUUCCCUCGUUCCUCCUAAGAACCAAAGAAAGAUAUGAUAUGUUUCUCAAUUUUGGUAGCAACAAUGGAUGUGAUAGGAAAUAAAGAAAGGUUGUAGAUAGGGAGAUUAUUUAUAAUUGAUUUAAGCAAGCUUAGUGACGACCUUUCCAGGCAGCCAACUUGCUAUUGAUUCUAUUAACAAUAGUUUUCCACAUGAGAUGAAGAUGCACAAAUAGGCAGGCCCAAAUACUUAAAUGGCAUCCCCUCCAUCCUACAUAUUAGAUUGCUAAAGAAGUAACAAUAGUUCUAGUGAUUGAGCUCUUGUGGAAAUUAACCUUCAGCCUAGAAAUCAACUCAAAACAUCACAUAGUUCUUUUGAUGUUUUGAAGAGAUGGAAAAUCAUAUGAACUGAAGAUGAGUGUAUCAUCUACAAACUAAAAGUGAGUAAUUUUCGGUUGAUCAUGACCAAAACAAAUACCUUUUAUAAGUCCCAAAUCACAUCUGUUCUUAGCAUUCUACUAAGACCCUCAGUUGCUAUAUUGAAAAGAGAUGUUGAUAAAGAGUCCCCUCUUCGCAAUCCCUUUUCCAUAAAGAACUCUACAAGAAUUGAAAGUUUUGUUGUCGAAAUACAUUAUUGUAUCCAUCAUCUCCAUCGUGAACCAAAACCUACACAAGCCAUAACUGCCGAGAUACCUGGGCAGUAAUUGUUGUGCGUGGUCUAGGAUCGUGUGCGAUACCACUGAAAGGCGAGUGAUCCAACUCUCUCUUGGGGGUGCUGGGGAUUGGGGGUUAGGCGAGUGGGUUCUCAAAGCAUCUUUGUUUCUGCCUUUGAAAGAAUUGCAAAGUCUUGAUUUGAAGGCUAAUGAAUUAGUUGGGUGCCUUUGAGAAUCAAGGCUGGUUCAUAUUAUUGUGCUAUACUAAAAUUAAAAAUGAUGAAAUGGCUGCUGUUUAACGCUACUUAUUUUGCUUUGAUAUUUCUCUUGCAGGCUUUGGAGUGUUGAAGCCUUGUACGUAUUAAUUUUCGCAAGUUCUCCAACUUCAGAAGAUCUUAGCAUGGGAGUACUGAAUUUGUUGUGGUUGCUGGUGAGGGAAUAAGUUGUUUGCUUCUUGCAUUCUUGGCCCAAAAUUGUGUUAGUUCGAAACUUGUCGGCAAUUUUCUUGAAUGUGUCCAGCUAAUGGGUGCUUUUUAGUGUGUUGACCUCAUAGCUUAGCCUUAUUGUUGGUCGUUUCACUAGUGAAGUUUUGUAACUAUAUUGAUCCGUGGAAUCCUAAGUCUGUCUUGUUUAAUUACUUUGUUUUCUUUUUUGCACUGACCAUCAUGUUGGAGUAUUCUUAUCAAGAAGUUAACAAUGGUAUAGUCCAUCCUCAAGUUCAGUUUCUUAUUCAUCUCUUCCUAGUUUAACAUAAAAAAUGAGAAAACUAUAUAGAAAACUCCUACUAAAACUAACUCUUUUAACUUGUCUCAAGGUGUAUACCCUACAGAGAUAUCCUUUAAUGAUGAAAACCUGUUACUUGGAUAAAAACUCCAUAAACAACAUUUUUUUUAUUAAAAGAUAUAUCAAUAAAAAGAUGGUAAAUUGUAUCUUGGUGGAUAAUGAUUCGACUAUUAAUAUACUACCUCUUAAGAUUAUAAAAAGACUCGAGAUUUAUAUUUAUGUUUAUAUAUAAAAACCAAUAUUGUUUUGACAUGCACACAUAAAAUUAGGUUGAUUCAACUUAACCUGUAAUAUGAUAAAAAACCAUGAUACAAAUCUUACUCUAGGUUAAACCCCGAGCAGUGUCUAACAAGGAUUGUUUGGAAAAAGAUUCUGGAAACCCACAGUAUGCAUAAGGAAAUCACCAGGAAAUUACUCAUCUUGGCCAGUAGUGCUAUAAAGAAGAGAAAGUGGAUAUUCCACUUUCUCAUCAAUUACGACAAUAAUUGACUCCCAGUCAAUGUGGUCCACGCAAAUUGUUUGGUGAGGUUACAUGCCAACAAAACUAAUUUGAAUAUUUUUAAUGUGGAAAAAAUAAUUAAAUGUUGUAGUGAGAUUAUGUUUUUUAUUUAUUUCGAGAUAAUAAAAACAUUAUAUUUAGAAAGGUUUCGGAUUAAUUAAAUAGGUUAUGAAAAUAUAAUUGCUUAGUGGUAUAGAUCAUGAAAAUAUGAUUGCUUAGUGGUUGUUUAAUGGUAUAGAAGUAUUAGGUUAACAAUUAGACAAUAAAGUUAGAAGUUGUUAGUUUAAGUAUUUUACAGGGGCUACUGUUUGAUCCAAAAAAUGAUUUGAAUAGAAACUGUUUUUAACCCAAAUUUUAUACAUAGGAAAAGCUUGUUCUCUCUGGUUUUUAAUACCAUAAAUGGUGCAUUAAUCCAGUUUUCACAGAAAUAGCUAUGAUGAAAAUAGUAAAGAAUACGUGGACGGACUAUCUGUUAACAAUACCCAGGAAUGAUUUCGGGGAUUAUUAUAAAUUAUAUAAAAGGAAUUGCUAUCUGAAUUAUAUACAUGGAUGAAAAGGUAAUUGAGACUAGUUUACAACCCAAAAAGCAUAAUAGAAUUCUGAAUGCUCUAGGAGCUAUGAUUAGUUUAUUAGGUAGCAUGUAGUUAACAAAUUAUUGUAGUUAAGUGUUGGAGGGAUUUUAACAGGUUAUAUGCUUGCGAAUAGGUUUUCUGAGCUGAGAUUUCAGACCAGGCAAAGUAGAGAAGUUAGUAGCAGCGAGCAAGAACCAUGAACUCACAAACCACACCAAUAUCAGAAAUGUGAGGAAUCAUUAGCAAAAAGUUAAAAAAAAAAAUAAUGACAUAAGCAAGUGUCGGUCAAGUAAUAUACAUAGACAUCUUUUUUUACUUCCUCCAGAGGUACAGAGUAUAGGAGUUUACUUCGCCACCAUUUUGUCUAAAAAUUCUAGCUACGAGCUUCAUGGUUAAUUUUCUUGAAUUGAAAGAACCUUUCAUUUAUGGCUAUGUUCUAUAAUAUGUAAGUGAAUUAGUUGCAAACCAGGGGAGUCUAUGUGAAAACAUUACAAUAGCAUUUACUCUGAGUAAGAACACCUCCAUGCAUGUGCUGUAAUUGACAAAGAAAAAAAGAGAAAUCCUUUCAAUUAAUGAAAAUGCAAUGAGUUAACCUUAUAUCACACUGCAAUAUAUACUCUACAGUAUUGAAGUAUGAAAACAUUGAAACGGGAAUAAAGAAAAUAAUUCAUCAAACAAUAUGAGGGUUGUUUGGAAAAAGAUUCUGGAAGAGACCACCAGUAUGCGUAAGGAAAUCACCAGGAAAUUACUGCAUGGUUGCUUUUAAAAAUCAAAAUGGUACACAGCAAGUCAAGCAUCCGCGUUCACAACCUUUUAAUGCUUGAACUCAUCUUAGCCAGUAGUGCUAUAAAGAAGAGAAAGUGGUAUAUCCACUUUCUCAUCAAUUACUUAAGAUUUGUGGAAGAUAUGAUACAGGAGAUAAGAAAAUGAUUGCUAUUAUCCACAAUUUCUCUGUUAUAUAUAUAUAUAUAUAUAUAUAUAUAUUUGUGGAAGAUAUGAUACAGGAGAUAAGAAAAUGAUUGCUAUUAUCCACAAUUUCUCUGUUAUAUAUAUAUAUAUAUAUAACAGAGAAAUUGUGGAUAAUAGCAAUCAUUUUCUUAUCUCCUGUAUCAUAUCUUCCACAAAUCUUAAGUAAUUGAUGAGAAAGUGGAAUAUCCACUCUCUUCUUUAUAGCACUACUGGCUAAGAUAUUAAUGAAUCCUAUAUAUUAGGCGUAGUUUCAUGAAUCCUUUCCAUUAGAUAAUCAAUAAUAUUGUAUAUAUUCUUUUUGGAGAAGUAACUCAUUUCACACCCUUCUUGUAGUUUUCCAUUCAUUUUCACACCCCAGUUGCCACCUGCUUUUCUUUCCACUCACGCACACAGUUAGUGCAAAAAAGCACUACGACAAUAGUUGACUCCCAGUCAAUACGGUCUACGCAAAUUGUUUAGUGAAGUCUUAAAUUGUUUGGUGAGGUUACAUGCCAACAAAACUAAUUUGAAUACUUUUCCCAACCUGGCGAAUAGACUAAGAGCUAAACAAUAAAAUAAAAUAAUAUUCAAAUCUCAAAACAUGGAACCUGCACAAUAUAUGCAGAUAAAGUCAUGGAAAUGACCAAAGUGUUAUAAAAGAGUGUCUUGGGAACUUACAGUAGAUUUCGUUGGAACUCUUGUCUCAGGACAGUAGCAUAGCUUCUUGAAUCUCCGUUUCUAAUCGGAACAGGGGAGCAACGAGAAGCUUGGAGUGGUCGCAGAUUGUCUUUCUUUUGCUCAUGAGGCUGCCUGUCGAAACGCUGAAGAUUUGCCCGCAGCUUGUAGGAAUCAAACCAAAGCUCCUUUUAAGAAAAUUUAAUGACCAAAAGGACGAAAAUCAUAAAAAUCUGCCUUGUGUUUAAAAGAGACACCUCCCUUCUGUUUCCUGAACAUGUCAGGUCAUAUUUUUGGCUGCACAACUUGUAUCCCUAGCGAUCCCUCCUCUUUUUUAAUUCCUGUGUGCUAUUGUUUUAGAUCUAUGUAAUAUGCUGAAAAUAUUUAUUUUCAGCACACUGCUCAUCUACUAUUUGUUUAGUUUUCUUCUUGGGCAUAAUCAAGGGCAUGCGAGUCAUUACAAUUUUGAUCGGCUCCAAUUCGAUUGAAUCAGAACCUAACAGACAUCGGUGUGGUAUAGAAAUUAAGAACACAUCACAGGGAAUGUAUAAAAUGAAAUUAAUGAAAGAAUCGGGAAUUACCAAGCUUAUAUCCAUCUACAAUCUAGAACAAAAUGGACUUUGGUUUCUUACAUCAAUUUUCUUCAGAGUUCACAGCUAUGACAAUAAGCUACCAAAGACAAACAUGUUCUUGAAAAAUUUGGUAAACAAACUUAAAUCAUCUGUAACAUUUACAGACUCUUAUGUAGAUAUCUUAUUGGUUGGGAUUUACAAUUUACACUUUCUAAUUUAUAAAACCAGGAGCAAAUCACAUAUAAUACAGUUCGUCAAAGGUUUCCCUGUCAAAAUGGAGUUCCUGGUGGGUUCUUGGACACAUGCAAGCACAUUGCAAAGGCUCCAGAAUUCACAAAUCUCCUGAUGGAAUGACCGCUGGCUAUCCCAUGCUAUAGCUGGCUAUAUGUGAGGCCUUAAUUUGCCUAGGGCCAUAUGAUCCACAUAAUAAUUUCUAUUUAAACUAUUUUUAUAAAAAAAAUAAAACAAUCAUUUAAUUCUUCCUUUUUAAUUUAAUAUAUGAUAACUUGAUUUAUUUGAUAGGUAAGAUCUAAUGAUUUGAUGUUUUAAAAAGUACAUUUGAUUUGUUUUUAAUGUAUUGUUGAAGAAUUUUUAUAUAGUAUUUAGGCUUGAUCCAAUAUAAUUUUAUUUUUUUAUUAACUUCAAGUAGAUAAAAAAAAUUUAAAAGUUUUUGAAAGAGCUUCCAUGCUUGGAAUUUUAGUUUGUAGCAAUGGCCUUCUAUAGUUUGUAAAUAAAAUGACGAAAUUUGAGAGAAUUAGUUUUUCUAGAAAUUUAUAGGAUAUAAUUAAUAACUUGACUUUAUUUUAAAAGGAUUAAUGGACAUCAUAAAUUUUCAACUAAUAUAUAUAUAGGAACUGCAUGGCCACAAAAAAAAAAAAAAAAGUAAGCAUUUUCAAUAUUUUAGCUAACCGACUUGGAUCAUUGAUGAAGUGUUUAUAGAAAUUAAUUUUUUUACGACCCUCCUUAAUUUUCAUUUGAAAUCUUGAAGGAUAACACAAGAAUUAUAUUAUUAUAAGGUAAAACUAUAGAGAAAGUGAAGAAAAUAUUAGAGCAAAAGACGAUUUUCCAACCCACUAAUCAAUUCCUUCAAAGAGGAAGAUUCUCUAUUUCUUGAAAGGCUAAUUUUGCACUAUUGUUUUCUUGCGGAAUGCAUUCACACUACAUUUAAUGUUUGAUUUUGCCAACACCAUUAAAAUUAAAGCAUGAUUUUCUAAACGUGAUUUCCAUAAAGAUAGAAGGGAGGGCUCUGUGUCCAUCAUCUUCAUGGGAAGUGAGCUGGCUAGCGCUAACUUUUAUUCAUGUUUUUCCACAAAGACUUUGACUUGGGGUCAACUUUCGGUUAAUGUUUUUUAUAAUGUUAGAAAAAUCACUUUAAUUAUUCUUUCAAUCUUCCCGUGUGAUUCACUGCUUGGUGAUUCUAAAGUCGCCUAUUCAAACUUUAGCACAUUAUACAACUAAAUUUAUUCUUUCACUCGGUGUUUAUUAUAUAUUAAAUUCGUUAAUCGUUAGAAAACUUCGUGAUUAAUAAAUUAUCUUUGUCAGAGUUAACUGUUUUUAGAUGAGUCUGGAGUUAAUAAAAAUAUAAUAUGUUGAUACAAUGAAAAAUAUUAAGAGUUGAUUAAUAUUGUUAAGCCAUAUAUGUUUAUAUAUAAAAGUCAUUUCUUUUAAAUGUAUGUAUUUUGAAUUUAAUAUUAAUAAUUAUAAAAUUUAUAUAGUUAAUAAAAACAGCUUCACUUUUGUUCUCUUGUCUUUCUUUCACUAUUGUUCUUUUUUCUUCUUCUUUUGAACUGCCUUGUCUCUCUUUCUUUUCUAUUUUUCAUCUUUCAAUCCUUCAAGAUUCAAAACACAUUGCAAUUUAUGUUGGGAAUAUUGAUGAAAAAUUAAAUAUAACCAGAAAAAAAAUACAAAAAAAAUAAUAUUCUAGUAAAGCAUUUACAUUUCCAUUGAAAGAUGCGUCAUUUAUUAAUCUAAGGUCCGUUGUCCAUUAAUUAAUUGGCGGUUGCAUUCUAACACUUGAGAUUUAUUUUUUAUGCUUAAGCAUUUAAUUAUAAUUUUUUUGUAAACUAAAUUGAAAUUAAAGCAUAUUAGUUAUCCAAUCCCAAGCUUAUGGGGCAAUUGUCUCAUGGACCUAUCUCAUAAAAAAAAAAAACGCUUGAUAGCAAUGGUCUCCUGGAAUAUAUUGUGGAAAAAAUGCAAAUGGCAAUAUAUAGUCUCACAGACCCAUCUCACACUACAAAUUCAUAUCCUUCUUACUUGUUGAUUGUGUUACAAAAAAUAGGCUCUUUAGAAAGAAAAAGAAGAAGACUUGUUGCCAUGACAAUGACAAGAAGUCUUGUAAAAAUAAUAUUAUUUAUGGUUCAUUUUAUUAACGAUACUUUUUUAUUUUGUCAUCACCAUCAAAAUUAAGGCAUGAUUUUCCACACGUUAUUUCCAUAAAGAAAGUAGCAAGUCUUCUACAUUUGUCUUUAUUAUUCAAAGUGAACUACCUAGUGUUAACCUUUGAUUCAUAUUUUUCUGAAAAAAAAAUAGAAACAAAACAGACAUGGGUUCAACUUUACAAGAUGGGAUACAAGUUUUCAGUUAAUUACUUUUAUGCAAUUCAAUUUUUUCUACAAUGUGGUUUUAAGCGUUGUUAAAUUUAAUUCAAGCCUAACAUUUUAAUCUAGAACCUAACCCAAUUUAGGUUUAGAAAAAACCAAAUGAAAGUUGACUCAAUCAAGCCUAGUUGACCAGAUAAAUCAACCCACAACUUAGUCAACUCAGUCAGAAACUAGUUUUACUUUUUUUAACGACGCAGUUUUGAUUUUUUCUUAAAAAAAUCUUAAAAUGAUACAAUUUUAGAUUAAUUAACACCAUUCAACAUAAGCUAACUUGUCCGAUUUAUAACCCAAAUCUUGAUCCGAGUAUUAGGCCAAUCUAUGACCUAAACCUCAUCUAGGUAUUAAAUCUAAUCAUGUUAAAUAAUUUUGGUUUUAAUAAACAAGACAUUCUUAAAAAAAAUGUCAUAUAUAAAACAUUUAAUUGCAUCCAAAUUGAAACAUUCACAAAUUGAUAUAAUAGUUAUUAAUAUUUAUUUUUAAUAGAUAUAAAAUAAUUUUUUUUAAUAAUUGAUUAAUAUUGUCAAAUCAUAUAUGUUUUUUGUGGUAUUUUUCUUUAAUUUCAUCUCUUAACAUUGAGUUUACUUAUCCUGAUCUCAUGAUCCAGAUUGAAGACUUGAUGGGUUAACUCAAUUUUUUUUUACUAUAUAUAUAUAAUGUUAUUAAUUCCUCCCCCUGUCUUGUAUAUAUUGUCCUCUGUUUUUCUUUUAUGCUAGCUAGCCUCUAAUUUUGGCCCUACCACCUUUCUAUAAUAAUACUCGACUAUUAAAAAAAAGAAAGAAAAGCAGAAGCAGAAAUAACUCGACAAUUUCUCUAAUGUGCAAAGGAGUGUUUGACGAGCUAAGGAUAUAGAGCCUUCCUUGUCUCCUUCAGGUCAAUCGUCUUGGAGAGCCUAUGUUCUUGCCUUGAUCAAGACUCCCAUCUUAUCUUAGUUAUUCAACAAAUAUGAAGAAAUUUUCCAAAAUCAUCUCACCCACCCCUCAGCCCUUUGUCAAUAAUUAUUUUCACAUUCUUAAACAUUUCAUCUUAAGUAAAAAAGAGAUGGAAACAACAGAAUUAAGUGAGUUUUGAUAGUACAAUUAUAAAGUAAAAAAUAUUUUAUGCAGAAUCACCCACGAAUAUCGAUAACAAUGCUGAAGUACUACAAUAAUUUUUUUAUUAUAUUUUAUUUAUAUAAAUUGGAUAAUUAGUAACCAAAAUAUAAUUUAAUGUAAAUAGACUAAGUGCUAAACAAUAAAUUAAAAUAAUAUUCAAAUCCUAGAAUAUUCCAAAAAGAAAUAAAAUAAUAUUCAAAUCUCAAAACAUGAAACCCUAAAUUAUUAUGAGAGAAGUAUAAUUAUAAAGUCAUGAAAACAAUCUUACGAAUGUGUACAAUAUUUUUAUUUAUUUAUUUAUUUUUAUAAAUUGAAUAAUUAGUAACCAAAAUAUAAUUAAAUACAAAUAGACUAAAGGCCGAACUAAACAAUAAAAUAAAGUCGGAACUACAUAAGAUAAUAUUCAAAUAUAUAUUAUCGACAAACACACCAUAAACAUAAAGGCCGAAGUGUCAGACUGUGGCACUUCUAGGUUAAUUCCGUUGGAUCAUUUGAAUAGUCAACAAUGGUGCGAGGUACUCUAGGAUACUUAGACCUGAGUACUUGCACACAAGCCAACUGACGGACAAAAGUGAUGUUUACAGUUUUGGAGUGGUUCAUGUGGAACUACUAACUGGGAUGAAGGCAAUUUCCUUGUAUAAGCCUGAGGGCCUUUAAGUGCUCAACAACAAAAUAAAAUAAUAUUUAAAUCCAAGAGUAUUCCAAAAAAAAAAAAAAUUCAAAACUCCAAACAUGGAACCUGCACACAAGAUAUGCAGAUAAAGUCAAGGAAAUUAAAUGGCCAAAGUGUAGUAUAAAUAGGACCUCUAUGGUUGCCCAAAGGCACAUCACAAACAACAAUAUUCUACGUAGUAAUUCAUAGAAUAUUAUCUAAGAUGAUGAUGAAAAGAAUGGGGGCUUGGAUCAUGUUGCUAGCAUUGUUGACUUUGGUUGGCGAAUGGUCUGGUCGUUGUUAUGGAUGUUUGGAGGAAGAGAGGAUUGGUCUCUUGGAGAUCAAAGCUUUGAUCCACCCAGAUGGCUUUUACUUGAGAGAUUGGGUGGACAGUAGUAAUUGUUGUGAGUGGCGUAGGAUCGAGUGUGAUAACACUACAAGGCGAGUGAUCCAACUCUCUCUUUUAGGUGCAAGGGUUUUCCGCUUGGGCGAUUGGGUUCUCAACGCAUCUUUGUUUCAGCCUUUUAAAGAAUUGCAAAGUCUUGAUUUGGGAUAUAAUGGAUUGGUUGGUUGCUUGGAGAAUGAAGGUUAGUUCAAUGUUUCUGCACUUAAUUAUAAUCAUAAAAUAAAUGAAGGUUGGUUGGUGUUUAAUGUCAAUUAUCUUGCUUUGAUGAUUCUCUUUCUAGGCUUUGAAGUCCUAUCAUCAAAACUGAGGGAACUUGGCCUAAGUUAUAAUCGAUUUAAUAAUGAUAAAAGCAUUUUGUCAUGUUUCAAUGGUAACCUUUCCAUUCUCAAGUCUUUGGAUCUGUCACAUAAUAAGUUGACAGCUGGAUCAGGUAGCUUCUAUGGUAACCUUUUAAUUAUUUAGCUUCGAAACCUUUUCUUUUCUCCUUCUCAUAUCAUUUAUUUCUACGCAUUUAAUUAUUUCCUUCCAAUAUGCUCUUGAGAAACAUCAUGCAGGUCUCAAAGUCUUGUCAUCAAGGUUGAAAAAGCUGGAGAACCUUCAUCUAAGGUUUAAUCAAUACAACGAUAGCAUUUUUCCAUCUCUAACUGGAUUUUCAUCCCUCAAGUCUUUGGAUCUUUCAGGCAAUCAGCUGACAGGAUCAGGUAUAAUACACAGUUUCUACCUAAAUGCUUCACAUGACAUUCUCUUAAUUAUAAUAUUGUUUCUUUAUCAAGAAAAAUGAGGACGACUUUAUAACUACGCAAAGAGGCACAUGGAAUGAGGUCCAGGAGGCAUAUAUUUUAUUCUUAUUUUGGCCCUUUUAUGCCAAAAGUGUUGUAAUAUUUAGAUUAAAUUAGCAAUCACAAGUUCACUUCAAAACUCUCCUAUAAAUAUAUAUUUUAUAUUUAUCUUUUUAAAUAAAUAUAUUUUUAUAUAUUUUUUAUGUCUUGAGAUACUUAGUCGAACACAACUCUAGGCAUUUUUUUUUAAUGAAUUUGAGUUUGAAUGGGUUUUGAAUAACAUAAUAAGAAGCUCUCUCCAAGAAUAUUGUAAUUAAGAAAAUUGUAAUUAUUAAAACUUGGAUCUUAACAUCAAUUAAAAAAAAAAACUAUCCAAUACAAAUCAAUCGUGUUUUAUCAAUAAAGAGAACAACAUAAAACCCACAUAUUUGAUAUUUAAUUCUUGUUUGUAGCCAUUUAUUAUUUCCUCUCUUUUUAACCAUGGUUUUAUAUUAUUUUGGACCUUUUUUUAAUCAAAAUAUUAUUCUCGGUGGAGGAUAUAUUGCCUUAUGGUCAUGGUGAAUGGUGAAAUAUUUGGACUUUAAGAAAUAAAACGUAAAAAACUUUAUAAUUCUUUAAUGCCAUGGAUAAAAUUGGGAAAGUACUUGCUAGAAAACAGAGGCAGUUAGAAACAAAUUAUAAUUACUAAAUUAGUGACAACUAAGCAUCUUGCUAACUAAAUAGAUAGAGGAAUUAAGUUACGAUUAUUAUUCUUGUUUUAAUUACUGAUGAGAACUUAGCUUCCAUCUUUUUAUGUAUAAGUUUCUUUAUCAUAACUUAGCUUCCAUCUUUUUAUGUAUAAUUUGAGAAUCAUAUAGCAAUUGAACAACAACAUCUCAUUAAUUCUAAUUAUAUAUAUUUAGUUUCUAUAUAUUAUUGCAUAUCGUGAGCUCAUAACUAUGACUUACUCUUAGAAACAACUCUUUGCAGGUUUUGAGAUCAUAUCAUCACAUUUGGGGAAACUUGAGAACCUGGACCUGAGCUAUAAUAUAUUCAUCGACAUCAUUUUCUCACAUCUGCGUGGACUUUCUUCUCUCAAGUCUUUAAAUUUAUCAGGCAAUAUGUUGCUAGGAUCGACGACUGUCAACGGUAAAGGUGUGAAAUCUUUGGAUUUUUCAAGCAAUUUUAUCCAAAAAUCAUCUCACUACAAAAGUAUCAAUUCUUUAUCAUAGGUUUAAGAACUCGAUCAAGAUAACACUUAAUUUCACUACUUACUUGAUUGUCUAUUUUCAAUUCUACACAUCAUAGGUUUAAGGACACUGGAAUUCCUGCAGUCAUUGCCAAUAUCCCUGAAGACCCUUUCUCUCAAGGAUACUAAUUUAAGUCGAGGUUAAUCAUAGUUUAGUUUCUUAAAAUCAUAAUUAAUAAUAUUGAAUGGAAUGGCCAUUCUGUACCACCACUAUUUUCAUCAUAUCUUUUUUCUUCUUCUUCUUUUCACAGGGACUUUCUUCAAUUCUAGCACCCUUGAAGAAUUGCAUCUAGAUAAUACUUCUCUCCCAAUAAACUUUCUCCAGAACAUUGGAGCAUUGCCUGCUCUUAAAGUUUUGUCUGUUGCUGAAUGUGACCUCCAUGGCACCCUACCCGCUCAAGGUAAAUUAACAACUCUCCAUCCGCCUAUAAUUACAUCAUCAACACUAUUUUGACUGUUUCGAGAUAAAUUGUACAGGUUGGUGUGAAUUGAAGAAUCUGAAGCAGUUAGAUCUCGCUAGAAAUAAUUUGGAGGUUCACUCCCAGAUUGUUUGGGGAACUUGUCAUCUCUACAACUAUUAGAUGUUUCUGAAACCAAUUUACUGGAAAUAUUGCCUCUAGUCCUCUUACCAACCUCAUAUCCCUUGAAUUCCUCUCACUAUCAAAUAACCUCUUUGAAGUUCCCAUUUCAAUGAAGCCUUUUAUGAACCACUCAAGCCUCAAGUUCUUCUCCAGUGAGAACAACAAACUUGUAACAGAACCUGCUGCCUUUGAUAAUUUGAUUCCAAAGUUCCAACUAGUCUUUUUUCGCUUGUCAAAAACAACAGAAGCACUCAAUGUAGAAAUUCCUGACUUCCUCUAUAACCAAUACUUUAGAGUCCUUGAUCUCUCCCACAACAACAUCACUGGAUUGUUUCCAUCAUGGUUGCUUAAGAACAAUACACGAUUGGAGGAACUAUAUCUGAGCGAGAACUCCUUUGUUGGUACUUUGCAAUUGCUAGAUCACCCAUAUCCGAAUAUGAUCGAAUUAGAUAUAUCCAACAACAACAUGAUCGGUCAAAUUCCAAAAGAUAUUUGUUUGAUCUUUCCAAAUGUGAGACUUAAGGAUGGCUAAGAAUGGAUUCACAGGUUGUAUUCCUUCUUGUUUAGGAAAUAUUAGCUCUUUGGAAAUUUUAGAUUUAUCCAACAAUCAAUUGUCCACAGUAAAACUAGAACAACUAACAACAAUAUGGUUUCUCAAGCUGUCAAAUAACAAUUUGGGUGGGAAAAUACCGAUCUCGACGUUCAAUUCUUCUAACUUAGUUUUUCUCUACCUAGGUGGUAACAACUUUUGGGGUCAGUUAUUAGAUUUAUCAUUAUAUGAGCAAAAAAUUUGGAUUGUAUUGGAUUUGAGUAAUAAUCAUUUUUCAGCAUGCUUCCAAGGUGGUUCGUCAAUUCUAUGGUCCUUAGAUCAAUUGAUUUGUCCAAAAACAAUUUUAAGGGUCCGAUCCCAAGAGAUUUUUGUAAGCUUGACCACCUUGAAUAUUUGGACCUUUCUGAGAACAACUUGUCUGGAUAUAUACCAUCUUGUUUCAGUCCACCAUCUCUAAUCCAUGUGCAUCUAUCCAAAAAUAGAUUGAGCGGUCCAUUAACAUAUGGAUUUUAUAACAGCUCUUCUCUGGUUACGAUGGAUCUUCGAGAUAACAGCUUCACCGGCUCCAUUCCAAAUUGGAUUGGCAAACUUUCAUCAUUGAGUGUUCUUGUUCUGAGGGCUAAUCACUUUGAUGGUGAGCUCCCUGUUCAGUUAUGCUUGUUAGAACAAUUAAGCAUUUUGGAUGUUUCACAAAACCAGCUCUCUGGUCCACUACCCUCCUGUUUGGGCAAUCUUACUUUAAAGGAAAAUUCCCAGAAAGCGUUGGUAUCCCAGUGGUUUUUUUCUACAGGUCCAUAGAAAAAGCUUAUUAUGAAACAAUGGGUCCACCACUAGUGGAUAGUAUUUUCAACUUGGAAAAUCAUAUGUUUUUAACUUUACAGAAGAAGUGAUGGAAUUUACAACUAAAAAUAUGCAUUAUGGUUACAAGGGGAAAAUUCUCAGCUACAUGUCUGGUAUUGAUCUCUCCAAUAACAACUUCAGAGGAGCAAUCCCACCAGAAUUUGGAAACUUAAGUGAGAUACUGUCAUUAAACUUAUCACACAACAAUCUCACUGGAUCUAUCCCUGCAACAUUCUCAAAUCUAAAGCACAUUGAGAGUUUGGAUGUUUCUUACAAUAACUUGAAUGGUGCCAUCCCUCCACAACUUACUGGAAUUACCACACUGGAAGUUUUUAGUGUGGCACAAUAACUUGUCAGGUAGGACACCCGAGAGAAAAUAUCAGUUUGGGACCUUCGAUGAAAGCUCUUACGAAGGAAAUCCUUUCUUGUGUGGACCUCCAUUGCGCGUAGCGAGGAAGCAGUGUUGUCGCCCAGUGCCUAAUGAUGAACAAGGAGAUGAUGGUUUUUACAUGGAGUUUUCUACAUCAGUUUCGGUGUUGUUACAGUUGUGGUGAUGACGAUUGCAGCAGUUCUCUACAUCAAUCCAUAUUGGCGACGCAGGUGGUUGUACUUCAUUGAAGACUGCAUAGAUACUUGCUACUAUUUUGUGGUGGCUAGUUUUCGCAAGUUCUCCAACUUCAGAGGAUGAAUUUGUUAUGAUUGUAUGCCUAGCUAUUGGGUGCUUUCAUUUGUAGUGUACUGUCUCUAAGCUCAGCCUUUCUAUUUGAUUAGUUAUUUGGGCUAAAUAUAUAAGUUGGACUUGUCAUUCCUGAAUCAUUAGGAAGGGAACUGAUUUGGAUUGGUCAUUGACUCGGAUGUGAUGACUCUUUCAACUCUCAAGACUUGUCCGAAAAUAAAUUGCCAAAACCACUACUAAGUAGAAACAAAAUAUUCUAUGCCUAUGUGACAACACUUACAUUUGCCUUUGUUUCAAGGGCGACCUUCUUUAACAGCCUUCCUGGUCGUUUCUAGUAGCUUCUUUGCUCUGCUCCUCAUUUCUUCUGAUUCUUCACCCAUCAUAAUUUGACUUCUCUACAGCUUCACUUUUAACAUGAUCUCCAUGCAUUCUAGGCCAUUCCUUAACUCCAGUCACCAACUUUUCAUUAUAAAAUUGCUCAGCAAUUAUUGCCCUUAUGCCUUCAAGAGUUGAGUUCCAUCCUCAAUGAGUCACAAAUGCACCUAUUGCUACAUGAUCAAGAAUCAAACCUUGGGAAAAGAGUGUCUUGGGAACUUACAGUAGAUUUCGUUGGAACCCUUGUCUCAAGACAGUAACAUAGCUUCUUUAAUCUCUGUUUCUAAUCGGAACAGGGGAGCAAUGAGAAGCUUGGAGUGGUCGCAGAUUGUCUUUCUUUGGCUCAUGAGGCUGCCUGUCGCGCUGAAGAUUUGCCCGCAGCUUGUAGGAAUCAAACCAAAGCCCCUUUUAAGAAAAUUUAAUGACCAAAAGGAAGAAAAUCAUAAAAAUCUGCCUUGUGUUUUAAAAAAAUCCAGUUAGAUCAAAGGAGAAGAUAUAUUAUAUAUUCAUAAAAAGCUUAAAGUAGAUAAACAUCAAACAUUGAUUAAACAUCUAACAAUGCAAGUAGCAAGGUAAAAGUGCUGCUCAUAUCAACCAGGACUUGUUAUGAAGGAAUAAAUAUUUUGGUGCUUCAAGGGUGGUUUUUUUAAUUUAUGUGGAAUCCAUUAGUAGAAAAGCAAGCUAUGAAGGCUAGGCUAAGAGAAAAUUGUCUACAUUACCAUCUCAUUAUAAGGGACAAUAAAAGAGGAAAAACAUUUUCGCCAAGUCGAGAAAGAGCGAAUGUAAAAGCUGAUGUUGGAUUGCGAAAAAACAUAAAUGGAUUCAAUUGAUUUUCAUGGGACUGCAAUUGAGGAACUGGAGGCUGUCCUAGCUGUAGAUUAGGAAUAGUCCUCCUGAAUCUGCUUGGGUUUAGAAAACUUACAAUCUGCUUCUCAUAGAAACUGGGUGUUGUGAUGUUUUUAGAGACCUGUAAGAAUGUUAUCAACCUGUAAGAAUGUUUCAAGCUGUUCUGACUUCGGUUGUUGCGGAUGAGAGUCAAGCUGGAAAGCAAAGUUAACAUACACGAGAAUUAAAAAUUGCAUUGAUCCUUUGUAGCAAAACAUUAGUGAAAAAAAUGUUUCUAUUCAAAUUCUUCUGUUGUGUUAGGUAGGUGAUUAGUGCAGAUGAUACAGUGACAGCAAUGCUGAUGAGGAAAACAAAUUAAAACAAAAGCUCAACGUGGGGAAAUUGCAGAUAAUCAUGCAUGGGCAGAUAAUCUGCAAGAAAUUGCAGAGAAAAUUUACCUGCUGUAACUUGGCAGCAAUUCUCUGGUACAUUUCAUUUAUUUCAUGGAAAUAAGUCUCCUUCAUGACUUUGAUCUAGGAAGUACAAAAAACCAGCAAAACAUUAUCAGUCAUAUGCUUGAUUUCUUCAGGUGCCAGUCAGAAAGAAAGUAACACAAACAAACUUAAGGGAAUUGAUAAAAAUAAAAUAACAAAAAGAGGGCAGAGGACAGCAUAUAUUAGUUGAGAUAAAAAUAGCAGAGUGGAAUUAAUGCUGGAAACUCAAGAGGAUGUCAAUAUUGAUGGAAUGGAAAGAUGCAAAGGGCUGUUUAAGUACACCUUUAGACAAGAUUCAGGGGUUGGUUAAGUUCAGUUACUUUGUCUCCCUGCAAACUACUCAUCAUUGUUUUCUGCUGUCAAGGCUCAAGUAAAUGGAUGUCACAACUUUAGCAACGCUUCUUAGCCUUAGAUCCUAAGCAUGACCCCAUGUAUCAUUAUCAAGAACCAUUCUUAUUCCCGUUUUAAUACUCUCCUAAGCACACAACGAUAGGACUAGUUGGAAAUAAAUAAUAAAAUAAUAAUUCACCACACAACAAAUAUAGGGAAAAAAAUCGAAAGGGAGAGGUUUGCAAUAAAAAACUGUCGUGUCAGAACCAAGCAAGCAAUCCUCUUGACCUAGAAAUCUGAAUAUUUUUACCUUCAUUCAUCUUAUCAAUGAUUAAUCAUUUGUUAGUUGUUGCAUUCAUGGAACUUACAAUGCUUCCUAACCAAUCCCAACCAUAGCUGAAUAAAAUUCCUUGGACCAAUCUCAGGAGACCUUUUUCCAUUGAAAUCUUCCCAGACUAUGGCAUGCAUGAACUCCAUCUAAUGAACAGUAAAUCACAGAAAUUACCUUUUGAUAGAUCUUCUCUUGCUAAUCAGCGCCAUUUGCAUGUCCAGUCUGUGCUGUAGAAUCUAGGGAUGCUAUAAAAAUUUCAAAGCGGGCAACAAAAGAUUAGAAUUCAUGUAUUUUUGUGUGUUUUCCAUAUACAAGGGUAUCUCUGUAAUUCUCACACUUGCUGAAAAUUAUGAAAUAUUGCAGGUCUCAGUUUUAUUGUCCAUGUAGUAUUUAAUUAUUCCCGUAGUAUAGCGAGUUUCAUUAGGUUUUUCCUAUAUAGGAAUACAAGUCCUUUUUGUAUUAGGAACUUCAUCUAAAUGUUAUGUAAUCAUUCAAACAGAUGGAGAGACCCUAUAAAUUCAGAAUGACAGGGUGAACAAAUGCAUGUGUGAUUGCAUGUGUGCACAAGUGCAAUGCACUGGAGGGCAUCGUGUGGUUGCAAUAGUUCCAAGGGGAAGCAGUGGCACAUAAAGCUACCAAAAAGAGCAAUACUCUGCAUGUUAGGAUUCUGGACAACAGUGUUGGGGAUAGUCUGGGUUACACCAGAGACAGGAGGCAGUGCUGCUUGUAAACCGGCAUAACUUUGAACUCCAUUAGAUGCCAUGCAAUUUUGCAUGUUCUGUGAUACCAACUGCUGACGUGCCUGAGACUGAUCUGUGGACAAUAGGAUAGGGAGAAACAGCCCUUGAUUCUGAACUUGAGGAGGCAUACUAUGGGAUGCUGUUCAAGAUUAAAGGUAAAUGGGAAAACCAUGUCAAAGAAAAAAAGAAGGCACUGAACAAGGAAGACAAAUGAAACAUCGGUAGUUCACACAUAAAGUUAUGGGCGAAAGAAUUAAGAUGGAUUUGAUUCAAAGCAUAAAAGUGUCCUCUUGACAAUUUUUGGUUUGGGGGAAGACGAGGCAACUGAAAACAAAAAUAAUAUGACAAUUUUCAGGGUGGGGGAAAGAAAAGGAGGAGGCAGAAAACGAAAACAAUCUGUAAUAUUCUUGCCUAACAUUCAUCAAUUACUCAACUUUUUUAUUAAAGCAUGCUAAACACAGCAAUAAAAUGUAAAAGAGUUUGAUAACAAUGUGACAAACAAGACAAAAGGUAAGAUGUGUAGAAAUUCAAUGCACGGCAGCAUUAUUUUAUACGAAAAAAAGAUCAAAUACUUUCUCCAGGAAGAAAAGCAAGAAAGUGACAUCUUAUCUCCUAAACAGGAAAAUCUUUAAAACCUACCAUCUCAAUCAUAAAAUAUAAAAUAGCCAAUAAUGACAUAAGCAAAUGUCUAAAAAUUGUAGCUCCGAGCUUCAUGGUUAUUUUUCUUGAACUGGAAGAACCUUUCAAUUAUGGCUAUGUUCCAAGAUAUAUAACUGAAUUAGCUGAAAACCAGGGGAGUCGAUGUGAAAACAUUACGAUAGCAUUUACACUGAGUAAGAACACUUCUAUGCAUGUGCUGUAAUUGACACUUCUAGCAUUUAAGUUUGCUUCUUGUGAGAAACACAUGAGAAGAUGAAAAAAAACAAAAAAACCAAAAGAGAGCGUGUGAUACAUGAGGUUGCCUCAUGGCAAUCCAGCUGAUUUUAAUUAACCUUUUGCCCAUCUCCUUUUCUUUCAUAUAAAUAAAAAAUUUGCUAUUUUGCAGCACUUGCACAUAUUAGAAAUCAACUACUUACAUUUUGUCGACUAUUCUUUUCCGUGAGUCAUCAAACAAAAAGAAAUCAUAUACAUUAAAAGUAGCAUUAACAUCAUACUAACAUUGAAGAUCAACUUUAUAAGCAUUAUCAUUGAUCUUCUCAACGAUAUGAAAAGGACCAUCUCCUCUUGACAUUAACUUAGAUCUCUUUUGCUUAUGAAACCUCUCUUUUUACAUAUGCUUAAAUUGAAUUGGAAUUAUUUUAUUUGUUUAUUCACUAGCAUUAGAGUCAUGAAUAAAAAAUAUUGAUCUAAAUUUAUUUUAUAGCUGCGUAAUAGUUACCAACGCCAGAGUUUGAAUUAUUCGUAGUCGAAUAUUCAUUGGCGCCAGAGUCAGGAAUAUCGCAAGUAAACCAUCAAAGCAUAAAUUAAUAAAUGUUUAGCAAUUUAAGAUAAAAUCAGCAAUGCAGUCUGCCUCAGGCAGAAUGUUUAAGGGGUGAUAAUAUAUUUCCUUUUGUGUAACCAGUCCUGAACCAUAGGAUCUCUGUUGACCAAUUAGGGUUCCUAAUGACCAUAAUACUAGGUGGCGACUCCUUAAACAAGACAUUUUUUUUUCCCUAAAAAAACAAGAUGCCAGAAAUAUAUUCUUUUUCCAUAAUCGAGAAUUAUUUUUAAGGCCGCUGUGAUGUCGGGCGCGACAAAAUUGCGACUCCGCUGGGGAAAUUAGGACUAAGCUUUGUUUUUUUUGUUUUUGUCUUUUAUUGCUAAAUAUGUUUUAUAGUUUUUGGUUUUUUUUGUGUUGUUUGUGUUUAUCAAGUUUUAUUUUUAUUUGUUAUUUAUUGUUUGUUAUUAUUUAUUAUUAUGUAUUUUGUUUUUUUUUUGUUUUUUGAUUUGCUCUUUUCAUUGUUUUAGCACGCAUAAUUAUUCAUAUUUAUCAUGCAUAUAUAUAUUGAUAUGAAUAUAAGGCCUUCACACAUCACUCCUCAUUAUUUUUUUAUAUAUACGUGGGGUACCAACUUUAAGAUAAGUGGAGUAAUGGCACCCCAAUGGCUUUAGCUUGGGUAAGGCUCGCAAAACUAUCUAACUCUCUCAUGAUUUGUUUGCUCGAUAGUGGUUGAUAUGCCAAACUGAUUUUACUCAGGGCCUCUAUCUUCACACUGCUUGUAAACCUCAUAUCAAACCUUUCGAGGACGAUCACUGAGCAUGCUAAAGACCUUUGAGACUAGAUAGCAAAACUACCCAGAUGCAUCUAAUGACUAGAGCCUAUUCUUUAGAAUGGUCCUUGUAUAAUUUCACUAAGAUAAGUAUAACAUGUAAGCAUUUUCAUUAUAGGACUUUCGGGUGAUAUAAUGACCGUUAUUCGUGAGGUAACAACUAUUGAGUAUCGACUCGAAUCUGAAUCCUUGCAAAUGACCGAGGGAGACUGCCCUAGACCAAAUGCUAGUGGGACACUGCUACUCAAAGAUGUCAGGUGCAUAAUAAAGGACACUAGCCGAUUGUUUUCAUUCACUAAGUAUCAGAUAGACAAAGCAGAAUUUGCUAUGAAGUAUGGGAGGAUUUUGCACCUUUUGAAAGUGCCAGUUUUGCCAUCAGCUAUAAAAGCCAUGAUACAUUUUUGGGAUCCCGAUUACCGUCGUUUAACUUUCUGAAAUGUCGACAUGACACCUACCAUUGAAGAGUAUAGUGUGUUAACUGAAUUCCCAUAAGAUGCCUACAAAGUGUACUUUCACCAGAGAAUUGACGACACCAUGGAUGAGCUUGCCUAACUGCUAGGGAUCCCUCAACUAAUACCGUAUAGAGAGAAAGAUAACUCUGGGGUUCUUAGAUGGAAACGACUAGAGGAGUUGCUAAUUGCUAAAAAAGCUAACCCGGGUGCUAAAUUAAAGAAACAUAGAAUAUUGGCUUUGGGAAUAUUUGGUUUAGUUCUAUGUCCCUCUACUAUAGGAAUUAUCAGUUUGGAAGCUGCCAAUUUGUUUGUGGAAUAUGAAAAGACAAAUAUCAACCCAUGUGCCAUGAUUUUGGUUGAAACCUUCCUAUCUCUUAGUCAUUGCAAGAAAACGGGUAAAGGUUCCAUGAGGUGUUGUGUCUCUUUACUAUUCAUCUGGUUGGUAAGCCAUAUAGAAAAUAAUUUCUGGUGGUUUGACCAAAAGCCACUUGAGUUAUUCAUAUUGUCGCACCCGACGUCGCGGCGGCUCUAAAAAUUAAAAAUUCUCGAAUUAUGGAAAAAGAACGGAUUUCUGACAUUCUGUUCUUUAAUGGGGAAGUGUCUUGUUUAAGGAGUCGCCACCUAGUAUUACGGUCACUAAGAACCCUAACUGGUCAAUAGAGAUUCUAUGAUUCGGGACUGGUUACGUAAAAGGAAAGAUAUUAUCACCCCUUAAACGUCCUGCCUAAGGCAGGCUGCAUUGCUAGUUUCGUCUUAAAUUGCUAAAUGUUUAUUAGUUUAUGUUAUGAAAAUUUGCUUAUAAUAUUCCUGACUCUGGCGCCAGUGAAUAUUAAACUACAGAUAUUUCCAACUCUGGCGUUGGUAAAUAUUACGUAGAUAUCAGAGUGAAUAAAUUUAAAUAAUUACCUUUUUUAAUCCUGACUCUGACGUUGGUGAAUAAACAAAUAAAAACCAAUUUAUUUUUUAUUUUUUACUCAUGCAGAUUAUUUUUAUUUUUACGUAGCUAAAUAAAAGUAAAAAUAAAAUAAAAUAAAAUUUUAUUAGUAUUUUUUAUUCAUGACUCUGGCGUCAGUGAAUAAACCAAUAAAUUUAUUUUAUUUUAUGUUAUUAUAUUUUUUGCAUGCAAUUUUUAUUUUUUAGCUAAAUAAAAUGCAACGAAUAAAAAUAAUAUAAAUUUAAACCAGUGUUUUUAUUCCUGACUCUAGCGUUAGUGAAUAAACCAAUAAAUUUACAUUAUUUUUAUUCAUGCAUAUGCAUUUUUUUAUUAUUUUUAUUUUAUUUUAUUUUCAUUUUUUAUUUUUUUAUUUUUUUUUGGGCUGGGCUGGGCUAAAACCCAGCCCAGCCUGGUCACUGGCCCAAUCCAGUGACCAGGCGGCUUUUGUCUGCCAGCGUGCGUGAAUUGUUCACGCACGCUGACUACAGUCACCGUUAAUUAAAUCUCAAUUGCACAGUACUGGAGGAAUUAUUUUGCAAAAAACUAGAAAUACUUACCUGUGAGCAGGAUGGAGGCGAGGCCGUGUUGUUCCUCCUUUCGUUUUCCAAGCUUCUUCCCCUGGUUUUGGAGGCUGGCGCUGGGAGCAGGAUGGAGCUGAGGGCGUGUUGUUCUUCCUGACUCUGUAACUAUUGGAGACGAAGAUGAAGGUGAUGGAGAAAAAGAGAAUGUCUUGAAGGGCAGCGUUAAUUAGGCGAAGAAGAUAAGUCUUGCCAUAGUCCACCGAUAGCUUGAAUGUAUCUGGAUGAAGACAGCGAUGGAGAAGCAGACGACGUGAUGAUUCUAGCUCCGGCCGAAGAACGUCCUUCUCCUCCUUUUUAUUUUCAAACCCACUCCCCUCUGUUUUCUUGUUCUUUUCAGUUUGCCUAUUCUGCUUGAAUCCGUGGACAAAGACAAGUCUGGGUUUUGCUUGUUCUUUUCAGUUCUGCCUAUUCACGCUUGAAUCCAUGGACAAAGACAAGUCUGGGUUUUGCUUGUUCUGUUUUUCUCUGGAUUUUCUGGUUUAAUUGCUCUGUUUUUCUGGGGUUUUUCUCGGUUUUUUGGGUUUAUUUUCCUCCUCUGCGUAUGGUUUUUAGUCUCUCAUUUAUAGAGAUCCCCAAGCUUGCCUCUAAUCAGUCCUGCCUUUGCAGGACUGUAUCCUCCACGAACGAGAUCGUGUGCAAGGGACUCGGUCCACGAUUGAAUUUGUUGCAGAUUUUCAGGUCUCCGGUUGAAUCGGGAUGAAGAAGAUCACACGGUUGUUCCACCAACAACGGCGGCGUUUUGGCAGCAAGGGAUUCUACCACCGACGACGACGUUUCAAACAGCAAUGGACACUUCCAUUUUGAUCACUGAACUUUAGAAAUUUGGCAAUUGGACCCUUAAGCAAAAUAAAAAAUUUCUUUUAAUUUUUCCUUUUAUAUGAUAAAUUUCACUUAAAUCCCUAAAUUGGUGCACUGUUUACAAAACAGACCUUAAUUCCUGGAUUAUUCAAUUUGAUCCUUAAUUAAUUCUUUUAAUUUUUCCCCUUUUGGAUAAAUUUCAAUUAAGUCCCUGAAUUUAUUUAAUUAAUUAAAUCAAAGUUUAAUUAAAUCCACAAACUUAUUAAUUCUUCUAAUUUCAUUAAUUAAACUAAUUUAAAUUUUAAAUAAAUUUCCAAACUUAUUAGUUCUUUAAUUUCUGACCAAUUUAUUCUCAAAUCUGAUAUUUUUAUCCCUAAACUUUAAAAUUUGUUGUCUUAACCCCAUUGUCAACUAUAUUUUUAAUCAUUGAUUUUGUAUUAUUUAUUCAAAAAAUUGGGUUAUAACACAUAUCAAAAAGAGUGGGAGAGUUUUUCUAAUGCCAUAAGUGGCAGUAGUGGCACAUAAAGCUACCAAAAAGAGCAUUACCUGGCAUUUGUCUCUCAGAAUUGGCAAACAUAAUGGAGGGAUUCCCUUGUCCCAUUGAAUUCCCCGCUAAGUUCUGUGAAACACCGGGGAUACUCUGCAUGUUAGGAUCCUGGACAACAGUGUUGGGGAUAGUCUAGGUUACACCCAAGGUUGUUAAAAUCACGAUUUUAACACGACAUGGAAAGCGGUACACAAACUCGGAUCGUAAAAUCAUAAAAUCGUAAGGAAUUUUAAAAUACAUGAAAAAAAAUUCAUGCUUCAAAUAAAAAUUCAUACAUAGUUCAAGCACCUUAAAAAACAUGCUUCAAAUAUAAAUUCAUACAUAUUUCAAACCUUCAAAUAAAAAUUCAUACAUAGUUCAAGCAUCUUAAAAUACAUGAUUCAAAUAAAAGUCAUACAUAAUUUAAAAUAACUUUUCAUUAACGAAUAAUCAACAAACUUAAAACAAACAAUCUGCUGGUGUGUCAUGUAAACUGAAACCAGCUUCAUUCCCUUUAUCUUCCUCAUCAUUCCUUAAGCAUUCAUCAAUAUCAUUAGCAUCAAGAGGAUUAUUAGUAUAACUACUAGUACCAACACCAAUAUCAUCAAUUUGAAUAUCCAAAUCAUCUUCAAUACCAUGACUCUCCAUUUCAACAUCAUUAGGAAUUUCUUCUUCAUCACUUUCAUCUUCAUUACCAUUUUGUCUUCGUGUUGCACUGUCAAUAGCAUCAAGAAAAUCAAAGUUUGGAUGUUUUUCUCCCUCAGUUAUCCAAUCAUCAUCAGAUGAAAGAUCAUCUUCUAUACCAAAAUCAUCAGCUUGCUUUUUGACUUGGUUAUUAUUCAAUUUCAGAUUGCACAUUACAAAUACCAAGUCAUUCAUUUUUUUCUAGUGCAAACGAUUUCUUCGUUUUGUAUGAACCUAAAUAAACAAUUCAAAUUUAUAAGAUUUUUAUCAAAUAUUUCAAUAUUUAAAAAAAAAAAAAAAAAAACUCACCAUUUCAAAUGCACUCCAAUUACGUUCACAUCCAGAUGAAGUACAAGUCAAGCUUAGAACUCAGAUUGCAUACCUUUGUAAUUCUGGACAUUCAUCCUUAUAAGAAUCCCACCAUUGAGCUGAAGUUUUUUUUAUCUCUAGUUGUCUUGGCAGCCUCAAUGCCAAACAACCCUUUUGCAUCCUUGAAUGAUUCAAGUUGCAAGUCAAUUUUGCACCUUUCACUUGCAUUAGGCACCAUCCUUUCUAAGCAUUGAUAUAAUCCAAUUUUAAUGUUGGCAUUAACCUUAAAAUUGGGAUUAUAAUGAUAAUGAGGAUUCAAAUAAUAAGCUGCUACAUGUAAUGGUCUGUGGAGUUGAAGUUCCCAUCUUGCAUCAACAAUAUUCCAUAUAGGUAUAUAACUAUAUAUAAAAAAACAAUAAAAAUAUCAUUACUUUAUAUAUGACAUUCAUAUUUAUAAAUGACAACAUUUGAAAUAAAAAUUAGCAAGAUAUAUACCUUUUUUUCACAGAACCAAAAUUCACUUGUAUCUUCUCUUUUGCUUCAUCCAUUAUAUAAAACCCAUAGCUGAUUUCUCAUCAGAAUCAACUAAUCGAAGAACUUUAAUUAGAGGAAACGCUGCCUUAAUACAUAUAGUAACAUCAUGCCAAAACCUGCUAUCCAAAACACAAUUUUGAAUUCGUUUCCCUUCUUCUAUUCUUGCAAACCUGCAUGAACUCCACUGUUUGGAAGUAAAUAUGGUCAUCAACUGCAUUUUAUGAUCAUUCAAACAUCCCAGAGUCAAAUAUGUAGUAGCAAACCGAGUGGCAGCAGGCCUAAUCAAAUCCCUUCCUUUCGUAAAGUGCCUUAACAUGGAAAUAAGAAUAGUUCUUGAAUAUAUGAGGUGAUUCUCCUCCCCUUAGCAAUAGUUACUUGAUGAACCUCUAACUUCUUCUCAAAAUCCUCUAAUAUCAAGUCAAUACAAUGGGCAGCACAUGGUGUCCAAAACAAACUCUUUCUUUUUUCCAUCAAUAAUUUUUCCGCUGCCUUAUAAUUUGCAGCAUUAUCGGUGACUACUUGGACAACAUUUUCCUCCUCAAUCCUCUCCACAAUGGCAUCUAACAUCUCAAAUACCUUAUCAGCAGUCUUGGACAUAUUAGAAGUAUCCACCUGUUGCUACCCAUAUUUUGACCCAUGUUUUUGAUAUAUUUUCAAAAAAAUCCAAAAAUAGAGAAAAACAAAGAAAAUCCAAAAAAAUAUGUUUUUUUAAUAUAUUUUGGUCAUUUUAGGAUUUUCAACGUCGUCUAAAAAAAGAAUUUAAAUUUUUAAGGGUCUUUCGAACGCGUUCGACUUUUCAACGUUGAUAUUGCUCGUUUUCAAAGAAAUACAAAAACAAAUAAGAAAAAGUCAAAAUUUACAAAAAGAAGGAAGUUGAGGGACCAAGUUUGAAAACUUGGCAACAUUUUUGCCUAUAAAUACUGGUUUCCAACACUUGCAAAAGGAGGGGGGCAAUUUUGACAACAUCUGAAAAAAAAUACAAAAAAAACCCUAACUUAAACCCUCUCCAAAACGACCGCCCCCCACUUUAGUUUUUGAUUUCUUUUUUUCUCUAGUCGCCGGCUGACUUCCUUCUCGCUGCCUCUGAUUAGUCCCCACCAAAACAAAAACCAACACCAACUCUCCGCCCCUAACGGCUGCGCCUCCUUCCCUCACUCUCCCUUCCCCUAGCCAAGACCAGAGAACCAAAGGAGCGGCGCCUGAUCUCCCUCACCCCUCUCUCGGUUGCAGCAAAAUCGACCAAAUCAGCCUCAUUUUCCAACAACCCGACAACCAGCCACAUUUCCACAGCCCCCAUCUUCCACAGAUCUGCCUUCACUCCAGCCGCCCAUAAAUUUGGGCAAACCAGCGGCGUCUCUGCAGCAGCGCCGUCCAAAGAUCCAGCAGACCCAGCUCCUUCUUCCAGCAGCAACGGCCCCUCCCAGUACAGCAGCGCCGUCUUCCUCCAACAGUAGCCGAGCAUGGCGGCGCCCAAGGAGUCAGAUCAGUCGGCCGUCUCCAGCUUCUCCCUCCCUCAGCAACAGCACCAGCACCGCCACCGGUUUCCUGCUUCAAUCGACCACCGACAGCUCCUCAUCCACGACCGAUCUGCCACCGGAGAAGAAGAAGAAACCCAUAAUAGACCAAUCUGUAGAAGAAACAGAUCCGAAACCGAGAAGAAGAAAAGGAGAAGCUGAUCUGAUAAAAAGAAAAAAACCGAAGCAGAUUUAAAGAAAACGAAAAUAAAAUCUAAAAUCAACUGUUUGUGGCCCUUUUUUUUGCAUUUCUUGUUGUAUUCACCGCCGGCGAGGAAGAAGGGAGGAUCUCCCCUGCUGUCUUGUUUUUUUUCCGGCGGCGCGUGAGCCCACGCGCCGCCAGUGGUGGGGGCGCGUGGAGCAGACGUUCCACCACCGUUCAGUUGCCCUGAAAAUGCUCCCAGCACUGUUUUAGCGGUGCAGAAGGUAUUCCUGUGAAUUCCAGAUUGUUUUAGGGUUGUUAUUGUAAUUUUAAUGUAAUUUUUGUUUGAUGUAAUAUUUUUUAUUUAGUCUUGAAUUUUUAUUUGUAUUUUUAAAUAUGGAUGUAAAAGAAAAGAAAAGAAAAGAAACAAAAAUAAAAUAGUGAAAGUGUAUGUGUAUGCUUGUAUUUUGUUUUAUUUAUUUGUAUAUAUUUUUUAAUGAUAAAAUUGCGAAUAUAUUAAAGAAGAAUUUAAUAUUUUGAUCGGAUCACGGUUAAGAAUUAUUAUCUUAUACGUAAGUGAUAUUUCUAAUUUCCGAUGAAAAGACAAUUAUUAAAACUUCUUUAACACGUCAAAGCUACGAAGCAGCUUACCUCAGGUAGGGUGCGUUAGGGGUGCUAAUAUCUUCUCUAACCACAACCAGUCCCUUACCCACGAAUCUCUGACAAGACCAGUACAUCAGGUUUCCUAGUUGCCCUCCAUGAAUUACUAGGUGGCGACUCCCAACGAACCGAUUCAAGCAAACGCAACAACAACGAGAAAGAUCGCCAGCCCGAUGCCGCGCAUGGAUUUUUCGACGUGCGACAGAAUGGCGACUUCGCUGGGAAGGUACUGUUUCUGACAUUAUUGGACUAAGCUUUGUGUAUUUGAUGUGUUUAAGUUUUUUGCAUUUUUAUCUUUUUGUUAAUAUUUUUUUUCCAUGCAUUUUAUAGAAUUGUUUCAUGCAUCACCUGUAUUUAUUUUUGAAAGCACACACAAGCUUCUAGGUUAGGUGGGGAACUAGCGAUCUGCCCUAAGACUAUUGGUCAGGGUUCAGAUGCGUGAAACACCCAACUCAUAUCUGAGUGCCUGCUUGGUAAUGGUGGGUAUACGUGCCUUAACCAUUCCUUGCAACGCCCCCAUACUGUCUUUACGAAGAACGUCACUAGGCAGAUAUGAGACCCUUUUGAGACCAGAUAGAAAACUUACCCAUGUUCACAUAAUAAAUAGAACCUGUCCUUAAGUUGUAUGUGUUAUCAUUGUUUGCAUCAGGGCAAACCCUUCUUGAAGCAUCUUGAACUCAAGACUUGUGGGUGACACAUUGGCCGUCACUCAGAAAUUUUUUCAUUGUAGAGUUUGGGCAAAAAUCACGAUUCUUGCUCCAUCAUACAAGAGUUACGACCAUAUUGUCACCCCUCGAAGGGCGAGUUCAUCAUAUAGAUUACAUGUUCAUACAUUUGUCAUGCAUGCACCAGAAUGAAAAGUAGGUCCCCUACGAGUCUACAACACCCGACUUUGAAUGAAGAAAAACUCGGAAGAUGAAGAGUAUGCUCGUCGUAAUUUUUGAAGACAUGUGUGACUUGCUUCUAGCUUACUCGAGUAGAUACUGAAAAAUAACUCUAGGAAAGUUCCUUCCAACCGACCUAUCAUCUUUGUUCAAAUCCCAACAAUGACUCAGCCCAAAGAAAUUGGGGGCAAAAUUUGUCAAGAGCCUCGGCGCAAUCAUGUAUUUUCGAAAAAGCUUUGGUGGGAAGGCUAACCAAAGGGAAUUGCACUACCGGUGCAUAAUGGAGCCUAUUCUUGUUCUGCAAAAAAAAAAAAAAAAAAACUUAGUUUGAUCAUGCCUGCAAAAUUUCUUGAUUUUUAUUUCAACCUAUUCCAGUUUUUGUUGGUAACUUGGCUCAAAAUUCCACAACAUUUUCCUUGUCAAAUGAGCCUUUUCUUGUUAAUAAGAUCAUGUGUUUCCCUGUGUUCAUAAUAUACCUUCAUUUUUGUUGUUGUUUCAUACAAAGAACAUAUUGAGCAUAACCUUUAAGCAUGAAACCAUCACACCAAGAAUCUUUGGGUGUGUUUUCCUUUCUUUCAAAACUAUGCAUAAUCGCACAUGUUCACAAGGAUUUUUGGGAAUUCAAAGUUUAGUACAGAAACUGAAAUCAUGUUGAUGUUUGUCCAAAACAAACGAGUUCUGGAAAUUCAGGUGAUUCCUUAGAAAGGUAACCAUACACCUAGAAAAACCCAAAAAAAAAGCAAGAACCCAUGAAGUGACUUUAAAAGCUGAGUUUUAUUUGAAUGAAUAAUGAGAAAUCACAUUACAUACUCGCAUGAAAGUAAGGCUUACCGAUCCUAAAUGCAUGAGUUUGAAAUGAAGAAAGGCCAUUUUGAUAAUCUUUUCACGAGGCUAAAAUAUAUCAUUUGCAGUCCCCUUUUGAGCCUAAUGCUUUUCUUGAGAUAAAUAACCUUGGCUAGGAUCACACCCCACACUGGGGGCAAGUGCGAUGACAUAGAGAAAACCUCAAUGAUCGAAAGUGCCCAAGCAAUACUAGGGGCAUAAAAGAAAAUUCUCAAUCAUCAAAGGUGCCCGAACAAAUCUAGAGGGACAUGAAGAAAAACCAAAGGAUCAAAGUUUUGAGCAUAAAAAAAAAAAUAUAUGAUGCUCAAAACCAUAUGAAGAAAACAAAAGCAAAGAGAAAGAGCCCAAACCCAUCACUAGGGGGCACGAUAGACAAUUUUCGAAAGACAGUCAAAUGACAAAAGGUCAAGAAACAAGCACAAGUGAUCUUUAGUCUUCAAAUCCCUUAAACACCUUUUGAGCCUACAAAUAUCAUUUUCUUCAUAACCAAGAGCCCAAGCCUACAUUACGUGCCUAAUCAAGCCCUUUCUGAUCAAAGGCAAGCAAUCUGGAUCGGUAGGCAUGCUUUCUCAUGUGAACCAAAUCAUUAUUCAUGCAAAUAAAAUAUAUGCUUUGAACCUCGGUUCUCAAUAACCCUCAAAUUGAAAUUUAAACCUUUUCUGACAAACCAGAUGUCACUCCAUAUUUUUUUACCAAAAGCCAAAAAAAAAAAAAAAAAAGAAGUUUUCAUCACUUCUGAUAACCUCUCCAUAGGAAACACUUGAAUUUCUUCAGAAUGAGUUUGCUUUGAAUCGAUGUCAAAAUAAUUUCUGUGUCUGGAAUAACUUUGGAAUUCCAAAAUUUUUGCAUGAAAACAAUUCCUUGUCAAACCUUCCUUCACAUAGCCUUAUCCCCAAACUUGAUUUGAAUACUUGGGGGCAUGAUCAAGCUAGGGGGCAAUAAAGAAACAUAUGAUAGGGCUGGCUCCAUGAUUUUUCUAAGAAAUAUCGAGCAAAAUUGGCAACCCUUGAGAUAAAGACGGAGUACAAAGAAGUAUGAUGAUAUCAAGUCUUUCCUAGAGGUCAAAAUCACAAGAGUGACUCGAGUAAGCAAGAGCGAAAAGCCAUCGAAGUUCACUGCCAGCACUCCAACUUUGAGAAAAGAAACACACCAUGAAGAAAUGGGGACCUAUUAUUUCAAAUCAGGUAAGGAUGCAUGCAUAUCAUCUAACCUAAAAAAAAAAAUUGCACAUAUUUUUUAAUUGUUACAGGAAAAUCCUUAAUGAGGUCUAGCAAGAUGUUGGAAAAAGAAAGCAUUGUGGUGAUGAUAAUAAAGAAUCGAUUUUGAUCAUGGAAUAAAAGGACGAUGGGAUGAACCCUACCAUUAGGAAAAUCCCAAAGAAAUGAAAAGAUCAACCUUGCAAUCGGGAAGCCUCGAGUUUUCAACUCUUGCAGUCAGGAAACACCGAGUUUUCAAAUCCUAUGAUCGGGAAUUAUCAGGAAGCACCAAGUUUUCCAGCCCUUCUUCUGUCAUCCCCUCAAAGACUUCGCCAGGUAAGUCCUAUUUUUCACACUUGUCAUAUCACAUCUUCCAGUUGGGUUGGUCACCCAUGACAAUGAGACCGCGUUUUUCACAUUUUUUCCAUCCGGGUAGGUCACCCAUGACAAUGAGACCGCACUUCAUCAUAUUUUUUCCAUCUGGGUAGGUCACCCAUUACAAUGAGACCACACUUCAUAUUUUUCUAUUUUUGGGUAGGUCACCCAUUACAAUGAGACCGCACUUCACAUUCUUUCUAUUUGGGUAGGUCGCCCAUCACAACGAGACCACUUCAUCAUAUUUUGUCCAUCUAGGUAGAUCACCCAUUACAAUGAGACCACACUUCAUAUUUUUCCCCCUGGGUAGGUCACCCAUAAGAAUGAGACCACUCUUCCUCUUUCCACUUGGGUAGGUCACCCAUUAUAAUGAGACCACUUUUUACACAUUCUUUUGUUCUAGUUGAAUGAGGUCGCCAGAUGGGAUCUCAUGUAGCUUUGGUUAAAGGGAAUUGCUAGAUGGGGUUUCAGGUUGAUCGAGCUACACACAUUCCUUGGUUAUGGUUAAAGGGGAUCGGCGAAGGGAUCUCAGUUUAACCUAAUUGGAAAGGAUUUUGGUUCUGGUUGAAGGGGAUCGACGAAGGGAUCUCAAUUCAGUCUAACCACACAAACCUUGGUUAUGGUUAAAGGGGAUCGGCGAAGGAAUCUCAGUUUAACCUAAUUGGAAAGGAUUUUGGUUCUGGUUGAAUGGGAUCGGCAAAGGGAUCUCAGUUCAGUCCAACCACAUAGACCUUGGUUAUGGUUAAAGGGGACCGAUGAAGGAAUCUUAGUUCAACCUAAUUGGAAAGGAUCUUGGUUCUGGUUGAAGGGGAUCGACGAAGGGAUCUCAGUUCAGUCUAACCACACAUUCCUUGGUUAUGGUUAAAGGGGAUCGACGAAGGGAUCUCAGUUUAACGUAAUUGGAAAGGAUUUUGGUUCUGGUUGAAGGGGAUCGACGAAGGGAUCUCAGUUCAGUCUAACUACACAUUCCUUGGUUAUGGUUAAAGGGGAUCGGUGAAGGGAUCUCAGUUUAACCUAAUUGGAAAGGAUUUUGGUUCUGGUUGAAGGGGAUCAGCGAAGGGAUCUCAGUUCAGUCUAACCACACAUUCCUUGGUUAUGGUUAAAGGGGAUCGGCGAAGGGAUCUCAGUUUAACCUAAUUGGAAAGGAUUUUGGUUCUGGUUGAAGGGGAUCGACGAAGGGAUCUCAGUUCAGUCUAACCACACAAACCUUGGUUAUGGUUAAAGGGGAUCGACGAAGGGAUCUCAGUUCAGUCUAACCACACAAACCUUGGUUAUGGUUAAAGGGGAUCGGCGAAGGAAUCUCAGUUUAACCUAAUUGGAAAGGAUUUUGGUUCUGGUUGAAUGGGAUCGGCGAAGGGAUCUCAGUUCAGUCUAACCACACAGACCUUGGUUAUGGUUAAAGGGGACCGACGAAGGAAUCUCAGUUUAACCUAAUUGGAAAGGAUCUUGGUUCUGGUUGAAGGGGAUCAACGAAGGGAUCUCAGUUCAGUCUAACCACACAUUCCUUGGUUAUGGUUAAAUGGGAUCGAUGAAGGGAUCUCAGUUUAACGUAAUUGGAAAGGAUUUUGGUUCUGGUUGAAGGGGAUCGACGAAGGGAUCUCAGUUCAGUCUAACCACACAAACCUUGGUUAUGGUUAAAGGGGAUCGAGGAAGGAAUCUCAGUUUAACCUAAUUGGAAAGGAUUUUGGUUCUGGUUGAAUGGGAUCGGCGAAGGGAUCUCAGUUCAGUCUAACCACACAGACCUUGGUUAUGGUUAAAGGGGAUCGGCGAAGGAAUCUCAGUUUAACCUAAUUGGAAAGGAUUUUGGUUCUGGUUGAAGGGGAUCGACGAAGGGAUCUCAGUUCAGUCUAACCACACAGACGACUCUGGUUAAAGGGAAUCACUAGAUGGGAUUUCAGGUUAACCGAGUUACACACCGGUUUUUGUUCUUGUUAGAUCGCCAGAUGGGAUCUCAGGUAAACCCAAUAAAAAGGGCAGGUCGCCCGUGAAAAUAGACCAGUGUGAGAGUGUGGGCCGGUCGCCCCUGAAAAUAGACCAGAGUGAGUGUGUGGGCCGGUCGCCCCUGAAAAUAGACCACUUUGAGUAUGUGUGGGUAGGUCGCCCGUGAAAACAGACCAGUGUGAGAGUGUGGGCCAGUUGCCCCUGAAAAUAGACCAGUGUGAGUGUGUGGGCCGGUCGCCCCUGAAAGAGACUAGUGUGAGUGAGUGGGCCGGUCGCCUUUGAAAAUAGACCAGUGUGAGAGUGUGGUCGGUCGCCCGUGAAAACAGACCAAUGUGAGAGUGUGGGUCGGUCGCCCCUGAAAAUAGACUAGAGUGAGUGUGUGGGCAGGUCGCCCUUGAAAAUAGACCACUUUGAGUAUGUGUGGGCAAGUCGCCCGUGAAAAUAGACCAGUGUGUGGGCAAGUCGCCCAAGAUAAUGAAAUCAUUUUUUCUUUUGUUUUCUUUACAAAGCUUACUAUGCAAAAAUCGAGGAUUUUUGCUUCGUAAGCAUUGUAAAGAGGGGGCAUCUAUUGCUACCUAUUUUUUGACCCAUGUUUUUGAUAUAUUUUCAAAAAAAUCCAAAAAUAGAGAAAAACAAAGAAAAUCCAAAAAAAUAUGUUUUUUAAUAUAUUUUCGUCAUUUUAGCAUUUUCAACGUUCAAAAAAAAAAUUUAAUUUUUAAGGGUCUUUCGAACGCGUUCGACUUUUCACGCGUCAUUCUUAAAAUCGUUGAUUUUUCUCAUCGAGUCGACGUUGAUAUUGCUCGUUUUCAAAGAAAUACAAAAACAAAUAAGAAAAAGUCAAAAUUUACAAAAAGAAAGAAGUUGAGGGACCAAGUUUGAAAACUUGGCAACAUUUUUGCCUAUAAAUACUGGUUUCCAACACUUGCAAAAGGAGGGGGCAAUUUUGACAACAUCUGAAAAAAAUACAAAAAAAACCCUAACUUAAACCCUCUCCAAAACGACCGCCCCCCCCUUUAGUUUUUGAUUUCUUUUUUUCUCCAGCCGCCGGCUGACUUCCUUCUCGCUGCCUCCGAUCAGUCCCCACCAAACAAAAACCAACACCAACUCUCCGCCCCUAACGGCUGCGCCUCCUUCCCUCACUCUCCCCUCCCCUGGCCAAGACCAGAGAACCAAAGGAGCAGCGCCUGAUCUCCCUCACCCCUCUCUCGGUUGCAGCAAAAUCGACCAAAUCAGCCUCAUUUUCUAACAACCCGACAACCAGCCACAUUUCCACAGCCCCCAUCUUCCACAGAUCUGCCUUCACUCCAGCCGCCCAUAAAUUUGGGCAAACCAGCGGCGUCUCUGCAGCAGCGCCGUCCAAAGAUCCAGCAGACCCAGCUCCUUCUUCCAGCAGCAACGGCCCCUCCCAGUACACCGCCACCGGUUUCCUGCUUCAAUCGACCACCGACAGCUCCUCCUCCACGACCGAUCUGCCACCGGAGAAGAAGAAGAAACCCAUAACAGACCGAUCUGUAGAAGAAACAGAUUUGAAACCGAGAAGAAGAAAAGGAGAAGCUGAUCUGAUAAAAAGAAAAAAACCGAAGCAGAUUUAAAGAAAACAGAAAUAAAAUCUAAAAUCAACUGUUUGUGGCCCAUUUUUUUGCAUUUCUUGUUGCAGGUAAAGGUAGUAUUCACCGCCGGCGAGGAAGAAGGGAGGAUCUCCCCUGCUGUCUUGUUUUUUUUCCGGCGGCGCGUGAGCCCACGCGCCGCCAGUGGUGGAGGCGCGUGGAGUAGACGCGCCACCACUGUUCAGUUGCCCUGAAAAUGCUCCCAGCACUGUUUCAGCGGUGCAAAAGGUAUUCUUGUGAAUUCCAUAUUGUUUUAGGGCUGUUAUUGUAAUUUUAAUGUAAUUUUUGUUUGAUGUAAUAUUUUUUAUUUAGUCUUGAAUUUUUAUUUGUAUUUUGUAAAUAUGGAUGUAAAAGAAAAGAAAAGAAAAGAAAAGAAACAAAAAUAAAAUAGUGAAAGUGUAUGUGUGUGCUUGUAUUUUGUUUUAUUUAUUUGUAUAUAUUUUUUAAUGAUAAAAUUGCGAAUAUAUUAAAGAAGAAUUUAAUAUUUUGAUCGGAUCACGGUUAAGAAUUAUUAUCUUAUACGUAAGUGAUAUUUCUAAUUUCUGAUGAAAAGACAAUUAUUAAAACUUCUUUAACACGUCAAAGCUACGAAGCAGCUUACCUCAGGUAGGGUGCGUUAGGGCUGCUAAUACCUUCCCUAACCACAACCAGUCCCUUACCCGCGAAUCUCUGACAAGACCAGUACAUCAGGUUUCCUAGUAGCCCUCCAUGAAUUACUAGGUGGCGACUCCCAACAAACCGAUUCAAGCAAACGCAACAACAACGAGAAAGAUCGCCAGCCCGAUGCCGCGCGUGGAUUUUUUGACGUGCGACACCACCGAUGAUAAAAAAAAAACCGUUCCUUAGGACUAUUAACCAAAAAGUUACAAAUACAAUGUCUUUUUUUAUCUAUCCAUCCAUCAAACAUUAUUGAACAACUAGUUUUUUUCCAUUCUAGCUUGUAAUCCUCAAGCAAAUUCAUUGUUUGAUCCACUUCUUACUUCAAAUACUUCUCUCUAAUAUCAUAGUAGGAUGGAGGCUUGAAACCUGGCCCAUGCUUUGCAACCAAUUCAAGUGCCUUAAGAAACUCAAGAUUUUUUACACAAUUAAAUGGAAUUGCACUAGUGCAAAAAAACCUUGCAAUUUGUUGACAUGCUUCUUCUCUAAUAUCCUUUUUUAGCAAUUGAUUUAAGGUUGUUUGUGUACUUCCACUCCCACUAGCUACUCUCUUUCCUUUGUCCUUGGAGCUAAUUUCUUUUAUUUCAUCAUCAUCAUCAUCAUUUACACUAUAUUGAAGGGCCUUUCUUUUCUUUUCAGUUGCUUCUAAAUUUUUCACCAAAACACCUAAAAUCAUCUGCUUAACAUUUUCUGGUAUUUGCUGACAUGGCUCAACAUUCUUACGAGUGCAAGCCAAAUGCUGUUUAAAACGAAAAAUACCUCCACUAAUAAUUUUUUGACAAUACUUGCACUGAAAUUUUCUAGAAUUCUUAUCAAUAUCUAUCCCAUGUUGCCAUCCCACAUCAAGCCUAUUACUAGAAGAAUUUUUUCUAGAUGCAAUAAGCUCAACAAUUCAAGAAUCAAUUCAAAUCAGCCCUGUAAUCAAUCCAAACAUUUUAUAACAGGUUACAAACUUUAUUUUAAUAUACAAUGCAAAAAAAUAACAGCCAAGAACCCAUCUUCUAUAUUAUUAUCCAUUACAGGUUACAAACUUACAAGUUACAACCCUUUACAACUCAGCAAAGGCAGCAUAAAAACAAUCAAUCAGCACUCUAAAUUACAAGUUAGAACCCAAAUCCAUUCAUCACAAGUUACAACCCAAAUCACGGUUAAAUUACAAUAAGUCCAUUCAUCACAACUCAGCAGAAGCAACAACAACACUCUAAAAUAAAUUACAAUAAAUCCAUUAUCCAUUCAUCACAACUCAGCAGCAUCAUCAUCAUUCUGAAUUACAAUAAACCCAUUCAUCACAAUUCACAACUCAACAACAGCACUCUAAAAUAAAUUACAAUGAAUCCAAAUCCAGGGUAAGAAAAAACAAAGUCACAGUGUCACACACGAUUAAAUUUCAAUCUAAAAUUCACUGGCAAACUCUCAAAUUUCAAUCUAAAAUUCGCAGUCACACACACAGGACAGUAGGACACGAGAAUAUUAACAUAGUCACAAAAACUUGAGAGUCUCAAUAAUAAACAUCAUUAAACUGUAAAGAAAUGAAAUGGUAAGAAAUUAAGCAGCUUACCUCUGUUCUAAGCAGUUAGCAAUGAGCACUGAGGCUGAGAAGAGAAACGGACUAAGAAACAAGAUAAACAAUGAAUUUUUGCAGCCAAAGUUGGAGCCUGUGCAUUCAAUCAAACUAACAUUAACAUCAGACUAAGAAACAGAUAGGGACAAAAAAAACCCACUUGAAGACUGGAGAAAUAAGAUAAACAGUGAAUUUUUGCAGGAGGGAGGUAAACAGUGUAACUUACCUCGUGAAGACUGGAGAGACGCCGUUGACCGUUGUUGUUGUGUGGACUGUGAUUCUCACAAUGGCUGGUGAAAAGAACGUCGUCGAUGAUGGAAAAAUAAUGCAGAUGAGGGGCGAGCGAUGGCUGUUGUGGAGUACCGGUGGACGGUGGUUGAUUGUUGCCUGAGAGUAGGACUACAAAAGAUUAAGAGACUGAGACCGAGACUGAGUCACUAAGGAAUGUGAAAUUUGGGAUUUUCAAUUGAGGGAUUUUGAUGUCUGAGAACGUGAAAAGAAGAGAAGAGAGAAGCCAAUAGGCGGGCGACACCUGGCAGCAACAUUGAAUUUUUAUUUCCUGCGGGUAAACUCGUUCAAUUGGUGGUGAAAUCGUGAUUUUACACGAUUUCACCCGAUUUUAACGAUUUUACCCGAUUUUACUCAUUUCCGAGUUUUAUGUACGAUUUAGCACGUAAAACCUCUAUUAACUCGUAAAAACGUACGAUUUUACAAGUUGAAUCGUGAUUUUAACAACCUUGGUUACACCGGAGACAGGAGGCAGUGCCACUUGUAAACCAGCAAAACUUUGAACUCCAUUAGAUGCAUGCAAUUCUGCAUGUUCUAUGAUUACAACUGAUGGCGUGCUUGAGACUGAUCAGUGGACAAUAUGAUAGGGAGAAACAGCCCCUGAUUCUAAACUUGAGGGGGCAUACUAUGGGAUGCUGUUCAAGAUAAAAGGCAAAAAGGAAAACCUGUCAAAGAAAAAAAGAAGGCACUGAACAAGGAAGACAAAUGAAACAUCGGCAGUUCACACAUAAAGUGAUGAGCGAAAGAAUUAGGAUGGGUUUGAUUCAAAGCAUAAAACAUCAUCUGACAAUUUUCAGGGUUGGGGGAAGAAGAGGCAGCUGAAAACAAAUAAAAAUAGGCCCUAAAAAGAACGUCAGGAACGGCAAGAAGAGUAAAUGCACAUCAAGAACAUGAUAUUUUUUUUUUAUCAAAUCUUUUAUAGAAAAUAUCAUAUAAAUUCCGGUUCACUUUUAUUCUUGGUUGUAAUAUCAAAAUAAAAUAUUGAAUAAAUCACGAAAUAAUAUUUCAAUUAUACUACUAAUACUAAAAAGCAGAAAAUAAAUUGUUUUAAUGCUAAAAAAUUGAUUGUUAUCUCAAUCUAAUUUUUAUUUUUGUUAUUAAUUUAUAUACAUGUUUUAUGUUAUGUGGAAACUUAUUGUAAAAAGGAACAAUCAUUUUAUGAACUAUUUAAGGUAAUAUUCCAACAAUCUUAAAACAAUUUAUUUUCUAAAAUAUUUGUUAUGGGUGUGUGUGUAUGAUGAUCCGGUUAUAUAUAGAAUAGAUAAUCUAUCAAGAACAAAUUGAUUAUAUGUUCACAUGGAUUAAAAAAUAUAGUUUAAUUUUAGUACGGAAAGUAAAGUGUAUAUAUCUUCUGUUAAAUUCCAUGAAUAUGUUAAAUUCCUUAUCGUUUGUCAUUUGUGUACUUGUUGCAUUGAUUGUACGGGGACAAAAAGUUUAUGUUGCAUGGUAGUUUCCUUUGUUGUUGUGUUGAUAUGAAGAAAAAAAAAAUAGAAGAUGGGGAAAAAAAAGUUGCAUUAAUAGAAAUAUAAUCGGAAGGAUACAAUUAAAUUUUUAAAGGCUCAACGUGAAUACUAAAGCAUAAAAGAGAGAAGAUGGGGAGGAAAAAAAAACUUUGUCGCCACCGAGCCACCAUGAAUAUGAUAACACACGCCACACCAUCAACUACACCAUCAUAUUACACGUUGAACUAUCACACGUCUUCUUGAUAACGUGGUGGCUUAUAAUGUGCUGACACGUGCAUACCUUUUUAUUGAUUUAUUAAUAUUUUAAUACUUUAAAUUACUAAAUCGCUCUUAAAAGCAUAUAAAUAUUACAAAAAAAAGCUAUAUUGCAAGGAUGAAAACAUUAUCCCAAGGCAACUUUAGAUUUUUUUUUUCUAAGGUUAACUUUAUCAUUUUACAAUACACAAAACAUGGAAAAGACUAAAAAAUACCUCUUGUCAAGGUCAAUAUUUUUGAACUCUCAAGGGUAUUGACCUCAUUUUACUGUGCAAAUAAAAUAGAAGAGACAAAAAUAGACCCUAACCGAAAGGUCAAUUGUUUUUUUUGCUUGCAAGGGCAACGACGUAGUUUUAGUGUGCGAAAAAGGAGUAAACUUAUUAAAUUAUCCCCAAUCAAUUUACAAAUAACAUUUAGAUCACUUUAAAAAGAUAGCUUUACCUCGUUAGCAAGUCAAUUGUUUUGUGUAGAGAAGGGCAAAAGGUAAAUAUAUUGAACUAAUCCAUGAUAUUUUACCUCACAGUCUAUAAUGAAUCACUUGAAUCAUUGAUCUCUUUUAAGUGUUAUAUAUAUAUAUAAUUCUACUUUUUUUUAGUUCAUGUUUAGAUUUUUAGAAUGCAUUUUCUAAUCAAAUCUCUAUUCUAUUGCACGCAUAUAAUUGUUUUUAAAAUAUAUUUUUUUUAACAUUUGACAAUGCUUUUGCAAUAAAAAAAUUAGGAUAGCCGGUAAUAUGGGUCACUUGUCUAGUUAGGUACAAUAAUAGUGUUUCAUUUUUAUAUGAAUAAUGAAACACUUUAUUUUUUAAAAUUUUUCUUUCUUUUUUAUUUGGUUUUGUUUUGUUUUGUUUUUUACAAAUUAAUCCUUAUUUUUUAUUUAAUUCUUUUUUUGGCCUCAUUAUAUAAGAUAAAGCUUUCAAUUUAAUUAGAAAUAAACUACUAUACUAAAAAGUUAUGCUUCUCUUUAUAUAUAUUUUUUGUUUUUUUAAGUAGUCCUUAUGUUUUUUUUGCUUCUUGAUUUAGUGUUUUUUUCAUUUUAUUUCCUUUAAUUGUUUACAAAUCGGUCUUUAGACAUUUUCUUCCCUUUCUUAUUUAACUUUUUUGUGGGUCUAAUUGUAUGAGAUAAAUAUUUUAAUUUAAUUAAAAAAUUAUUUAUUAUACUAAAAAAGUUAGGGUUUUCCCUCCUACUUUACUAUUCAUAUCCUCUCUCUUUUUUUUUUUUUAAAAAUAAUCUAUCUUCUAAUUUUUUUCUUCUUUUGAUUGAAUGAUUUUUGUUGUUUUUUUUUUCUUUAAAUUUCACUUUAAUAUUUUGUUGAUUUUGAAUUGGUCAUCUUAAUUUGUUUUUGUUUCCUUUAUAUUAAUUAUCGCAGUCUCAAACAAAUAUCUUUAAAUUUGUUUAGUGUUUAAUUUUGUAAGUAUCUAUUUUAGUUAUCACAUAAUUAUAUAAAAAAUAGAUUUUAAACCCAGUGGAGUUCAUGAUCUAGGUUGUGCAUUUGACGAGUUAAACUACAAAGCUCAAGUUGAUCUAGUAUAUCAUCAUAUCAAUGUUAAAAAAAAAGAAAAAAGAUAUUAUCUCAAUUUUCUUUCUUAAAAUUCAAACCAUGUUUGUAUUGGUCAUUUGAGUUGCCUUAAUUUGCACAUGUCAAGCCAACUAGGUCAUGUACAGAUAGCUCCCUUGCGAAUUAAUUUUAAACCUAUGUUAGGUAAGAAGUCUAAGUCGAGAGGUUUCAAGGUUGUCAACGGGAUCAAGUUUAAUAACAAUAUCAUAUUGUUCCUUUGUUUUUAAACUCUACCUUCCAUUCUUUAAAUUGAAUCCUUUUUGGCUUUUUUUUUUAUUCCAUCCUUUAAUAUUUUGUUGAUUUUGAAUUAGUCUUGUUUCGGUUUGCUUUCUAUGAUAUUAUUGCAGUCUCAAACAAAUGUCCUAACAUAUCAUUAAGCAAAAAAUAAUUGAAAAAAAUUAAAGUUGUUAAACCAGGUGGAGUCCAUUAUUCUAGCCAUGGGUUUGGAGAGUUAAGUCACGAAACCAGAAUCGAUUUAAUAUGUCAUCAUAUCAAUGUUAAAAAAAAUGUCAUUUUAAAAUUUUAGUUUGGACCUACCAUGUUGACUGGAUCAUGUUAGAAUAACUUUCAUAUUAGUUAAUUUUAAACUUGAUAUAUAUAGAUAAAGAGUCAAAUCAAAAGAAUUUAAAAUUAAUCAAUUAGAUGGAGCUAGUUUCUUAAGCCUAAAUGAUUAUUUUUAUGUUGCGCAAAACAUAUAGUAGUUCCUUCCAAAAUAUUUACAAGUAAAGACUCGUGCAUAUUAUGAUAAAAAUUUUAUUUAACCAAUGUCUAUUUUUUUAUGAAACAAACAAAUAAAUCCCUCAAGUUUUUUAAAUAAUUAAUUGAUUUUUUAAUCAUAUUUUACCAUCAAGUUAGUGGAACAAACUAAGAAAAUAUUGCUGACAUCUCUAUAUUUGACUAACGAAAAACGAUUUCACUGUUCAAUGUCUCACUGUAAAAAUGGUACUUCGUAAUUCUAUGGAAGUUUAAUGUUAUUUAUGUGGAAAGAGCACUUUGUGGUUUUAGGAAGAUAUUUCACUGUUCAGUGUCUCCCUUUGGAAUUUCCAUGUUGAAUUUUAUUGUAUAUUAUUUUCAUAGGUUUUUUUGCUUGACUUAAUAUUCAAUAUGUAUGUUAAUUAAGUAUGCAUCCAAUGUAAUUUUAGUUUGUUGUAAAAAUAUAUACAUGCAUGAAUUUUAUUUAAUAAACUUGAUUAUUGUCGCACGUCGGAAAAUCCUGCGCGGCAUCGGCUGACGAUUUAUGUCUCGUCGUUUGUAUUGCUUGAAUUGGUUCGUUAGGAGUCGCCACCUAGUAUUUAAUUGAGGUUACUAGGAAACCCUGAUUUACUGGUCAUGGUCAGAGAUUCGCGGGUAAGGGACUGGUUAUGGUUAGGAAAGGUAUUAGCACCCCUAACACACCCUACCUGAGGUAAGCUGCUCCGUGGACUUGAUGUGUUAAAGAAGUUUUAAAAAUUGUCUUUUCAUCGGAUUUUAGAAAUACAACUUCCGUACAAGUUUGUACUUCUACACCGUGAUCCAAUCAAAAUAUUAAAUCCUUCUUUAUUCCUACAAUUUUAUCAUAAAAAAUUCACAAACAAAAUACACACACCACAUUCAAGCUUCGUGAGCUUGAUGUAAUUUUUAAAAUAAAAUUUUAGUCCAUUUCUAAGGCUUCGAUACAUCAGUUAUUAAUUCCUAGAAUAUAUGUAGAAACAUGUUCUUACAUUUUCAUGGAAAAUACAACAUGAUUUUAUCCAUCCUUAGAAUUUGUGCAUUAAAAUAUUAAAAACAUUUUUCUUUUUGUCCUUUUUUAUUUUUUAUAAUUCAAUAACAUAAAAAAAAAACCAACACACACACACUCUUUUUUAUUAUUAUUUUCUUUUCUUCUUUUUUUCUUUUACAUUCACAUUUACACAAUACAAAUUUAAAACAAAUAAACAAAAAUUACAUUAAAAUUACAAUAAGGGCUUCAAAACCAUCUGAAACUACAUGAAUGCCCAUCUGCAAGCUGGAACAGUGCUGGGAAACAGUUGCGGCGCGUCUUCCCAUGCGCCCCCGUCACUGGCGGCGCGUGGUUCAGGCGCCGCCGUCAAAAAACCAACAGCGAAGGGGUGUCUGAAAACGUGUUCCUCCCCUCUUCAAUCUCCUGUUGCCCGUCACCUGCAAAACAAACCCAACACACAACAGCAGUUGAUUUUAGUCCUUGUUUUAGAUCUGAUUUUGAAUUUUUUUCUUCUGCCCGUUUCGGAUCUGUUCGAUUUCUGGUGAGGAUGGCCUUCAACCCUGUUGGUGGCGGCUGGGUUUCAUCUUCUUCUCCUCUGUUUCGGGUGCCAGAUCGGGUGGCGCUGUUGGUGCCGGUGGAGACGAGGCUGUUCGGUGAUACUGCUUGUGGUCGGGUCUGUUUGCUGACCCGGAGAGGGAGGCUAGUGAACGGCGAGGAGAGAAUCGUGAGGUGCUCUCUGGUGUUUUUCUUUCUGCGGGUUGGGGGCCGCCGUUCUCUUGGUUAUGAGGCUGAUUUGUGAGGGGAUGUGGUUGCAGCUGUGUUUGGGCUAAGGUUGGCUGCGACGAGGAAAAGGGGAGAGUAUGGGUUUCAGCCGAUUUUGGCUUUUUGGCCGAGAGGAAGACUAAGGAGACGAGAAGAGGGCUGCCUUGGCUUCUCUGGUUUCGGCUUUGAAGAUGAGAGAAAAUGUGGAAAUGGUGAUUGUCAUAACCCAAUUCUGGGUUAUUCCCCCAAAAUAAAUUCCCCCAAAAUAAAAUAAAAAAAUAAUAAAGACAAAAAGAGAAUAAAGGCUGGCAACGUCGAGAAAGUAUGUCGGGAAAUCAAAUUGCAAUUUUUGGAGGAGAUUCAAGAUCUAUUGGCGCCCCAUUGUGCCCAAAAUUGAAGAAGAAAAAUGCAAAUUCAAGGUUAAAUUAAAUGAUUAUUGGACGAAUUUGCAUAAACAUUAAGUCCAAGGACAUAAUUAAAUUUUUAAUAGGUCAAUUUGAUUUAAUCAUGGGCCAAAUUGAAUUUUAAUUAUGUUUAAGAAUUAAUUUGGGUCCAAUUGGAGGAUUUAAUUAAGUGCAAGGACUUAAUUAUACUUUAAAUGGGUCAAAUUAAUUUUAUCUUGGGGCUUAAUUGGUGAAAAAUUAAGUUUGGGAGCUUAAUUUGGGCUUAAUUGAGAAGAUUGGAAUUUUAAGAGACCAAAUUUAAUUUUUACCAAGUUGAUUGAUUGAAAUCAGGGGUCAAAUUGCAAGAAAAUUGAAGUUUUGGGGUCAAUUAGGGGUUAAAUUGACAAAAUCCAAAGACAAGGACCAACUUGCAAAAGACGCCGAACUAGAGGUGUCUAAUUGACAAAAUCCGGGGGACAAAUUGAAAGAAAUUGAAAGCUGGAGGGCUAAAUUGAAAAUCAGCAAAAAUUCCUAAUUUUUAUCCCAAACGGCGUCGUUUUGGUGUUGAGGGAAGGGACCAGACGACACGUCGCCUGGUUACUGUUCAUCUUCUUCCUCACAAAGCUGCCCGAGUGGUUGCUUUCCAGGCGCGUUUUCUCACUCGUGUGGCCCCCAAAUCCGACAAGGCGUGCACCAACAUGUUCCCCUGAAACAUCUUUAUCUCGUAGAGUGGUCUGGCCGGGUGGAACAACUUGGAAACAACUCUGUUUUGUUGGCCCAAAGUGGCACCCUCGGGCGGUCUGCAGCCUUGGAUUGCCAAAUUUGGCAGUUCGAGGUGCACACUUUGAACCAACGGAUUGGAUUCCUCGAGUCGAAUCAAGGGAUGAGAAUUUUUCCCCGUUAAAUACCAUAUUACCCUCUUUCGAUCCCUAUAAAUAGGACCAAAUUUCAUGCUCAGGAGGAGGAGAAAACGGAACCCAAAGUUGGCCGAAAAUCAGCUUUUCCUACAACCAGUCCUCUCUCUUUUUUUUUUUCCUCUCCGCCGUGGCCUCUAGUUUACACCACUGAUCUCGCCACCAUCCUUCCCCUGAAACACCACAUCCCAUCCAUCACCCAGCCACCUCACUGAAGCCAGUAACAACUCUCUCUUCUUCUUCCUUUUCUACUUCGAAGAUGCACGUGAACAGUGCAACGUGAAUUUUAAUUCACGUUGCACCGUUCCUGCAGCUUAGUCACUGGGCUGCCCAGUGACUAAGCUGCUAUGGGCCGGACCUGCCUUGGCCCAGCCCAGUCGGCUGGGCCGGGUCCAGCCCGUCCGAAAAUGCAAAAUAUGUUGGGGCCGCGCCUGGCCCCAAUUGUUUUUAGGCCUAUGAUCAAUACAUCUGUUUCUGGGCCUGUCUUGGGCCCAGCCCACAUGCUUUAAUGUAUUUAAUUACUUAGUCCAUAGUUAAAAAUAAAAAUAAAAUAAACGAAAAUUUUUCCAAAAAAAAUCCUUUCAGAAAAAUUUGUAAUUUUCUCAAUUAUUUUUCAACUAAUUUUGCUUAAUAUUGGGUUGUAUACUUACAUUGUAAGAUACAAGCCCGGUAUUAAAAUACCCGAUUUUUUCAAAAUAUUUUUAAAAAAUAAAAAAAAUUUCAAAAAAGAAAAAAAUAUUUUAUCGCAUACGGCCAAGUCCUAAAAAUUUUCCAUGCAUGUUUUUUUUAAAAAAAUUGCAUCGUUCUCAUGUUUUGAAAAUAAAAAAAAAUGGAUAUCAUAACUAGUUUAUGAUUAUCCAUUAGUGUUCGGCCAAAAUAUCAAAAACUUUUUUUUCAAUCUUUUUCUAGGAUCCAAAUGUAGACUUUAUUAUUUGAAAGGUGUAAAACUACACGAUAAAGUACACCUUCAAGUAUUAAAGAUACAAAAGGGGUAGAUAAAUGUCAUUCGGACUUCAGAAUGGUUAAGAUUUAACCCAAUAAGGUAGAGACUCCCUCACGAAGAGAGAUCUGCCUUGAACCUUAGAAAAGACCAGCGAAUAGAAACUCGACCUAGAAAAAGCAAUGAAACAAUAAUGCAGCUUACCUUAGGUAGGGUGCACUGGGGGUGAUGCGUCUUCCCCUUGCACAACCAGUCCCUUACUCAGACUCUCGCAGACCAUAGGUUCCUAGUGACCAUAACACUAGGUGGCGACUCCUAGCAAAACAAAUCAAUGCAACAACAACGAGAGACAAAUCGCUAGUGGACGCCACGCGGAUUUCGACGUGCGACAGAAUGGCGACUCCACUGGGGACAACCAUGUCUGGUCGGACUAAGCAUUGAUUGUUUGAUUGUUUUCCUUUUAUUGGUCUUUAAUUUUAGCUUGCAUUUUUACUGCUUUAGCAUGCAUUUUGCAUAUAAAACCCGAUUCGUGAAACAUCCAACUAUGAGCUGAGUGUUUACUUGGUAAUGGCGGUCACACUGUGCCCCAACCAUUCCUUGUAAACCCCUACACUACCUUCACGUGAGGUGGUCACUGGGCAGUUCAUAGACCUUUUCAAGACCAGGUAGAAAGCCUACCUAUCAUGUAAUGACCUAGAACCUUCCUUUAGAGCAUGAACUCUCUUGUUAUUCAUUUUUGCAUGGGUUUUUUCCAUUCAUACCAAAUGUGCAUACAUUUGCAUCCACACACAUACAUCCAUCCAUUGUAAAUAACAUACAUACAUGCGCCAGGUUGAAAUAUAGGUCCCUAAAGAGCCUACCACACGACUCCGAGCAAGAAACAUGGAAGGUGAAGAGCGUGCUCACCGUGACGCCCAUUUCCAAGAAGAGUUAGAGUCUCUAAAAGCAAGCGUGGCUCGCCUCACUAGCUUACUCGAGCAUACACUUAGAAAUGCCUCUGUGAAGGUCCUUCCAACGACCUACUAUUUCUGUUCAGCUCCAACAAUGGCUCAACCCGAAGAAACAAUGAGUGAACAUGGUCAAGAACCUCCACACAAUCCAGCAUUUGUGCACUCAACGCCAUCAGCACCAGCCCCUGUAGUCAUAGAUCCAUUUGCCAAUGAGUCUCACAAGACCAAGUCAUCUGAUGGCAUUGGUCAAGAUAAAAUGGCGGCGUUGGAAGCUCGAAUUAGAGCCAUUGAAGGGGUAGAUUGUACGAUCCAGUACGGGCAGCAGAAAUGUGUCUGGUCCCAAAUGUGGUUGUCCCAAAAAAGUUCGUGUUCCUGAAUUCAUCAAAUAUACCGGAACGCAAUGCCCCAUGACUCAUCUCAAAUCCUACUGCAACAAAAUGGCAGAAGUAGUACAUGAUGAAAAACUACUGAUGCACUUUUUCCAAGAUAGCUUAAGUGGGACAGCAUUAAGUUGGUACAUGAGAUUGGACAACACAAAGAUCCAAAAAUGGAAAGACUUGGUGGAUGCUUUUGUCAAGCAAUACAAGUACAAUAUGGACAUUGCUCCUGAUAGAACCAGUCUGUCCAAUCUAGAGAAAAGGGACAAGGAAAGCAUAAGGGAAUAUGCUCAAAGAUGGAGAGACCUAGCUGCUCAAAUACAUCCUCCGCUCCUAGAUAAAGAGAUGGUCACUCUGUUCGCCAAUACACUCAAGGACCCAUACUACGAGCAUGUGAUGGGUAGUUCGGCCCAGCAAUUUACUGAUGCUGUGGCAGUAGCUGAGCGCAUUGAGCAAGGGGUAAAAAGUGGUAGAAUAUCUGUGCCCACUGAGAAAAGAGGCUUUGAGGGUAAAAUGAAAGAGGUCGACUAUGUUGAAGGUGGUUACAUGGGUAGGAAAAACCCAUUCCAAAACUACCACACUUCACCCCAAAUCGCCAACAUCAAUUUCAACCCUUCAUUUCCUACCAGAAAACUUGAGUUUCAAACCAAACACCAAAAAACCCAAGAACAAUUACCUCCAUUACCAUUGCCCUUAAAUGAGAUGUAUCAAAAGCUACUGAGCAUUGGGCGUAUAGCUCCUGAACCCUUGACACCUUUACAACCACCUUACCCUAAUUGGUACAAGCCCGACCUUACUUGCGAAUACCAUGCUGGCGCCGCGGGACACAACAUUCAUACUUGCAAUGCCUUUAAGAAGAGGCUUAUGCAUCUGAUUAAAGUCGGAUGGGUCACCCUCGAAGGAACUCCAAACAUAACUUCGAACCCUCUACCCAAUCAUGCUUCAGGUAGUGGAUCGGUGAAUGCACUAGAGGCGGAAUGCUCUAGAAACCUUAAAGCACCAAUGGAAAGAGCAAGAUGUGAAGAAGGCAAUGUGCACUUUUGAGGAUAGAGGAUGAAGUUCUGCUAUAGAAUGGGAAGAUGAAGCCUACCCAAUUAUUGCAUUUUGCUUGAUCAUGUUUGUUUUAACCCGUUUUAGUCUUGUUGGCAAUUUGGCUCAUAAUGCCACAAGACUUCCUUUGUUAAAUGAGCCUUUCCUGUUAAUAAAAUCAUGUGUUUUUUCCGUGUUCAUACAAAUAACAUACUGAGCACACCCUUCACUCACAAAACCACUCAUUCUUUGGUGUUUUCUUUCCUCCCUUCAAAGACUCAUGUUUUCAUAAGGAUUUUUGGGAAUUCAAAGUUUAGUACAAAAACAGAAAUCAUGUUGAUGUUUGUCCGAAACAAACGAGUUUUGGAAAUUCAGGUGAUUCCUUAGGGAGGUAACCAUACACCUAGAAAAAAAAAACACUAUGAAGUGACUCUAAAGCUGAGUUUUGAUUGCAUGAAUAAUGAGAAAUCACUUUGCAUACUCGCAUGAAAGCAAGGCUUACCGAUCCUAAAUGCAUGCAUUUGAGAUGAAGAAAGGCCAUCUUUGAUAAUCUUUCACAAGGCUGAAAUAUAUCAUUUGCAGUCCCCUUUUGAGCCUAAUAAAUUUUUCUUGAAAAAUAACCUUGGCUAGGAUCACACCCUACACUGGGGGGCAAGUGCAAAAAAAUCCAUAAUGAUUGAAAGUGCCCAAAUAACUCUUGGGGGCAUGAAAAAGUCUUCAACGAUGAAAGUGCCCAAACAAUACUGGGGGGCAUAAAAGAAAAUUCUCAAUCAUCAAAGGUGCCCAUACAAAGCUAGGGGGCAUGAAGAAAAAUCCAAAGGAUCCAAAAAUUUGAGCAAAAAAACAAGGCCAAUGCAAUGAUGCUCAAAAUCAAAUGAAGAAAACAAAAACAAAGAGAAAGAGCCCAAGCCCAACACUGGGGGGCACCGUGGACCAUUUUACAAAUCAAUUCCAAGGUCCAGAAAUGUAUGAACAAAAGAGUUUGGGAUAUAAGCACUAGUGAUCCUUAGUCUUAAAGUCCCUUAAACACCUUUUGAGCCUACAAAUAUCAUUUUCUUCAUAGCCAAUAGCCCAAGCCUACAUUACGUGCCUAAUCAAGCCCUUUCUGAUCAAAGGCAAGCAAUCUGGAUCGGUAGGCAGUGCUUUCUCAUGCGAAAUAAAAUCAUUAUUCAUGCAAAUAAAAUGAAUGCUUUGAAAACGGUUCUCAAUAACCCUCAAAUUGAAAUUUAAACCUUUUGUGACCAACCAGAUGUCACUUCGUGUUCUUCACAUUUUCACCAACGGUUCUCAAUAACCCUCAAAUUGAAAUUUAAACCUUUUGUGACCAACCAGAUGUCACUUCGUGUUCUUCACAUUUUCACCAACGGUUCUCAAUAACCCUCAAAUUGAAAUUUAAACCUUUUGUGACCAACCAGAUGUCACUUCAUAUUUUUCACCAAAAAUCAAAACAAAAAAAAAUUUCAUCACUUCUGAAAACCUCUCCAUAGGAAUCACUUGAAUUUCUUCAGAAUGAGUUUGCUUUGAAUCGAUGUCAAAAUGAUUUCUGUGUUCUGGAAUAGCUUUGAAAUUCCAAAAAUUCUGCAUGAAAACAACUCCUGAUCAAACCUUCCUUCACAUAGCCUCAUCCCUAAACCCGAAUUGGAUACUUGGGGGCAUGAUCAAGCUAAGGGGCAAUCAAAAACAUCUGGUGGAGCUGGCUCUAUAGUUCCCUUUCGAAGAAACUAUUGGGAAAAAUUGGCAAUCCUUGAGAUAAAAGGGGCGGAGAACAAAGAAAUGAUGACAUCAAGUCUUUCCUAGAGGCCAAGAUCACAAGAUAUGACUCGAGUAAGCAAGAGCGACAAAAGCCAUCAAAGCUUACUAUCAGAGACUCAAACUUUUGAGAAAAGGAGAACUCCAUGAAGAAAAGGGGACCUAUACUUCUCAGGUAAAUAUACAUUCAUUUAUUGAUCAUGAUGCAUUUCUUUCAUCCUUGACAGAUCAGUGUCUCACCAUCACCUCUUUUUUAGUGUGCCUUCGAGCCCUAACCUUUUAGGUAGUGUGUUUUCCAACCCUACCUCCUUCUGAGGGCGUCUUUUAGCCCUCACACCUUAGGUAGUGUGUUUUCUAACCUUGCCUCUUUUUAGGUGUGCCUUAGGGCCAUCAACCCUUAGGUAGUGCGUUUUCCAACCCUAUCUCCGUUUAAGUGCGCCUUAGGGCCAUCAACCACCUUAGGUAGUGUGUUUUCCAACCCUAUGUCCUUUUAAGUGCGCCUUAGGACCAUCAACCACCUUAUGUAGUGUGUUUUCCAACCCUGCCUCCUUUUAAGUGCGCCUUAGGGCCAUCAACCACCUUAGGUAGUGCGUUUUCUAACCAUACCUCCUUUUGAGUGCGCCUUAGAGCCAUCAACCCCUUAGGUAGUGUGUUUUCCAACCUUACCUCCUUUCGAGUGCACCUUCGAGCCCUCACCACUUUAGGUAGUGUGUUUUCAAACCUUACCUCCUUUCGAGUGCAUCUUCGAGACCUCACCUCUUAGGUAGUGUGUUUUUCUAACCCUACCUCCUUUCGAGUGCGCUCUUCAGCCCUUUGUUCUCCAUCGAGUCCUAUCAUGUCGUCCCUUUUAGACAUUUUGCCUUUUCGCCCAGGCAGGUUACCCAUUAUAAUCAGACCUCUUUCAAAACUCUUUUCAUCUUCCAUUUGGGCCGGUUGCCCAUAACAAUGAAACCAUUUUUGAGAAGUCCUUGCAUUUCUCCCUACUUUCAAACUUUUUCUAUUUGGGCCGGUUGCCCAUAACAAUAAAACUAUUUUGAGAAAUCUUUGCAUUUCUCACCACCUUGAAAAAUCCUCGUAUUCUUCACCACCUUGAAAACUCUUUUCGUUUUCCAUCUUGGGACGGUUGCCCAUUACAACAAAACCACUUUGAAAAAUCUUUGCAUUUUUCAUCAUUUUGAGAAAUCUUUGCAUUUCUCACCACCUUGAAAAAUCUUUGUAUUUUUCACCACCUUGAAAACUCUUUUCGUUUUUAAUCUUGGGCCGGUUGCCCAUUACAACAAAACCACUUUGAAAAAUCUUUGUAUUUUUCAUCACUUUGAGAAAUCUUUGCAUUUCUCACCACCUUGAAAAAUCUUCGUAUUUUUCACCACCUUGAAAACUCUUUUCGUUUUCCACCUUGGGCCAGUUGCCCAUUACAACAAAACCACUUUGAAAAAAACUUUGCAUUUUUCAUCAUUUUGAGAAAUCUCUGCAUUUCUCACCACUUUGAAAAUCUUUGUAUUUUUCACCACUUCGAAAACUCUUUUCAUUUUCAACCUGGGCAGGUCACCCAACACAACAAGACCACUUUGAAACAUUUUCAUAUUUUUGAGAAAAUCUUUGUAUUUUCUUCAAAAUCUUUCACGUGGGUAGGUCGCCCAACACAACAAGACCUCUUUGAAAAAUCUUAGUAUUUUUCAGCAAAAAAAAAAAUUUUUGGAAAUCAAAUUUUUCAACAAGAGAAUAAAGGCUGGCAACGUCGAGAAAGUAUGUCGGGAAAUCAAAUUGCAAUUUUUGGAGGAGAUUCAAGAUCUAUUGGCGCCCCAUUGUGCCCAAAAUUGAAGAAGAAAAAUGCAAAUUCAAGGUUAAAUUAAAUGAUUAUUGGACGAAUUUGCAUAAAAAUUAAGUCCAAGGACAUAAUUAAAUUUUUAAUAGAUCAAUUUGAUUUUAAUCAUGGGCCAAAUUGAAUUUUAAUUAUGUUUAAGAAUUAAUUUGGGUCCAAUUGGAGGAUUUAAUUAAGUGCAAGGACUUAAUUAUACUUUAAAUGGGUCAAAUUAAUUUUAUCUUGGGGCUUAAUUGGUGAAAAAUUAAGUUUGGGAGCUUAAUUUGGGCUUAAUUGAGAAGAUUGGAAUUUUAAGAGACCAAAUUUAAUUUUUACCAAGUUGAUUGAUUGAAAUCAGGGGUCAAAUUGCAAGAAAAUUGAAGUUUUGAGGUCAAUUAGGGGUUAAAUUGACAAAAUCCAAAGACAAGGACCAACUUGCAAAAGGCGCCGAACUAGAGGGGUCUAAUUGACAAAAUCCGGGGGACAAAUUGAAAGAAAUUGAAAGCUGGAGGGCUAAAUUGAAAAUCAGCAAAAAUUCCUAAUUUUUAUCCCAAACGGCGUCGUUUUGGUGUUGAGGGAAGGGACCAGACGACACGUCGCCUGGUUACUGUUCAUCUUAUUCCUCACAAAGCUGUCCGAGUGGCUGCUUUCCAGGCGCGUUUUCUCACUCGUGUGGCCCCCAAAUCCGACAAGGCGUGCACCAACAUGUUCCCUUGAAACAUCGUUAUCUCGUAUAGUGGUCUGGCCGGGUCGAACAACUUGGAAACAACUCUGUUUUGUUGGCCUAAAGUGGCACCCUCGGGCGGUCUGCAGCCUUGGAUUGCCAAAUUUGGCAGUUCGAGGUGCACACUUUGAACCAACGGAUUGGAUUCCUCGAGUCGAAUCAAGGGAAAACGGAACCCAAAGUUGGCCGAAAAUCAGCUUUUCCUGCUACCAGUCCUCUCUCUUUUUUUUUUCCUCUCCGCCGUGGCCUCUAGUUUCCACCACUGAUCUCACCACCAUCCUUCCCCUGAAACACCACAUCCCAUCCGUCACCCAGCCACCUCACUGAAGCCAGCAACAACUCUUUCUCUCUCUCUCCCUCUCUUCCCGGCAAAACGUUUUUCUCUCCACCACCGCGACCCCAGCAGCGGCAGCCACCUCGAACCGAAUCUUCUGCCCUCCCCAAAGACAGCCAGGACAACUCUCUCUCUCCAGCCGCUCCAACAGUUGCAACAGUGAGCUUCCCUUCUCCUUUGCAGUCGUCUUCUUCUUCCAGCUGCAACCGUAGCUCACCGCCGGUCUCACCACCUCCAGUCGUACCGUCCGCCACCAGUCAGUCUGCGGGUUCCUUCAGCGCCAGGUGAGUCACCCUCCUCUCUUCUUCUUCCUUUUCUGCUUCGAAGAUGCACGUGAACAGUGCAACGUGAACUUUAAUUCACGUUGCACCGUUCCUGCAGCUUAGUCACUAGGUUGCCCAAUGACUAAGCUGCUAUGGGCCGGACCUGCCUUGGCCCAGCCCAGUCGGCUGGGCCGGGUCCAGCCUGUCCGAAAAUGCAAAAUAUGUUGGGCCGCGCUUGGCCCCAAUUGUUUUUAGGCCUAUGAUCAAUACAUCUGUUUCUGGGCCUGUCUUGGGCCCAGCCCACAUGCUUUAAUGUAUUAAAUUACUUAGUCCAUAGUUAAAAAUAAAAAUAAAAUAAACAAAAAUUUUUCCAAAAAAAAUCCUUUCAAAAAAAUUUGUAAUUUUCUCAAUUAUUUUUCAACUAAUUUUGCUUAAUAUUGGGUUGUAUACUUACAUUGUAAGAUACAAGCCCGGUAUUAAAAUACCCGGUUUUUUCGAAAUAUUUUUAAAAAAUAAAAAAAAUUUCAAAAAAGAAAAAAAUAUUUUAUCGCAUAUGGCCAAGUCCUAAAAAUUUUCCAUGCAUGUUUUUUUAAAAAAAAUUGCAUCGUUCUCAUGUUUUGAAAAUAAAAAAAAAUGGAUAUCAUAACUAGUUUAUGAUUAUCCAUUAGGGUUCGGCCAAAAUAUCAAAAACUUUUUUUUCAAUCUUUUUCUAGGAUCCAAAUGUAGACUUUAAUAUUUGAAAGGUGUAAAAUUACACGAUAAAGUACACCUUCAAGUAUUAAAGAUAUAAAAGGGGUAGAUAAAUGUCAUUCGGACUUCAGAAUGGUUAAGAUUUAACCCAAUAAGGUAGAGACUCCCUCACGAAGAGAGAUCUGCCUUGAACCUUAGAAAAGACCAGCGAAUAGAAACUCGACCUAGAAAAGCAAUGAAACAAUAAUGCAGCUUACCUUAGGUAGGGUGCACUGGGGGUGAUGCGUCUUCCCCUUGCACAACCAGUCCCUUACUCAGACUCUCGCAGACCAUAGGUUCCUAGUGACCAUAACACUAGGUGGCGACUCCUAGCAAAACAAAUCAAUGCAACAACAAUGAGAGACAAAUCGCUAGUGGACGCCACGCGGAUUUCGACGUGCGACAGUGAUGGCUUGACUUGCUUUGUCAAGGCAAAGGGGAAUCCGCCGUAGCCUUUUUUUGGAGGAGAAGUGAGAGGCGACUCUGUGUGCAGGCGGCUGUGCAAGGGCUGAGGAGGAAGAGAAUUAAAACUGGGGAGGGGCUCAGGGAGCCCCAAAAAUGAAAACCAGCGGGGGGGCGGCUGGUAUCAAGAAAAAAGUCUUUUUUUGGCAAGGAAAAAAAAAUGGUGAUGGCUUCGGGUAGUUUUUGAAAGAAGGGUGGUGGCAGCCGGUUCAAGAGAACCGGCUGAGGGAGAAGAGAAAAUAAAUCAAAAGGGGAGCUGGCAGCUGUUAUCGGAGAAGAAGGAAAAAUUUCCCAAAAGGGGGGGGGUCCCCUGGUUUCAGUAUGGAAGAAGAAAAGUUUAGUUUUUUAGGGUUCUCUCUUUUCUCCCAAAAUUACAAAAUGAACCUCCCUUAACUUUGAGUUAAAAGGUGCUAUUUAUAGGCAAAAAUAUUUUUUCGGGCUUCCAAAUUGGUCCCUCAAUUUUUAUGUUCAAUUCACUUGGUAAAAAUUAAAUUUGGUCUUAAAAUUUCAAUCUUUUCAAUUCAGUCCAAAUUAAGCUCCCAAACUUAAUUUUUCACCAAUUAAGCCCCCAAAUUAAUUUGACCCAUUUAAAGUAUAAUUAAGUCCUUACACUUAAUUAAAUCCUUCAAUUGGACCUAAAUUAAUUAUUAAACAUAAUUAAAAUUUAAUUUGGCCCAUUAAAAAUUUAAUUAUGUCAUUGGACUUAAUUUUUAUGCAAAUUCAUCCAAUAAUCAUUUAAUUUGACCUUCGAAUAUGCAUUUAAUUUGACCUUCGAUUUUUGCCUAUUUUUGUAGUCUUUUUUUAUCAUCUUUCUCCACAUUUCCAGCCUUUAUUUUAUUUUUUGAUUUUUUAUUUUUAAAAAAGUGAAAUUUGGGGAAUAACCCAAAAUUGGGUUAUGACAAUUACAUUCAUAAACUUGUUUUAUUUAAAUAAAUACACAAAAUAAUGAUAAUUCAUAUAAUUAGAUAAUAUUCAUAUAAUAUGAAUACAUGAUGCAUGCAUUUAUUAAGUUCAAUGUUUUUGAAAAACAAAUACCUUGAUAAUGUUUUUUUGAUUGAUUAAUGCAUAAAUUUAUUUAAUAAAUAAUAUCUUGAUCAUUUAAUAAAUUUCAUGGUCCCAAUUAUAUUAAUUUAUGGAUAUUUAACUAUAUAUUGUAUUAAGUUUUUUUUAAAAUGUAUAAAUUUUACAUGACAAAAUUAAAAACCUUAAUUCCAUAUAAGAAAAAUAUUUCUUUUUUAAAACAACAAUACAAAAAUACUAAUAUGUAUAUUCAAGUCUAUCUCUAAUUAGGCAAGAUGCUAACACGUUAAUAUAAUCCCUAACAAAUAAUCUAAUCUCUUUUUCCAACAUAUGAUAAUUUAUUCAUGUAAUUUUCAUUUUGUUGUUAAAUUAAUGAUGAUCUUUUCGCGAUCGGUAAAAAGAUAAUUUAGCUAAGAUGAAUGUUUAUCAAGAUUAGUUAAUAUUAUAUUUUGUGUAAUAUUUGAUUAGUUUAUAUUAUUUAAAAGAUAAGUUCAGAUAGAGUAGAAAAGGUUAUCUCAAGAUAAUUUUAUCAGUAUUUUUGUAAAAUACAUUAGCAAUUUGUUACCAACGUUACAUACUAGGAAACUUGAAAAUUAUCCUUAUCUUUAUCACAUAAGACAUGUAUAUAAGAAAGAUUAAGUUUGAAGAAAGGAGUAGGUUGUGUGCUUCAUAUAAGAGUUUCAUAACAUAAAAGCAUCAAUUACAUUAAAGCAAGUGUGUCCACUAGUUAAGAAGUUUAUGCAGAGUUUCGCAACACAUACUCUUAACACACGAGGAGGAUGUAGGAAAUUCUCGAGAAAAAUUGAUCCCUGAAGAGUUGGAGAGCCUAUAAACUUCUAAGAGAAGUUCUUGUGUGAACUGUUAGCAACUAGAAGUUCUAGUUAGAAUAACAACAGUCUAAAGAUCGUCAGAUGUAUUGACAAGCUACUACAUUAAGAGACAUAACAUGGUUUGUUAUCUUAUUAGGUAAGGUGGUACAGACACAAAGAGUUGUGUUCAAAGAUAUUGCUCUUAUAAUCAUUCACACUAAUAAAAAAAAUUAUUUAUCCUGGAUUUAGCUGCCUUGGAUGAUUUUUUUUUUAUCUUUUAAAUAGUUCUUUAAAAGGUUUUCAAUACAUCAUAUAAAAUAUAUAAAAAAUAAAAUAAAAUCACCCUAAAUUUAUACAUUAUCUCAUGAAAAUUUUAUUUUGAUUAUUAAAACUCUAAAAAUGCUUAAAUAAUUAAAAGCUAAAAUAAUAAAAUUUUAUCAAAUUAUUAAAUCAGAUCCUUGAUUAUUAUUUUUAUGUUAUAGUUGAAGUAUUUUUAUAAUUAUUACUAAUAUUGAAGGAAGACUCCUUUAAGCGAAAUGAUUCAUGUACUUCUACUUUUUAUUCACCCCUAUAUAAUUAAAAUUUAAAAUUAAAUAAAUUAUUUUAAUUUUUUUAUAAAAGACUAUGUUGCAAGUUGAAUCUUGAGAGAACCAAUUAGAAGAAAACUCAAUUGAUUAGUUAGAGUGGCCGGGGCCUUUCCAACUAACAUAAGAGUAUGAUGAAUAACAGAAGGAUUGAGGAAAUUAAGGAUGUGAGGAGAGAAGAGAGAGCAAGAAGGAAAACACGUUGAUUGUAUUAUAUUUUGUUAUCCCUUCUGUUACAUGAAUUGCUACAGAUAUAGUAACGAAGAGUAGAUUCUAGAAUAGCCACACGAGGCUCUCACUAUAGUAACAACUAACAGAAAUAACAACAGUAAUUAACACAAGGCUAGUGCUGCAAUGGUUUUAUUUAAACGGUGUGUGUAAGCUAAAGGGUAGUGAGCACUAUUAUCAAAACGCCAUUGUUUCGUCAGUGCUACUUUUGGUUUGAAAAUCUUUUUUCUGCUACUGUUCUUCUUGGUUCAUAACAAUACUUCCCCCUUUUGAAAAAUGUUCCUUGUCCUCAAGAAACAACUGUGGGUACCUUAGAAGAAGAUCAUCAGCAAAUUCCCACGUAGCUUCAGAUGGUGACAGGGUCUUCAAGUGAAUUAAGACCUGUGUUGCUGCUUGGUUGUGGUGUUUAACCAUUCUUCUGUCAAGAAUGGCUUGGGGUUGCAACCUUGGCUCUGCAUUCUGGGCUGGUAAGUUGUCAUAUACUAUUUUACGCCCCACAUAUUGCUUUAAUUGGGAGACAUGGAACAUUGGGUGUAUAACGCUUGAACUGGGAAGGCCUAGCCGAUAUGCUACCGCCCCUAUGCAUUCAAUGACUUGAUAAGGACCAUAGUACUUGGCUGCCAGCUUGUAUGAAGCCCUCCUGCUCACCGUUUGCUGUCUAUAGGGUUGUAAUUUGAAAUAAACCCAGUCCCCCACCUUUAAGAUGUGUUCACUACGCUUAUUGUUUGCUUGUUGAAUCAUAUGGUGUUGAGCUAGCUUGAGACAAUCUUUAAUAGUCUUGAGCAUGUCUUCCCUUUGUGUUAAUUGUUUAUCAAUGGCGUCUAUAUUAGAAUCCUUAGGAAAGUAAGGUAUGUGGAUUGGAGGGGCCUGGCCAUAUAGAACUUCAAAAGCAGUAGACUUGAUGGAGGAGUGAUAGUUGGUGUUGUAUCACCAUUCGACUAAGGGCAACCAUCUGGACCAAUGAUCUGGUGUCUUGUUUGUCAUGCAUCUCAAAUAUUGUUCCAAGCACCUAUUCACCACUUCUGUUUGCCGUUUGUUUGGGAAUGAUAAGCUGUAGAAUGUAACAAUUAAACUCCUUGUUAGGUGAAUAGAUCUUUCCAGGACCUGCUUAGAAACACAAGGUCUCUGUCACUGACUAUAGAGGCAGGUAAGCCGUGUAGUUUGUAGAUGUUGUUCAUGAGAGCAUUUGCUACUGUGGCAAAUGUAUAGAGCAAUGAAAUGGACAUACUUGCUAAACAUAUCUACCAUGACCAACACCACAUUUUUCUCUUUGGAAUUCGGUAGCCCUUCAAUGAAAUCCAUACUGAUGUCCAUAAACGGUGCCCGGGGUAUAGGGAGAGGUUGAAGCAAACUUGGUGUUAGGACAUUCUCGUUUUUGUUUUUCUAACAGGUGUGACACUCCCUCACAUAUGCUCGCAUAUGCUUUUAUUGUUUCUUCCAAUAGAAUAAUGAUCCCAACCGUCUGGCAGUAACAAUAAUACUAGAAUGGCCUCCUAUGGUAAAGUCAUGAUAGAGUGAGAUUAGUUUGCCUUGCAAGUCAGGGUCAUUACCCAUUACCAGCUUGCCCUUGCUGUAUAUAUGUCCAUUCACCCAUGCAUAAAGUGGGUGUAAACUAGGGUCUUGUUUCAAUUGAGUUAUGAUCUUUAAUAGGUUGUUAUAUGUCGCCUAAGAUGCCUGAACUUCUUCUAACAAGUUGGUCGAAAUGGUGGAGAGUGUAAGGGAAAACAUCUCACUACUAGUGCACCUACACAGAGCAUCAUCAACAAUAUUUUCCUUUCCUUUUGUGUACUCAAUAUCGUAAUCAAAGCUUAAAAGCUUGGCUAGCCAGAUGUGUUGAGAGGGGUAGGAUACCUUUUGUGCCAACAGAUAUUUGAGGCUAACAUGAUCUGUCCUGAUUGUAAAAUGUCUUCCUCAGAGGUAGUGUCUCCACUUGGUAAUCACCCGUAGAAUGGCCAACAUCUCUCUUUCAUAGGUCGAUAACGCUUGUUGUCUGAGUCCUAAAGAUUUGCUGAUAAAUGUGAUAGGGUGUCCCUCAUGCAUUACAACACCUAGACCAGAUCCUGAUGCAUCUGUUUCAACCACAAAAGAUUUGUUAAGAUCGGGCAGAAAGAGAACUGGGGUUGGGUCAUGGCCUUCUUUAGGUUACUGAAGGCUUCAACUGCAUCUUCCUUCCAGGCAAAUGCAUUUUUCUUUAGUAACUGGGUGAGUGGAUAGCUAAUGAAUUCGUAGUUUUUGACAAACCUACAAUAGUAUCCAGUAAGGCUUAAGAAUCCUCGUAGCUGCUUGACAUUUUGUAAAUACUAUUUGUAAAUGAUGCAGGUGUUCGGUUAUUGACUGACUGUAUAUCAAAAUAUCAUAAAAAAAGACUAAUACUAACUUCCUGAGAUGUUUCCUGAAUACUUCAUUCAUCAAGCUUUAAAAAGUAACAGGGGGCAUUGGUAAACCCAAAUAACAUUACCAAGAAUUCAUAGUGGUUGUUAUGAGUUUGAAAUGUUGUCUUGAAUACAUCCCAAGGAGUUAUUCCAAUAUGGUGAUAACUAGAUCAUAAGUUCACCUUUGAAAACACUGUUGUACUCACCAGCUCUUCUAAUAACUCGUUUAUUAUAGGUAUUGGAAAUUUUUUCUUGAUGGUAAGUUGAUUGAGAGCCCUGUAAUCGACAUAGAGUCUCUAGGAUCCAUCCUUCUUCUUAACCAAAACAACAGGGGAAUCAAAAGGGCUGGUUCAUAACACUCUAGGUUAUUGUGUAACGUUAUCUUUAACUUUUUUUAUAUGAAAUUAUUUGAUAUUAAGAAAAAAUUAAAUAUAAAGAUUUUAUUAGUAUCUAUAUCUUUAAUAUAUCUUUAAUACGUGUUUAACAUAUGUUGAAAAAAAAACUCUCUAAAAUAUAACGAUCUGUAGAAACUAUAUUGCCAAUAUAAUAAUGUUAAAAGUUACAUCAUAUAACUAUAUAUUUCUGUUAUUACAUGUAGAGUCUAUUUGAAGUAAUUCAUAAAUAUAAACAUACCAAGCCUACAGCUCCACUGGGACUUGCAGAAUUUGUCGCCAUCACAUGACAUCUCAUGAACGCUAAAGAAUCAACAGAUUUGUCGCCAUCACAUGAUACUACCUAUGGCUUUUUCACUAGAAAUAGUUGCUAAAAUUUGUAGAGGACAAAGAAGAGCCUCCCCAUUGUUUCUCCCUUCUUGUUUAGUCCUAACGCUCUUAAUAACAGGUUCACCAGCAGGAUUGGUUGGUCUACCAUCUAAUAGGGCAGCAUAUUAACCAAAAUUAUUAGAUCUCUUUUUUUUUCCAUACCAUUACUGGGAACAACAUAAGCUACCCAGGACUUUGUUUUCAGUUGAAAAUUGUUGCCAGCAAGUGAUGCGUGCAUACGGUUUCCCGAGAUGUUGAAGGCUUUCCAAGUUCGGUAUCUCUCCAGCAAGUGAUGUGUUUUCAAAUCCCUAAAACAAAUUGCAAUGGAAUGAGAAAUGAAGUAAAAAAAAAAGGUGAAAACAAAUCCGAGGAGAAAAUUCACUUGGACCCAAAUUUUAAUAUUUUUCUUGUUUUCUAAAUCAAAAUAGAAAAAACAUUAAAGUAAUGAACAAACACAACACAACACAACACCAGAAGUUGGAACACAAAAUGGCCAUAUCCUAAUUGCUUCGACCUCAUAAGGACUCUGAUCUACAUCAAUUUCUCUCAUCCUUUGGAUUUCCAAUAAACUUUAAGAAAAAGAAAACAAAAUAUUGCAAGGAAAUCAACUCACAGGCCACAAGAGAGACUGAGAAGCACCUACAAAAUGAAUCUAGGCAUAGGCAAUGAAAGACCAAUAAAUCAUGCACAGUGGAAGAAAAGGAAAGGUAACAACAGAAGCACCAUGAUCAAAAGCCAAGCAACAAAGACCAAAAUAACACAGAAAUAAAAUAAAAAAAAUAGCAUGAUCAAAAGGUAAGCAAAUAACAAUGUGAAGAACAUAUAAAGAAGUGUAAUCAAACUAACGGGGGACAAAAAAUAAACUUAGAGGGCAAUAAUGGAAGCUAAAAACUGGGGGAAAAGGAAGCAACGAAUGGACCAAGAAAAAAUGUAAGAAAUUCUAAGGAGAGAACCAAAAGAUAUGACCUGUUAAAUUGUCCCUAAUUACUUUUUCCACAAGCAAUUUAAAUUCACUUUCUUCUUUUAUGCCUUUGAUCUUUUUUUUUUUUCAUUUUCCCUUAUUGUUUUUUCCUAUUUAUUAUUGUAUUUUGACUCUUUUUUUUUAAAUAGCAACAUCAACACCAACUUCAUGAGAAAAAUUAAUCAAAGAUACUGAAAUAAACAUGUUACUAGUUGAAUGCAUUAAAACAAUUUUUUGAAUUUUAAUUUUUUUUAAAAAACAUUGAAAAUAAUGGGAAUACAUCAAAAAUAUAUUUUUAGAGUUUUUUGUUGUUUUUUUUUUUUUUGCUAUAUUUAGAUUUAAAAAAAAAAAUAUUUUGGAAAGGGGAUCAAAAUUAGACUGUGAUAAUUGCCAUAUUUUUACAACACUUACUGUAUAAAAUCAUAUGUUAGGAAAUUUAGAAAGUAAGUUUGUAAAGAAAAAAAAAAAGUGUAAAAGCCUUUCCAGUUUAGUAAAGAAAUCCACUAAGGAGUUUUGAUAAGGAGUUUUUAAAUUAACAAAUCAUGAGGAGGUGGUUAUCUUUGUAGAUGUUUCGAAACUCAAUUGUUUUGAGAAUUAAGGGUUUUCUCUUUGUUUUUCUCUUUGUUUUAAAAAAUGGUGUUGUUAUUGACGGACUACCUGUUGUGUGAAGAAUAUAUAGAAUUCUUUAUGGAAGGUUUGUAUUGGGGUAACUUGCUCGAGAUUUGUGAUUAGAUGACCGUUGUGUGAAAAAUAUUUAGGGUUUAACUGGAGAAUCAUUUGUGGUUGCCAAACAAGUGGAUUCCGUAGUGUGGGUUGGAACUAUUAACUUAAAUGGUGUCAAUACUUCUCUCUGACAGACACUCUAUGCAUUUUGGCUUUAUAUCGUAGAAAGAAUAAACACUAUGAUUCAGAUUUCAAACACGCAUGAAUUAAACAUCUAUGAAAUAUAACUUUCAUCUUGAAAGUUUUUGGCAGUUUUAUAAAAUAACCGCGAUUCCUCUCAAUUUGUAAUCCAAUAAACAAAUGAAUCCGUUCUUUUAAACUAAUGAUAUUUCAUGUGUUAUAACCCAAAUUUGACUGAACCGUGCUAAUCUCCACACUAUACCUAGAGUCACUAGACAAACAUUUCCUUUUAUUCUGUUCAUCCAGAAAACACUUUUACCUUGUUAUGGUUCUUCCAAGAUGAGGUCCUGAUCGGAAAGGAUGUUGAGACAGUCUUAAUCUUUAUAGUUUUUGCAGGAAGCAGCUGUACUUUAAACUCAAGAUGAACUCUUCUUUUCAAAUUUGUCAGUCACCAGUAGCAUUGAAUUUUCAAGUUUGCAUGCAUGUUAACUAGGAUGGAAUGUCAUUAACAUUGUGGAGUCUAAAGAUUUAAGUUUUUCUCAUUCCUCACUUGUAUUUUAAAGUUAAACUUGAAAUGCUUGAUGUUAUCAUUGAAUCUUUUAUUGGGAGUAGGUAUGCAUAGAUCCCUCGUUCAAGGCAUCAAGGUUAUCUUUACUAGCUUGGGGUUUUAUAUUCGUGGAGGUGGUGGAAUGGGAAGGCAGUGGUCCGAGAAUCGGAAGUACUUGAAGAAAAAGAUUACUUUCACAGAUAUUAUUGCUUGUGCUGAGUAUUGAAUAGAACAGAGGUUCUGUCCAAAGGAAAAACUGUGUAUUGAAGGAAGGAAUGCAGGGGGGUUGCUUAUCGGCUCCGUCCUUAAUAUGAGGCCUGAUUUGUUUUUAAAUUUGCUUUUGCUGGAGUACCUUUUGUAGAUGCUUUGACUAAAAUGCUUGAUCCAACCAUCCCUCUUACAACUUCCCUUGUAAAGAUAUGAAAUUUGAACUGUAUCCACCUUUAAAUCUGGCUUCCAGUGGAACGUGAUUUUCACUUCUUUGUUUACUGCAGGGUACAUUUAUGCUCCUACUAUAGUAUGUGUCGGUGGCUAGAUGCUAGUACUUGCUUAUCACUUUUUGUUUACUGCAGGAAUGGGGAGAUCCUAGGAAGGAGGUGUUCUCCCACUGCAUGAAAUCAUAUUCUCCUGUUGAUAACGUAAGUAUUAAGCUUUGAAUCGGUUCCUCAUGUUCAUGAUUAAUAGCUUUGAAUUGGUUCCUUCUCCUGUCGGCAUGGUAUUUGGUAUGACAACUUGACAGUAGUGGUUCGUGGAAGAUGCUGCCAGCAACCAUCAAUCAAUUGGGGAGGAAGGACCCUCAUGCAACUAUGCUCUAAAUUGAAUGUAUCUCAUCUUUCAAACACUUCGUUUCAUCUUUUAUAUUUCACACCAUACUUCUCUCUCUUUUGUGCUCAAAAUAUCUUCUUUGAUUCCCCAAAAAAAAAAAAUGGCAGCAGAGCUUCUUCUUACGUUUGCCAUGGAGGAGACUUUGAAAAGGCUGAGUUCCAUUGCUGCUGAAGGGAUCAGACUUGCUUGGGGAUUGGAGGGCAGCUGCGAAAGCUCAACCAGUCCUUGACCAUGAUCAAAGAUGUGCUCCAAGACGCAGCCAGAAGGGCAGUAACAGAGGAGUCUGUGAAGCGUUGGCUGCAGAACCUACAGGUUGUAGCUUAUGAUGCUGAAGAUGUUCUAGACGAGUUUGCGUAUGAGAUUCUCCGCAAAGAACAAAAGAAGGGAAAGGUACGUGACUGCUUUUCACUCCACAACCCGUUUUCCGUUUAUUAUGGGUCAAAAAGUUAAGAAGAUCAAUGAAGCCCUGGUUGAAAUCCGGAAAGAUGCAUCCGGAUUUGGGCUUGGAUUGACAUCUCUACAUGUAGAUAGUGCUCAAGAAGUUAGUUGGGGUCCAGAUCGAGAGACAGAUUCCUUCCUUGACAGCUCAGAAAUUGUAGGAAGGAAGGAUGAUGUCUCUAUAGUUAUGGAUAUGCUGACUAGCUUGACCAAACACCAUGUCCUUUCGGUUGUCCCUAUAGUGGGGAUGGUUGGCCUUGGAAAGACUACUGUAGCAAAAAACGUUUGUGAAGCAGUGAGGGAAAGAAAACAUUUUGAUGUGACUCUAUGGGUUUGCGUUUCUAAUGAUUUUAAUAAAGUGAAGAUUUUAGGAGCAAUGUUGCAAAUGAUUGACAAAACUACGGGUGGGUUGAGCAACCUAAAUGCAAUUAUGGAAAACCUUAAGAAAAAGCUGGAAAAGAAGACAUUUUUUCUUGUUCUUGAUGAUGUGUGGAAUGAAGACCAUGAUAAGUGGGAUGAUUUGAAGGAGCAACUGUUAAAAAUUAACAGCAAGAAUGGGAAUGCUGUUGUUGUUACAACCCGCAGUAAGAAAGUAGCAGACAUGAUGGAGACUUCUCCUGGGAUUCAGCAUGAGCUAGGGAGACUAUCAGCUGAUCAAUGUUGGUCCAUUAUCAAGCAAAAGGUGAGUAGAGGUGGACGAGAAACAAUAGCUUCAGACUUGGAGGUUAUUGGAAAAGAUAUCGCAAAGCAAUGUGGAGGGCUUCCGUUGCUUGCUACUAUUAUGGGAGGAACGCUGCGGCAAAAGGAGACACAGGAGUGGAAGUCAAUUCUAAACAGUAGAAUUUGGGAUUCUCAUGAUGGAAAUAAAGCUUUUCGCGUAUCAGAUUAAGUUUCGAUUACUUGUCAUCGCCAACAUUGAAAAAAUGUUUUGCAUAUUGUUCCAUUUUUCCAAAAGAUUUUGAAAUUGAAAGGGAAGAUCUAAUUCAACUUUGGAUGGCUGAAGGUUUUCUAAGGCCAUCAAAUGGGAGGAUGGAAGACGAAGGCAACAAGUAUUUCAAUGACUUGCUUGCAUAUUCCUUUUUCCAAGAUGUUGAAAGGAAAGCGUAUGAGAUCGUAACAAGUUGCAAGAUGCAUGAUCUUGUGCAUGACCUUGCAUUGGAGGUGUCAAAAUCAGAAACGUUGAAUCUGGAGGCGGAUUCAGCUGUAGAUGGCGCAUCUCAUAUUCGUCAUCUCAAUCUCAUUUCUUGUGGGGAUGUUGAGUCAGCAUUAAAAACGGGUUAUGCUAGAAAAUUGCGUACUGUUUUCUCAAUGGUUGAUGUAUUAAAUGGGUCUUGGGAAUUCGACAGGUUGAGAACUCUCAAAUUGCGACGGUCUGAUAUCACAGAGUUACCAGAUUCAAUUUGCAAGCUGAGACAUUUGAGAUAUCUUGAUGUCUCCGAUUCUGCUAUUAAAAUAUUGCCAGAAUCCAUCACCAAGCUCUACCUUUUGGAAACAUUAAGAUUCACUGAUUGCAAGUCACUAGAAAAGCUUCCCAAGAAAAUGAGAAAUUUAGUCAGCUUGAGACAUCUUCAUUUUGAUGAUCCAAAGCUAGUGCCAGCUGAGGUGAGACUCUUAACACGCUUCAAACUCUGCCUUUUUUUGUUGUGGGUCCAAAUCAUAUGGGUAGAAGAGCUGGGAUGUUUGAAUGAACUAAGAGGAGCAUUGAAGAUAUGCAAGCUUGAGCAAGUUAGAGACAAAGAAGAAGCUGAGAAGGCAAAACUGCGUGAAAAAAGAAUGAACAAAUUGGUGUUUGAAUGGAGUGAUAAUGGUAACAAUAGUGUUAACAACGAGGAUGCGCUGGAAGGCCUGCAACCUCACCCAGCAUAAGAAGCUUGACUAUUAAGGGUUACUGUGGUGAAUAUUUCCCAUCAUGGAUGUCUACAUUGCAACUCAAUAAUCUGACGGUCCUAACGUUGAACGGUUGCAGCAAGAGCAGACAACUCCCAACACUUGGAUGUCUUCCUCGCCUUAAGAUUCUUCACAUAACUGGAAUGCCUAGUGUGAAAUGUAUAGGCAAUGAGUUCUAUAGUAGUAGUGGCAGGGCAGCAGUGAUGUUUCCAGCACUGAAAGAACUCACUCUAUCCAGUAUGGAUGGUCUUGAAGAAUGGAUGGUAUCAGGUGGAAGGUGAUCAAGUAUUCCCUUGUCUUGAAAAGUUGUGCAUUGAGGGGUGUGGCAUGUUGAAAAGCAUUCCGAUAUGUCACCCUUCAUCUCUUGUACACUUUGUAAUUCGAAAAUGUGAUGAACUGAGAUAUUUAUGUGGUGAAUUUCAUGGCUUCACAUCUCUUAGAAUUUUGAUGAUAAUUAAUUGUGAGAAGCUGGCAUCCAUUCCAAGCGUACAACACUCCACAGCUCUGGUGGAAUUGACCAUAUGGAACUGCCCUGAGUUGAUCUCAAUUCCUGGUGAUUUCCGAGAAUUGAAAUAUUCUUUGAAGAAGUUGUUUAUUUAUAGAUGUAAAAUGGGAGCUCUUCCAAGCGGACUACAAUAUUGCGCAUCUCUAGAGGAAUUGCGGAUAGAGGAUUGCAAAGAGGUUAUCCAUAUCGAUGAUUUGCAAGAAUUGUCUUCGCUUCGAAGAUUAGUGAUUAAAGAUUGUGAUGAGCUCAUCAAUUUGAUUGGCAUGCUUUACGACAAUUACCUUCUCUUGUUCUUUUAGAAAUCAAUGGGUGUCGGAGUUUGAGUCAUUUCCCAGAGGAGGAUUGCUUAGGCGGCUUCACCUAACUAAAGGAAUUGAGCAUCGGUGGCUACUCAGAGAAGCUGGAGGCUUUUCCUGCCGGAGUUUUAAACUCAGUCCAACACCUCAACUUGAGUGGGUCCCUUGAAAGACUAUGGAUACGGGGAUGGGAUAAACUGAAGAGUGUACCACACGAACUACAACACCUCACUACCCUUGAGUCACUGUGGAUAUGUGAUUUCAGGGGAGAGGAAUUUGAGGAAGCAUUGCCAGAAUGGUUGGCCAACCUUUCUUCUCUUCGAUCUCUCUGGAUUUGGGAUUGCAAGAAUCUCAAGUAUAUGCCAAGCUCAACAGCCAUUCAACGCCUCUCCAAAUUAAAGGAAUUGGGGAUUUCAGAAUGCCCACUUCUAUCAGAAAAUUUAGAAAGGAAGAUGGCUCCGAGUGGCCCAAGAUUUCUCAUAUCCAUCAAUCAUCGUAAGAGGGUACACGUGUACAGGUAAGUAGGAUUAAAUUUUUAUGUUACUUUGUAUGCAGUGGAGGAGAAUUUAAUAAUAACUCAAGGAUAGUGGAAACUAAACGUCGAUAAUCCAAGUCUCCAACUCACUAUGGCAUAUUUGAACCGCUGAACACUUGAUUUGUGCACUAAUUUUCAUUCACUUCAUUUUCGUUGAAUAAUUUUUUUUAUUGCAUUCGUUGAAAUAUAAUUACUGUACAUUCAUAGUUUAUAUAUACUACUUAUCAUACAUGCUUUGCUGCAUUACUUGAAAAUGGAUAGCACUCAUCUUGUGAAGACUGCAGAAACUAUGAAGCAGUCUCGUUUUUUUUUAAAAAAAUAUCCCUCUAUAUUGUUUUUGUUUCCAAGACUAAUAACAAAUUGGCUCUUUUAACAAUUGUAUAUGCAGUAGAAACUCCAAGACUGGAGAAAGCCGUGGAUUGGUCAUUUAAAGCUUCUGCAGAAUAGUGUUUGUCUUGCUGCAUUGUGGAUAAACGUGUGGUCUGCACAGUUUUCUGUUGUUUUCGCCGAUAAAUAUACUCGUCAGAAUCAAGAAAAUGGACGAAGCUCACAAAAAUAAUAGAGCUUAAUAUGGGAAUGGAUAUGAAUUCUUACUGUGUUUAUAUGCAAUGUAACUUAACAAGUAAUUAUUUGUCAGAAAGAAAGAAAAUGAAUGCAGGUGGCAGCUUAUUACCAAGAUAGUAGUGCUUUAAUAUAUAUGGGCAUGGAUGUGAAUUCUUACCUGAAUGUAAUGUAUCGUCUGCUAUUUUGUAUUGUAUUUCUUUCUUAACAUUUGAGAAUUCAAUUUUUAUGAAGUUAUGUAUAUUUCAGAGACUAAAUUGAAGUUCCCACCAUAUAUUUUAUGCCCAUAUUUGCAUCUUCUGAUGAGAUUGAUUUAUAUAUAAUUCUACAUCACAUUAGCAAACUACAAAAAAAAAAAAAAGAGAAAAGAACUGGGCAGGCUCGAGGUGUUAAUUAACAUAUUAAAGAAGAAUAGUCCUGGAAAUACUAUAAUGAGCAUAGAUUAAUUAAUCCACAUAUUUUUUCAAAGCGAUAGGAUACAAACAAAUCAAUAUCCCUGACGAAUAAAUCCUUGCAAGUGUGGAUGUUAUUUGUUAUCUGGGCUUUGCACUUUCCUAAAUUAAUGAAUUUUGUUACUGUUUAAAAAAGAAUACAAAAAUUAAUAAAAAAUUAAUGGUAGCUUGACAUUCUUAUGGCAUAGACUGAACCAUAUUCACCUAAUCCUCAGAAAAAAAUGUGUCGAAUUGUCAAGAACACCAGAGUGUUCUGCCUUUGGUGUCGUCUGCACAGCAUUAUAUGUUCGUAAGAGAGUACAAUAAUCCUUCCAUCUUCAAGCCUCUGAUGAUAGCAAAGCUCAACAAAACCAUGAUUUCUUAGCUUAGAUUUGACGUGUUCAUACUUGGCAUUAAUCGCUGCAAGAUUUUCGUUUCCAAUGUCUUUAAAAAUGUCCCUGAAAACAAUCUUGAUAAACUGCUAGGACCAUCUGGAGCAGCUGCUGCACCAGACAUCCAUUACGCUAGCAAACAUCAUUUCACUUUUGAUGGGUCGUUGGUGAUUGUAUUAAUUUGGCUACAGGCUUACAGCAUUGUAUUAAUUUGUCAAAUCUCGAUCCAGGGGUUUGUUACCACUGCCAGUGGGUAUGGUAUUUUGAGAAUUGCUCUCCAUUGCAAGCAUCACCUAUUGCCCCCAUCAGAGUAGUAGAAUAAGGGAGAAAAUGGGUUUAAGAAGGAUAAGAUAAAUUGUUGUGUGUUGUGAAUCUUUAACAGUUGCUGUUUGUUAUUUUUAUUGUAUAUAUAUAUAUAACUCUAAUGAAUUUUCUAUAAUAGAUUUUAAUAUAACAAACACACAAGAAUAAACACACAAGAUCAUAACGCUUCAAUACAGAGGACCCAUCUGCAUUCUAUUUAAAAGCACCUCAUGGAGGCCUACUGCAUUGGGUAAUUUUCCAGCAGUUAUGAAACAUCAUCGAUGCAAUGUUUACAAUGACAAACUUGCAUUUGUAUUCAUUGUGGUAUUUAAUGUUCCAAAAACACUGUAUACUCAUUUAGAUGCUUUACUUCAAUAGAUAGACUAAGUUAUCUCUCUAGAUAUCAGUAUAUCACAUCUUCAAAGAUAGAUUAGGGCAUGUUUGAAUUUGAAGAAGACGUGUUUAUUUGCAUCUUCUCUGUCAGCGUGUGUUUCCGCAGCAACUAAAAUGAAAACGAAGAACACCCAUCAUGGUGUGGAACUAACUAAUAUACUGUUCCAGUUGUGGGGUCGGUCAUUAGUAUCAGAAGACAUUAAACCAUUUUGGUGUCCAUUGUUUUGAUGCACUGAAUACAAUCUGGACCUGUUAACUACCAAGAACAUCUAUUUUCCAGGCAAUCAAUUUGAAGAUGAAAACUCGAACGCACAACUGUAACUGACACUGAUUUUUCAAGAGACCUGCAAUUGAUUUAAAAUUUAUUCUUUCAAGGGCUCACAAGAUUCUGCAUGCAAAUGGAAUGGACUAGUUCCGAGUUGUUGAAGUUGUUUUCUUGACCUGGAUUGUGAGUUGUGAUCCACCAGCUUGAUCCUUCUCUCUAUCCAAGGCAAUUUCUAUUGCGUCGCCGACCUUGAGGUCCUUUGAACGAACCAAUCCCCAGAAAGGUCCGCACUUGGCCUCUCGGGAAAUCUCUUAUACUGUACUGUUGAGUUUCUUCGUGAAGUUUUUUUUGCAUCGCUUAUCGCGAAGAAGUAGAUGGGCAAUUUACGAGGCAACUUGCCCCUUGCAAGAGGAUUUAUAUAGUGCCGCACUCUACAAAACUGUGAAAAGGAAACGAGCGUUAAGGUCCUCUCGUUCUAAUAAGUGAAUGGUCGAUCCACAGACAGAAAGAAAAGCCAGAAUCAUGUCAUCAUAUGUUCAUCUUUCUGACUCACUGUGAAUUGUGAUCGAAAUAAAAAUAAGAAAAGAAAAGAAAUAAUCAACAUUCGUUUGAUCGGUUAUUUUAAGAACCAAAAAAGAAAGCAUGAUUAAAGAUCCAAUGUUUCUGCAAGAUAUCCCUUUCAAGGGUCCAUUAACAUCACUAUCAUUUCUUUCACUGUCAAACCCCCUCCCCCUCCCCUGCUGUUCUUGUUAUUUAUGUCUGUGUUAACUUUUCUGAAAGAAUAAAUGUUGUGUUACAAGCAGAAGAAGAAGAAGAAGGAGAAGAAAGGAUCUAAAGCAGGCCACGAAAUCAAAAAUUAGUUAACAGUACACACGCGAGCCAUGCAUUCAAAAGUUAGUUGAAAAGCCAUACGCACCGUUUCAUUUAAUUACCAAAUGCACCGUUUCGAUUCCAUAAACAGCUGCACGUUAGUUACCACACAGCCUGCGUGCUGAGGGUGUUGUAACCAAUUGCUUGCAAAGCUUUAUAAAUAAGCAUACGUAGAGUAAACAAGAUAACAAGAAAUAUAAUACACAGUUUGUUUCCUUCUUAUCAGGAACUAAAUAUCAGUGUUGUUGGUGUGGUAUCAACAGCCUCUCUAACAUUUCAUUCUCGUUAAAUUCAUUCCACCAUCACUAUCACUGGAUAUCAUCCAAUUCGGUUCUAUCCAUACUUCACCCUUAACAUUUGGUAUCAGAGCUUCCUAUCCACGGAUUGCCAUCAUGCCACCAGACACCAGAACAACUGAUCUCAAACGUAUUGAAGAUUCCAUUGCAGCAGUCUCGCAGGAUCACAAUCUCAAGUAUGAAUUGAUGGCAGAUUUACUGAAAGGGCAAAAUGUCAAGCUGGAUCAAACUAUAGCCAACCAAGGAGCUCAGAUCAGAGACAUGCAAGGUAUUAUGAGCACCAUGGCACAACAGCUAGACUUGGCUCUGCAUAAGCUUUCUUCUCACUCUGGCAGCCCAAGUCAGGGCAGAGACAAGCAAGUAUCUGGCAUGGACGGUUAUGAGUCAAGACAUAGGAACUCACAGGAGGAAAGAAAUCAUUCAUACAAAAUUCACAAACCAAAACAUUUUUUCCCAGUCUUCAAUGGUGAAGAUGUGCACCGCUGGCUCUACAAAUGUGCUCAGUAUUUUGAGAUUGAAGAAAUUACCAACACUGACAAAUUAAGGAUAGCAUCGUAUUAUCUUGAAGGGGUUGCAUUAUAUUGGCAUCAGAACUUCUUAAGGAGUACAACCAAUCAAGAAACCACUUGGGAGGAGUAUAUGGAGGCUAUUAGCUGCAGAUUUGGAGGACAACAAGAUCCCUUGGAAGCCAUAAUGGAGCUUAAACAGCAAGGGAACCUGGAGGAAUACAUCCAGGACUUCGAUAUAUUGUGGAACAAGGCAGAAAUCAAUGAAAAGCAAGCACUGGUUAUUUUCCUUGGUGGUCUGGAGUUGGAGAUCAAAAAUACGGUAAAAAUGUUUGAACCUAAGACUCUUAAGCAUGCUUACAAUUUGUCCAGGCUACAAGCAAAAACAUUAUCAUACAAAACACUGUCCCCUCCACCAAAACGUUACAGCCCUCUUUUCAACACCUCACAAUCACAAACCUACAUCCCUCCAAACACACAGAACCCCACGAACAUCACAAAUACCACAAAACCUGGUCCAGCACCAUGGCACAAUAAUCCUGCAAAUACUGUUCACAGGAACCAGGUUAAACCCACCAAAUCUAUAAAGAACCAAGACUUUGAAGAGAGGAGGUUAAAAGGCUUAUGUUUCUGGUGUGAUGAUAAGUUUGUUCCCGGUCAUAGAUGCAGAAGUAAAAGGCUGUAUUCAUUGAGUGUUACAGAAGAAGAAGAGGAAGUAAUCACUGAAGAACUGCCCGAUCUCGACACUCUAACCAGAGAACUACCACCGCACAUAUCCUUGGAUGCAUUGGAAGGUACAGUAGGGCUUAACACUAUCAAGGUCACGGGUAAAUUGGAAAAAACCUCUGUGAGCAUUCUAAUUGACUCAGGAAGUACUCACAACUUCCUCAAUGCGGAAUUGGCUCUCAAACUCCAGCUUCAUUUAGUCAUCAUUAAGCCAAUGAUGGUGCAAGCAGCUAAUGGUGACAGGAUGAUUUGCAAAUCCAUGUGCAAAAACUUGAAUUGGAAAAUGCAGGGGAUAAGCUUUGUGGCAGAUGUGUUCAUCAUAGACCUAAGCAAUUGUGAAAUGGUGUUAGGUAUCCAAUGGUUGUAUCUACUGGGAGAUAUACUUUGCAAUUACAAACAUUUGUGGAUGUCCUUCGACUGGCAAGGAAAAAGAGUGCUACUCAAGGGAGAAAACCCACCCAAACUGCAAUAUAUAGAACUUGAGCAUCUACAUUCACUAGCGGGCAGCCAUGACAUGAUAAAGGGUUAUCAUCUUUGUAACUUACAAAUGGUGGACGAGAAGGAGGCAGGAGUCUCUCUGGAAUCCACCACUGUCACUAUGUCCUCAACUGAUAACCAGGACACUCACCUAAAAAACCUGCUAGCAGAAUACACUGAUUUAUUUCAGGAACCUACAGGUUUGCCCCCGCUCAGAUCCCAUGAUCACAGGAUUCCUCUCAAGGAAGGAGGAGAGGCAGUUAAUCUAAGGCCGUACAGGUAUUCAGGUCUUCAAAAAGAUACACUGGAGGACAUGGUAAAGGAAAUGCUGAGGGGCAAAAUCAUAAGGACCAGUAACAGUCCCUUUGCUUCUCCAGUAAUCCUGGUGAAGAAAAAAGAUUCAACAUGGCGUCUCUGUGUGGAUUACAGAGCCUUGAAUAAACUCAUCAUCAAGGAUAAGUAUCCUAUCCCCAUGAUUGAGGAACUAUUGGAAGAAUUGGUGGGAGCUGCAGUGUUUUCCAAAAUUGAUUUACGUGCAGGCUACCAUCAAAUUCGCAUGGCAAGGGGAGAUGAAUUCAAAACAGCUUUUAGAACUCACAGCGGCCACUACGAAUUCUUGGUAAUGCCAUUCGGCCUAACGAAUGCACCGGCCACUUUUCAGAGCUUAAUGAAUGAAAUCUUCAGGGAGCAUUUGAGGAAGUUCAUUCUUGUGUUCUUCGACGACAUCCUCGUGUACAGCCAUACUCUUCCUGAACAUUAUAUUCAUCUAGCUACUGUGCUGAACUUAUUAAGGGAACAUCAUCUGGUGGCUAAAGCCAGCAAGUGCUUCUUCGGCAGGGAUCAAGUGGAAUAUUUGGGACACAUCAUUUCCAAGCAAGGUGUGGCGACAGAUCCCUUCAAAAUACAAGCCAUCCAGGAAUGGCCAAUACCUACAGGAUUGAAGCAGCUGAGGGGGUUCUUGGGGUUGACAGGUUACUACAGACGCUUUGUCAAAGGCUAUGGCAGCAUAUGCAAGCCACUCACUCAACUCCUUAAAAAAGAGGCUAAGGGCUGGAAUGAUGAGGCUACCACAGCUUUUAAUCAGUUGAAAACUAUUAUGACUAGUGCUCCAGUAUUAGCUCUGCCAGAUUUCAACAAGGUGUUCAUCGUGGAGACAGAUGCAUCAGUAAUUGGGGUGGGAGCAGUACUUAUGCAAGAGGGGCACCCCAUUGCAUUCAUUAGCAAAUCCUUGGGUCCUAAACAACAGGUAAUGUCAGUAUAUGAGAGGGAAAUGCUGGCCAUUCUUCAGGCAGUUACCAAGUGGAAACAUUAUCUUUGGGGACGCCAUUUUAUCAUCAGAACAGACCACAUCAGUUUGAAAUAUCUUCUACAGCAGAAACUGACUACACCUGCACAACACGUCUGGCUGGUAAAAUUGUUGGGAUACGACUACGACAUUGAAUACAAGCAAGGCCGCGAAAAUAUUCCUGCAGAUGCCCUUUCCAGAAUUCCUAAUAAAGAGGUUUAUGCCUUGACUACUUAAACCAUCUCCACUGACCUCCUGGCAGAGAUCAAGAAGUCCUAUGAAGAAGACGUUACAGUUCAAGGAAUUAUCAAACAGUUACAAGAAUCAACUACUACCCACCCACACUAUACUUCGGUAAAUGAACACCUAAACAGAAAAGGAAAGGUGGUAGUCGGGAAGAAUACUGCAUUACGAGACAAGCUCAUUUCCAUGUUUCAUAGUUCACCCGUGGGAGGACACUCUGGCAUGACAGUAACAGCUAAAACAAUCGGGGGGUUGUUUUAUUGGAAGGGUCAGCAGAAACAUAUCAGGCAAUUCAUCAGAGAAUGCAAUGUUUGCCAGAGGAAUAAACAUGACAACGCAGCCAGCCCUGGACUCCUUCAACCAUUACCCAUUCCUGCAGCUCCAUUCAUAGACAUCAACAUGGAUUUCAUUGAAGGCCUUCCAAAAUCUGAAGGGCAGGAGGUGAUAUUAGUGGUGGUCGAUCGUUUCAGCAAAUACGCCCACUGCAUGGCUCUCAGCCAUCCUUACACUGCUUCAGGGGUGGCCAAGACAUUUAUGAACAAUGUCUAUAAACUGCAUGGUUUACCAGCUUCUAUAACCAGCGACAGGGAUCCAGUCUUCUUGAGCAGCUUUUGGAAGGAAUUAUUCACCAGUCAAGGAGUCGAGCUUAACUAUUCCUCAGCCUACCACCCACAAACGGAUGGCCAAACCGAAAUUGUGAACAAAUGCAUCGAACAAUACUUGAUGUGUAUGACUGGUGAUUGCCCGAACCAAUGGGUCAAGUGGUUACCAUUGGCGGAGUGGUGGUACAAUACCAACUACCACUCAGCCACCAAAAUGACACCCUAUCAAGUUUUAUAUGGUGCUGUUCCACCCCUCCACAUUCCUUAUUUCCCAAAAGAUUCACCUGUGGAAUCGGUUGAUGAGUAUCUAUCUGCGAAAGAAGAAAUCAUCAAAAGGGUCAGGGUGCAUCUCCAAGCAGCACAGAACAGGAUGACCAUGGUAGCUAACAGGAAAAGGAGUGAUCGCAGUUUUGAGAUCAAUGAUUAUGUAUUCCUCAAACUCCAACCAUACCGGCAACAGUCAUUGGUGCGCAGAUCAUCACAGAAGUUAGCAGCCAAAUAUUAUGGACCUUAUCGGGUAGUAGCCAAGAUUGGGAAGGUGGCUUACAAACUGGAAUUACCAGCUUCAACACUGAUUCAUCCAGUAUUCCAUGUGUCUCAGCUUAAAAAACAUAUUGGGAAUCACAUCAGCCAAGGCACUCCUCCGAUGGUACCAAAAACAGCUGCCUUACAGCCUAGAACUGUGUUAGACCGAAGAAUGGUGAAACUUCACAAUCAAGCUCACACAAGUAUUAAUACUCUGGGAAGGACUAGCUCCUACUGAGGCUACGUGGGAAAACUUGGGGGAAAUUCAGCAACGUUUUCCACUGUUCAACCUUGAGGACAAGCUUGGGUUCAAGGGAAGGCAAUUGUUACAAGCAGAAGAAGAAGAAGAAGGAGAAGAAAGGAUCUAAAGCAGGCCACGAAAUCAAAAUUAGUUAACAGUACACACGCGAGCCAUGCAUUCAAAAGUUAGUUUUUUUUAAUUACCAAACGCGUUUCGAUUCCAUAAACAGCUGCACGUUAUUACAACACAGCCUGCGUGCUGAGGGUGUUGUAACCAAUUGCUUGCAAAGCUUAUAAAUAAGCAUACGUAGAGUAAACAAGAUAACAAGAAAUAUAAUACACAGUUUGUUUCCUUCUUAUCAGGAACUAAAUAUCAGUGUUGUUGGUGUGGUAUCAACAGCCUCUCUAACAUUUCAUUCUCGCUAAAUUCAUUCCACCAUCACUAUCACUGGAUAUCAUCCAAUUCGGUUCUAUCCAUACUUCACCCUUAACAUGUUGUAGGGAGCAAAUAGUGGUAAAUAGAAAGAGGAGAACACCACAUCCCCAAAAGAAUAAAGAAAGAAGAAGAAAACAAAACAAAGUAAAAAAACAAAGCUUUUCAAUUAAAUAAAUGAAAACGCAGACGUAAAUUUUAAAAAUAAAAAACAUGAUAGAAAAGGAAGCACCUGGUGUUGAUUUGAAGCCUUAUUGGUUGAGGUGGCGGCGGAGGAAGGAAAGAGAGAGAGCUCAGGUGGGGAGAGGUGAGGAAUGUCGGACCAAAGUGAACAGAGCUUGAAAGAUGGCUUUAUUCUUUUCCAGAUUCGCUAACAAACUAAAAGAAAUGUAUUCUUGUGUUGCUUCACUGAUCAUAACUAACAAACUAAUAGAAUUAUAAAAACCAAGAGUGCUUCACUGUGUGUGAAUCCUGUGGCUUCAGUCUUUACGUUUCUUCUCGGCUGCUGAGACUCCCUGGCGUCUUUUCAUCGACUUUGUGUGUUGCAUGUUCAGAUUGAGGCGGUUUGGCUGGUGCUAGGCGCGCGAGGAGAUGUCAGCCGACGGGUAAUCACCUGCCUUGGCUUCAUUGAAGCUGUCCUCUUGGUUCUAUAAAAAAAAUAUGAAAAACCAAAAAAAACUUCACUAAUAAUAUCAGGCUUGACCCUAUAGCUUAUGUUUCAUCACAGCAGAUUAAAUAAGGUUCUAGAUAACAGGAUAUAGGAGUUUACUUGGCCAUUCUAGUCUAGCUUCAUGGUUAAUUUUCUUGAACCAGAAGAACCUUCCAUUUAUGGCUAUGGCUAUGCUCCAAGAUAUAGAAGUGAAUUACUUGCAAACCAGGGGAACUCUCUGAAAACAUUACAAUAGCAUUUACUCUGAGUAAGAAAACUUGUAUGCAUGCACUGUAAUUGACAAAGAAAAGAAGAGAAAUCCCUUUAAUUUAUGAAAAUGCAACGAGUUAACCUUAUCUCACUCUGCAAUAUAUAUCAGUGCUCAUUGGCUACUGCAAGUGCCAGCAGUAGCUGUCUAUAUGAUUUUGGAUGUAGAGAGGUCAACAAAACAUUCAACUUUAUACUGAGAAACUAGGAAACCAUACACUAUAUAUUGUGGCUAAUUGAUUUUUGUCUAAUGCUUUUGUACUUUUAAUAAGAUCACUAUCACCUCAACCCUGUACAAGUUAAAACAAAUAGAAGGCCCCAAAUCCAACACCAUUCAUUUAAGUUCAGUUGCAACUCAAGUUUCAAAUUGAAACACCAGUGUUCAUAGCAAUAGAUUAACCUUGAAAUUUAAAGCGGAACAAGCUUCAUGCAGCCAUCCAAGAGGUCAUCAUCGAAAGAAAAUUACUUCCCAGCACUUUUUAUUCCCUCGAGUUCCCAUCUUGUGAGAAACACGUGAAAAAUAAAAAAGACAAAAACGAAAGAAGAUGACAUCCUGUCAUUGCUACCAAAUCCUCACCAGCUGCAGCUCUAGAUCCAUUACCAGCUGCAGAACCAGCAAUUCUGUCAAUCAUACUGACAACGGAGCCAAUAUCACCGACAGAUGCACUAAGUGCUUUGGGAGACAGAGAUUUCACCUGGGAAAAAAAAUUACAGCAUCACCAUCUCAUUAACAAAGAAGUUUUCUUUUUCAGAAACCUCUAAAAUAAGGGUGGGGUGGAGUAAAACCAAAAGGAGAGCAUCACUAACCGCUUCAAUCAAGUAUUCAAGUGGUUGCUCUGUAACAUUUGACUUGCCAGAAAUAGUUGUCAAAGCACUGCCAUGAGAACCAUCAGGACUGGUAAAGUCUGCAAGCAAAGGUGAUGCAGAUAUCCCAGGAGUGCCAAUUGCAAGGGAGGGAGCCAGUGCUUGUGCAACAGAUGGUUGGUGUACAAUAGGAGAUGGAGCUUGCUGGUGUAAUUGCUGCUGCUGCUGCAUCUGUCGAUUCUGCAUUAAAU